rnacentral:lncRNA from 1 species
UUUUUUAUGGUUGUUGAACCCAAAGGUGCGCUUAAGUAUCGUUCAUCAACACUCACCAUUUUGGCCGAUUCUGGCCCGUUUCAUGGUCUAUUACUCACGUUUUGGGGUAAGGAGCAAUUUCCAUGGUUACUGAACCCCAAGGUGCACUUAUGUGUUGGUCACUAACACUCGCUAUUUUGGCCGAUUCUGUCCCGUUUCAUGGACUACCACUCACAAUUUUGGGGUCCUGGAGCGAUUUCCAUGAUUGACGAUCCCCGGGGUGCGCUUACAUGUCGUUCAUUAACACUCAUCGUUUUGGCCGAUUCUAGCCCGUUCCAGGGGCCAUUACUCACUGUUUUGGGGUCCCUGUGCGAUUUCCAUGGUUGUUGAAAUCAAAGGUGCUAUUACGUGCAGGUCAUCAAAACUCGCCUUUGGCUAAUUCGGACCGUCUCAUGGGCUAUUGCUCACCAUCUUGAGGUCCUGGAGCGAUUUCCACGAUUAAUGAUCCCCGAGGUGUGUUUACAUGUAGGUCAUCAACACUAGCAACUUUGGCCGAUUUUGGCGCGUUUCAUAGACAAUUACUCACCAUUUUGGGUUCUCGGUGCGACACGAUUGAUAAACCUCGGGGUGCAUUUACCUAUCGGUCAUCAACACUCGCAGGUUUGGUAGAUUCUGGCCCGUUUCAUGGGCUAUUAAUCGCCGUUUUGUGGUCAUGGGGCGAUUUCCAUGGUUGUUGAACCCUAAGGUGCGCUUAUGUGCAGGUCAUCAACACUCGUCGUUUUGGUUGCUUCUGGCCCGUCUCAUUGGCUAUUGCUCACCAUUUUAAGGUCCUAGAGAGAAUUCCACGAUUAUUGAUCCCCGAGGUGUGUUUACGUGUAGGUUAUCAACACUAGCAGUUUUGGCCGACUUUGGUGCGUUUCGUGGACUAUUACUCACCAUUNNNNNNNNNNNNNNNNNNNNNNNNNNNNNNNNNNNNNNNNNNNNNNNNNNNNNNNNNNNNNNNNNNNNNNNNNNNNNNNNNNNNNNNNNNNNNNNNNNNNNNNNNNNNNNNNNNNNNNNNNNNNNNNNNNNNNNNNNNNNNNNNNNNNNNNNNNNNNNNNNNNNNNNNNNNNNNNNNNNNNNNNNNNNNNNNNNNNNNNNNNNNNNNNNNNNNNNNNNNNNNNNNNNNNNNNNNNNNNNNNNNNNNNNNNNNNNNNNNNNNNNNNNNNNNNNNNNNNNNNNNNNNNNNNNNNNNNNNNNNNNNNNNNNNNNNNNNNNNNNNNNNNNNNNNNNNNNNNNNNNNNNNNNNNNNNNNNNNNNNNNNNNNNNNNNNNNNNNNNNNNNNNNNNNNNNNNNNNNNNNNNNNNNNNNNNNNNNNNNNNAACUGGCUAUUGCUCACCAUUUUGAUGUCCUGGAGCGAUUUCCACGAUUAUUGAUCCCCAACGUGCGUUUACGUGUAGGUCAUCAACACUAGUAGUGGCCGAUAUUGACGCAUUUCGUGGACUAUUACUCACCAUUUUGGUCUCUCAAUUCCACAAUUGGUGAACCUCGGGGUGCAUUUGCCUAUCGGUCAUCAACACUCACAAGUUUGGCUGAUUCUGCCCGUUUCAUGGGCUAUUACUCACCGUUUUUUGGGGUCCUCGGCUGAUUUCCAUGGUUGUUGAACCCUAAGGUGCACUUAUGUGCAGGUCAUCAACACUCAUCGUUUUGGUUGAUUCUGGCCCGUCUCACUGCCUAUUGCUCACCAUUUUGAGGUCCUGGAGCGAUUUCCACGAUUAUUGAUCCCCGAGGUGCAUUUAGGUGUUGGUCAUCAACAAUAGUAGUUUUGGCCAUUACUCACCAUUUUGGGGUCUCGAUGCAAUUUCCACGAUUGAUGAACCUCGGGGUGCAUUUACCUAUCGGUCAUCAACACUUGCUGGUUUGGCCGAUUCGGGCCUGUUUCGUGGACUAUUACUCACCGUUUUGGUGUCCCGAAACAAUUUUCUUGGUUGAUGAACCCCAAGGAGCGCUUAGAUGCAUGAUAUUAACACUCGCCGGUUUCGCUGAUUCUGGCCUGUUCAUGGACAAUUACUCACCGGUUUGGGGUCCUAAAGCGAUUUUUAUGGUUGCUGAACCCGGAGGUGUGCUUACGUAUUGUUCAUCAACACUCACUGUUUUGGCCGAUUCUGGCCCGUUUCAUGGACUAUUACUCACCGUUUUGGGGUAAGGAGCAAUUUCCAUGGUUACUCAACCCCGAGGUGCACUUAUGUGCAGGUCAUUAAGAGUCGCUAUUUUGGCCGAUUCUGGCCCGUUUCGUGGACUAUUACUCACAGUUUUGGGGUCUUGGAGCGAUUUCCAUGAUUGAUGAUCCCCGGGGUGCACUUACAUGUCGUUCAUUAACACUCAUCGUUUUGUCCGAUUCUAGCCCGUUUCAUGGACUAUUACUCACCGUUUUGGGGUCCCUGUGUGAUUUCCAUGGUUGUUGAAAUCAAAGCUGUAAUUACGUGCAGGUCAUCAACACUCGCCGUUUUCGCUAAUUCGGACCGUCUCAUGGGCUAUUGCUCACCAUCUUGAGGUCCUGGAGCGAUUUCCACGAUUAAUGAUCCUCGAGGUGCGUAUACGUGUAGGUCAUCAACACUAGCAAUUUUGGCCGAUUUUGGCGCGUUUCAUGGACAAUUACUCACCAUUUUGGGACCUCGGUGCAAUUUCCAUGAUUGACGAACCUCAGGGUGCAUUUACCUAUCGGUCAUCAACACUCACAGGUUUGGCUGAUUCUGGAACGUUUCAUGGGCUAUUACUCAUCGUUUUGGGGUCCUCGGGCGAUUUCCAUGGUUGUUGAACCCUAAGGUGCGCUUAUGUGCAGGUCAUCAACACUCGUCGUUUUGGUUGAUUCUGGCCCGUCUCAUUGGCUAUUGCUCACCAUUUUGAGGUCCUGGAGCGAUUUCCACGAUUAUUGAUCCCCGAGGUGCGUUUACGUGUAGGUCAUCAACACUAGUAGUUUUGGCCGACUUUGGCGCGUUUCGUGGACUAUUACUCACCAUUUUGGGGUCUCAGUGCGAUUUCCACGAUUGAUGAACCUCGGUGUGCAUUUACCUAUCGGUCAUCAACANNNNNNNNNNNNNNNNNNNNNNNNNNNNNNNNNNNNNNNNNNNNNNNNNNNNNNNNNNNNNNNNNNNNNNNNNNNNNNNNNNNNNNNNNNNNNNNNNNNNNNNNNNNNNNNNNNNNNNNNNNNNNNNNNNNNNNNNNNNNNNNNNNNNNNNNNNNNNNNNNNNNNNNNNNNNNNNNNNNNNNNNNNNNNNNNNNNNNNNNNNNNNNNNNNNNNNNNNNNNNNNNNNNNNNNNNNNNNNNNNNNNNNNNNNNNNNNNNNNNNNNNNNNNNNNNNNNNNNNNNNNNNNNNNNNNNNNNNNNNNNNNNNNNNNNNNNNNNNNNNNNNNNNNNNNNNNNNNNNNNNNNNNNNNNNNNNNNNNNNNNNNNNNNNNNNNNNNNNNNNNNNNNNNNNNNNNNNNNNNNNNNNNNNNNNNNNNNNNNNNNNNNNNNNNNNNNNNNNNNNNNNNNNNNNNNNNNNNNNNNNNNNNNNNNNNNNNNNNNNNNNNNNNNNNNNNNNNNNNNNNNNNNNNNNNNNNNNNNNNNNNNNNNNNNNNNNNNNNNNNNNNNNNNNNNNNNNNNNNNNNNNNNNNNNNNNNNNNNNNNNNNNNNNNNNNNNNNNNNNNNNNNNNNNNNNNNNNNNNNNNNNNNNNNNNNNNNNNNNNNNNNNNNNNNNNNNNNNNNNNNNNNNNNNNNNNNNNNNNNNNNNNNNNNNNNNNNNNNNNNNNNNNNNNNNNNNNNNNNNNNNNNNNNNNNNNNNNNNNNNNNNNNNNNNNNNNNNNNNNNNNNNNNNNNNNNNNNNNNNNNNNNNNNNNNNNNNNNNNNNNNNNNNNNNNNNNNNNNNNNNNNNNNNNNNNNNNNNNNNNNNNNNAUUAUUGAUCCCCGACGUGCGUUUACGUGUAGGUCAUCAACACUAGUAGUGGCCGAUAUUGACGCGUUUCGUGGACUAUUACUCACCAUUUUGGUCUCUCAAUUCCACAAUUGGUGAACCUCAGGGUGCAUUUGCCUAUCGGUCAUCAACACUCACAAGUUUGGCUGAUUCUGCCCGUUUCGUGGGCUAUUACUCACCGUUUUGGGGUCCUCGGGCGAUUUCCAUGGUUGUUGAACCCUAAGGUGCACUUAUGUGCAGGUCAUCAACACUCGUCGUUUUGGUUGAUUCUGGCCCGUCUCACUGCCUAUUGCUCACCAUUUUGAGGUCCUGGAGCGAUUUCCAUGAUUAUUGAUCCCCGAGGUGCGUUUAGGUGUUGGUCAUCAACAAUAGUAGUUUUGGCCAUUACUCACCAUUUUGGGGUCUCGAUGCAAUUUCCACGAUUGAUGAACCUCGGGGUGCAUUUACCUAUAGGUCAUCAACACUCGCUGGUUUGGCCGAUUCGGGCCUGUUUCGUGGACUAUUACUCAUCGUUUCGGUGUCCCGAAACGAUUUUCUUGGUUGAUGAACCCCAAGGAGCGCUUAGAUGCAUGAUAUUAACACUCGCCGGUUUCGCUAAUUCUGGCCUGUUCAUGGACAAUUACUCACCGGUUUGGGGUCCUAGAGCGAUUUUUAUGGUUGCUGAACCCAGAGGUGCGCUUACGUAUCAUUCAUCAACAAUCACCGUUUUGGCCGAUUCUGACCCGUUUCAUGGACUAUUACUCACCGUUUUGGGGUAAGGAGCAAUUUCCAUGGUUACUCAACCCCAAGGUGCACUUAUGUGCAGGUCAUUAAGAGUCGCUAUUUUGGCCGAUUCUGGCCCGUUUCAUGGACUAUUACUCACAGUUUUGGGGUCCUGGAGCGAUUUCCAUGAUUGACGAUCCCCGGGGUGCACUUACAUGUCGUUCAUUAGCACUCAUCGUUUUGUCCGAGUCUAGCCCGUUUCAUGGGCUAUUACUCACCGUUUUGGGGUCCCUGUGUGAUUUCCAUGGUUGUUGAAAUCAAAGGUGUAAUUACGUAAAGGUCAUCAACACUCGCCGUUUUCGCUAAUUUGGACCGUCUCAUGGGCUAUUGCUCACCAUCUUGAGGUCCUGGAGCGAUUUCCAUGAUUAAUGAUCCUCGAGGUGCGUAUACGUGUAGGUCAUCAACACUAGCAAUUUUGGCCGAUUUUGGCGCGUUUCAUGGACAAUUACUCACCAUUUUGGGACCUCGGUGCAAUUUCCACGAUUGACGAACCUCAGGGUGCAUUUACCUAUCGGUCAUCAACACUCACAGCUUUGGCCGAUUCUGGAACGUUUCAUGGGCUAUUACUCAUCGUUUUGGGGUCCUCAGGCGAUUUCCAUGGUUGUUGAACCCUAAGGUGCGCUUAUGUGCAGGUCAUCAACACUCGUCGUUUUGGUUGAUUCUGGCCCGUCUCAUUGGCUAUUGCUCACCAUUUUGAGGUCCUGGAGCGAUUUCCACGAGUAUUGAUCCCCGAUGUGCGUUUACGUGUAGGUCAUUAACACUAGUAGUUUUGGCCGACUUUGGCGCGUUUCAUGGACUAUUUCUCACCAUUUUGGGGUCUCGGUGCGAUUUCCACGAUUGANNNNNNNNNNNNNNNNNNNNNNNNNNNNNNNNNNNNNNNNNNNNNNNNNNNNNNNNNNNNNNNNNNNNNNNNNNNNNNNNNNNNNNNNNNNNNNNNNNNNNNNNNNNNNNNNNNNNNNNNNNNNNNNNNNNNNNNNNNNNNNNNNNNNNNNNNNNNNNNNNNNNNNNNNNNNNNNNNNNNNNNNNNNNNNNNNNNNNNNNNNNNNNNNNNNNNNNNNNNNNNNNNNNNNNNNNNNNNNNNNNNNNNNNNNNNNNNNNNNNNNNNNNNNNNNNNNNNNNNNNNNNNNNNNNNNNNNNNNNNNNNNNNNNNNNNNNNNNNNNNNNNNNNNNNNNNNNNNNNNNNNNNNNNNNNNNNNNNNNNNNNNNNNNNNNNNNNNNNNNNNNNNNNNNNNNNNNNNNNNNNNNNNNNNNNNNNNNNNNNNNNNNNNNNNNNNNNNNNNNNNNNNNNNNNNNNNNNNNNNNNNNNNNNNNNNNNNNNNNNNNNNNNNNNNNNNNNNNNNNNNNNNNNNNNNNNNNNNNNNNNNNNNNNNNNNNNNNNNNNNNNNNNNNNNNNNNNNNNNNNNNNNNNNNNNNNNNNNNNNNNNNNNNNNNUUCCAUGGUUGUUGAACCCUAACAUGCAUAUGUGCAGGUCAUCAACACUCGUCGUUUUGGUUGAUUCUGGCCCGUCUCAUUGGCUAUUGCUCACCAUUUUGAGGUCCUGGAGCGAUUUCCACGAUUAUUUAUCCCCGAGGUGCGUUUACCUGUAGGUCAUCAACACUAGCAGUUUUGGCCGACUUUGGCGCAUUUCAUGGACUAUUACUCACCAUUUUGGGGUCUCAGAGCGAUUUCAACGAUUGAUGAACCUCGGGGUGCAUUUACCUAUCGGUCAUGAACACUCGCUGGUUUGGCCAAUUUUGGCCCGUUUCAUGGGCUAUUACUCACGUUUUGGGGUCCUGGGGUGAUUUCCAUGGUUGUUGAACCCUAAGGUGCGCUUAUGUGCAGGUUAUCAACACUCGUCGUUUUGGUAGAUUCUUUCCUGUCUCAUUGGCUAUUGCUCAGCAUUUCAAGGUCUAGGAGCGAUUUCCACGAUUAAUGAUCCCCGAGGUGCGUUUACGUGUAGGUCAUCAACACUAGCAAUUUUGGCCGAUUUUGGCGCAUUUCAUGGACUAUUAGUCACCAUUUUGGGGUCUCGAUGCAAUUUCCGUGAUUGAAGAACCUCGGGGUGCAUUUACCUAUCGGUCAUCAACACUCGCAGGUUUGGCCGAUUCGGGCACGUUUCAUGGACUAUUACUCACCAUUUUGGGGUCCCUGUGCGAUUUCUAUGGUUGUUGAAAUCAAAGGUGCUAUUACGUGCAGGUCAUCAACACUCGCCGUUUUGGCUAAUUCGGACCGUCUCAUGGGAUAUUGCUCACCAUUUUGAGGUCCUGGAGUGAUUUCUAGGAUUAUUGAUCCCCGAGGUGUGUUUACAUGUUAGUCAUCAACACUAGUAGUUUUGGCCAAUUUUGGCGGGUUUCGUGGACUAUUACUCACUAUUUUGGGGUCUCGAUGCGAUUUCCACGAUUGAUGAACCUCGGGGUGCAUUUACCUAUCAGUCAUCAACACUCGUAGGUUUGGCUGAUUCUGGCCCGUUUCAUGGGCUAUUACUCAUUGUUUUGGGGUCCUGGGGCGAUUUCCAUGGUUGUUGAACCCUUAGGUGUGCUUAUGUGCAAGUCAUCAACACUCCUCAUUUUGGUUGAUUCUGGCCCAUCUCAUUGGCUAUUGCUCACCAUAUUGAGGUCCUCGAGCGAUUUCCACGAUUAUUGAUCCCUGAGGUGCGUUUACGUGUAGGUCAUCAACACUAGCAGUAUUGGCCGACUUUGGCGCGGUUCGUGGACUAUUACUCGCCAUUUUGAGGUCUCGGAGCAAUUUCCACGAUUGAUUAACCUCGGGGUGCAUUUACCUAUCGGUCAUCAACACUCGCAGGUUUGGCCUAUUCUGGCCCAUUUCAUGGGCUAUUACUCGCGUUUUGGGGUCCUGGAGCGAUUUCCAUGGUUGUUGAACCCUAACAUGCACUUAUGUGCAGGUCAUCAACACUCGUUCUUUUGGUUGAUUCUAGCCUGUCUCAUUGGCUAUUGCUCACUAUUUUGAGGUCUUGGAGCGAUAUCCAUGAUUAAUGAUCCCCGAGGUGCAUUUACGUGUCGGUCAUCAACACUAGCAAUUUUGGCCUAUUUUGGCGCAUUUCAUGGACAAUUACUCACCAUUUUGGGGUCUCGGUGCAAUUUCCACGAUUGAUGAACCUCGGGGUGCAUUUACCUAUCGGUCAUUAACACUCACAGAUUUGGCCGAUUCUGGCCCGUUUCAUGGGCUAUUACUCACCAUUUUGGGGUCCUCGGGCGAUUGCCAUGGUUGUUGAACCCUAAGGUGCGCUUAUGUGCAGGUCAUCAACACUCGUCGUUUUGGUUGAUUCUGGCCCGUCUCAUCGGCUAUUCCUCACCGUUUUGAGGUCUUGGAGCGAUUUCCACGAUUAUUGAUCCCCGAGAUGCGUUUACGUGUAGGUCAUCAACACUAGCAGUUUUGGCCGACUUUGGCGCGUUUCGUGGACUAUUACUCACCAUUUUGGGGUCUCGGUGCAAUUUCCACAAUUGAUGAACCUCGGGGUGCAUUUACCUAUCGGUCAUCAACACUCACAGGUUUGGCCGAUUCUGGCCCGUUUCAUGGGCUAUUACUCACAGUUCUGGGGACCUGGAGCGAUUUCCAUGGUUGUUGUGUUGGAAGUAUGCCCUAGAGGCAAUAAUAAAAUGGUUAUUAUUAUAUUUCCUUGUUCAUGAUAAUUGUUUAUUGUUCAUGCUAUAAUUGUGUUAUCCGGAAAUCGUAAUACAUGUGUGAAUACAUAGACCACAACAUGUCCCUAGUGAACCUAUAGUUUACUAGCUCGUUGAUCAACAGAUAGUCAUGGUUUCCUGACUAUAGACAUUGGAUGUCGUUGAACACUGGACAGCGGUCAAGAAUAUCCUAAAGUACCUGAAAAGGACUAAGGAUAUGUUUCUCGUUUAUCAGGUGACGAAGAGCUCGUCGUAAAGGGUUACGUCGAUGCUAGCUUCAACACAGAUCUGGAUGACUCUAAGUCACAAACCGGAUAUGUGUAUAUAUUGAAUGUUGGGGCAGUAAGCUGGUGCAAUUGCAAGCAAAGCGUCGUGGCGGGAUCUACAUGUGAAGCGGAGUACAUGGCAGCCUUGGAGGCAGCACAUGAAGCAAUCUGGAUGAAGGAGUUCAUUACCGACCUAGGAGUUAUUCCCAAUGCGUCGGGGCCGAUGACUCUCUUCUGUGACAACACUGGAGCCAUUGCCCUUGCCAAGGAGCCCAGGUUUCACAAGAAGACCAGGCACAUCAAGCGUCGCUUCAACUCCAUUCGUGAAAAUGUUCAAGAUGGAGACAUAGAUAUUUGCAAAGUGCAUACGGAUCUGAAUGUCGCAGGUCCGUUGACUAAACCUCUUCCGCGAGCAAAACAUGAUCAACACCAGAACUCUAUGGGUGUUCGAUUCAUCACAAUGUAACUAGAUUGUUGACUCUAGUGCAAGUGGGAGACUGUUGGAAAUAUGCCCUAGAGGCAAUAAUAAAAUGGUUAUUAUUAUAUCUCCUUGUUCAUGAUAAUUGUCUAUUAUUCAUGCUAUAAUUGUGUUAUCCGGAAAUCGUAAUACAUGUGUGAAUACAUAGACCACAACAUGUCCCUAGUGAGCCUCUAGUUGACUAGCUCGUUGAUUAACAGAUAGUCAUGGUUUCCUAACUAUAGACAUUGGAUGUCGUUGAUAACGGGAUCACAUCAUUAGGAGAAUGAUGUGAUGGACAAGACCCAAUCCUAAGCAUAGCAUAAGAUCGUGUAGUUCGUUUGCUAAAGCUUUUCUAAUGUCAAGUAUCAGUUUCUUAGACCAUGAGAUUGUGUAAAUCCCGGAUACCAUAGCAGUGCUUUGGGUGUACCAAACGUCACAACAUAACUGGGUGACUAUAAAGGCACACUACAGGUAUCUCCAAAAGUGUAUGUUGGGUUAGCACGAAUCGAGACUGGGAUUUGUCACUCCGUAUGACAGAGAGGUAUCUCUGGGCCCACUCGGUAAUGCAUCAUCAUAAUGAGCUCAAUGUGACCAAGUGGUUGGUCACGAGAUCAUGCAUUACGUAACGAGUAAAGUGACUCGCUGGUAACGAGAUUGAACGAGGUAUUGGGAUACCGAUGAUCGAAUCUCGGGCAAGUAAGUACCGAUUGACAAAGGGAAUUGUAUACAGGAUUACUUGAAUCCUCGACAUCAUGGUUCAUCCGAUGAGAUCAUCGUGGAACAUGUGGGAACCAACAUGGGUAUCCAGAUCCCGCUGUUGGUUAUUGGCCAGAGAGCUGUCUCGGUCAUGUCUGCAUGAUUCCCGAACCCGUAGUGUCUACACACUUAAGGUUCGGUGACGGUAGGGUUAUUAGGAAGACUUGUAAGUGAUUACUGACUGUUGCUCUGAGUCCCGGAUGAGAUCCCGGACGUCACGAGGAGUUCCGGAAUGGUUCGGAGGUGAACAUUUAUAUAUGGGAAGUUGUCAUACGGUCACCGGAAAAGUUCGGGGGCUUAUCGGUAUUGUACCGGGGCCACCAGAGGGGUUCCGGGGGUUCCGAUGAGUUGUUUCUUGCCCUAAGCCGCCAGUGGGUCGUCCCCUUAUAUACACGGGUCGACGCCCUGCGGCUUACAGAGUCUCGGCCGGCUCAUAAACAAUGUCCGGCUCGGUGACUAGUUAAGCCUUCCUUAUGAUACAAGUAAUAUUAUUACAGCGGGUUACUACAACAGGCCUUAAGUCGCAUGUGGGCCUUAAGCUCUCUAUGAACCGCCAUCUUCAUACUUUGUCUUGGGCUUCUCUCUGGUGAGUCCUCUUUGCGUAACCCGGCCCCUCCUGGGCGGCUUACACAAAUAGUUAUAUCCCCAACAUUAGGCCCCAGAUUGAUUUGAACCGGUUCAUGUCAAUCUUAAAAUACCUUAUGGACCGCCCUGCAGUCUCUGUCUUGCGCGAAGGAUUUAACCCGCCGUGACGUCAUCAUCUAACUCCAGGUUAAAUCUCUGUGACGUCAUCUUCAUUAAAGCUUUAUUUUUUAUGCCGUCACAUCUUCAACGGAUCUUUGUCUUUAUUGAUCAUCCCGAGAAUCGAGGCGCCAGAGCCGCUGGAUAAUGAAUAUUAUCUCCUCAUUUUUCGCGCCCUCUCGGUCAGUCUUUCCUUAUAAGUAGAGCGACCUAGGUCUUUCCCCUCAGUCAUCUUCUUCUUCUCGCCUCCUCCUGAGCUCUGCCACCGCCAUCGUCGAACCUCUCGUCUUCACCAACUCAGGCCGCUGCAUCAACCUGAUUCUGACCAGAGAUCGACGGCGACCCUCCGCGGGUCAUUGCUGAGUUUGUCGGUGUUCAUCACGGUCUGACACCAAACCCUCGCUAGUUCCUUCCAAUGCUCUGUUUAGAUCGUCAGAACCACGUAGAACUACUGCGGUGCUUGUCUGUGUUGAUCUUGCAUGAAAAUAGAUCUCAUUUCCCUUGUUCCGAAAUCCUCUUCGAACGCAUGAACUUCCCUGCCCUAUUUUAGGUCUAGAAAAUUUCCCUUUCAGAGCAAUAUCUUGAUCCAGAAUAAUAACUGUUAUCUGUGAAACUUGUUUUUAUCACCCGGAACACCUCUUCUAGUGAACCCCCUGAAACACAACUGUCGAGGCGUCCGGAUUAAAUAUAUGACACAGAACCUUAAUUGCUUCUCAUGACCCGGAAAAAUUUUGAAUUUGUACUUUGAUGCUUGUAGCGGCUUAAAUAUUGUUGCACAGUCAUCCUUAUGUCAUUAGGCCCCUCAUUAAGCCGCCACUUUAAUCAAGAUUUUCCUCCCGGGUUAAAAUUGAACCAGAUCUUCUUGUUUUUUCAUAGGCCAAUUGUUGUGAUGGCUCCUAAGGAUACCAAGGCCCCUGUAACUUGCAAUUGGGUUCCAUCCACAGUGCCCAGUAGCAAACUAGCUGAGUUUGUAAAAUCUGGGCAUCUGCCAAAAAAGGACGCCAUGUCGUACCGUGCUCGUGACCCGUCUGAAGAAAAACCUCACCCCAAAGCAGGGGAAGUAAUAAUUUUUACUUAUCAUAUGAGCCGUGGAUUUGCUCCUCUCGGCUCAAAAUUCUUCAGAGAGGUUUUGAACUUCUUUGACUUUAGACCUCAAGACAUCGAACCCAAUUCCGUGUCAAAUAUUUGCAAUUUUCAAGUCUUCUGUGAGGUGUACCUGGGAGAGGAGCCAGGUCUGCUUUUGUUCAGGGAACUUUUUUAUAUGAACCGGCAAAAUGAACGUGCCAACGGGCCCAGCCUUGAGCUUGGCGGUAUCUCAAUCCAACAACGGAGAGACUGUCUUUUCCCUUAUGCUGAGCUACCGAGUCACCCCAAAUCUUGGAACCAUACGUGGUUCUACUGUCAGGACACUUCUCCGGCUGAUGAAAAGCCUCUGCCCGGCUUUCGCGCCCUGCGCCUUGAAUCUACUUAUCCGCUACCGGACAAGCUGACAACCCUGGAACGCGUGCCUCUUAACUCCACCAUCAAGAAGAUUAAAGCUCUAUUGGGAAAUGGUUUAAACGGCAUCGAUCUGGUCCGGGUCCGGGUCACUUGGCGUAUACUUCCAUUAAGCCGCCGCCCCGGUUUAAUGUGUACUUAUACUGGAGAAAAGACUGAUCCGCAACGCCAUAGCCCUGACGACUUACCAGAUGACAUGGUGGAUGCUACAACCCAGUCACUGCUGAAGGAGGGCACUGUGACGAGCAAUGCCUUCGGCUUACUUCCAUUUUGCAAGAAUAACCCGGCCCCUGCGGUAAGUUAGCAGUCGUAACAAAUGUUUACAAAUAUAUUAUACCUUUCUUGAUACUCAUAAUACUUUAACUUUUUCCACAGGCUGGUGAUGACUUUUGGAAAGCCAAAUAUGAUCAUGAAGCUGCCAAACAAGCUAGGACGACCAAGAAAGCUGAAAGGAAAGCUUCCAGGGUAGGAACCUCAAAGAAAAAGAAACCCAGCGCCUCUGACUUACUCAGAUUGGAGGAUAGCUCUUCGGAUGAAGAAGAGGUAAUCUUUAAAUUUUCUUAAGUCCCUUACUAUCACCUGUCUGACAUUUUAUCCCUUCAGGAGGAUACGGGGAACAGCUGAGCAGCCACUGAAGAGGUAACUAUAAUCUCCUCCGACUCAGAGCCUUUGCCAAGGAGAAAGACCCGAAGGGUGACCCGGAAAGUAAGAUUUUCACAUACACUUGCUUAUCAAGAUCCUCAAUUUAUUUUGAAGCAACAACAGCUUGAGAGCCGGAGGCAGACCAGGAACAACAAAGAUGCAGAACUCUCCUCCGGCUUACCUGAUGUAACCAGAAAGCAUCGGACCGAGGUUAUCUCCGAUUUAUGCUCCGUCUUACCUUUAGCAGGCUUAAUUCGUCAACCUCUCAAUUCAUCUGACUCCAACUAUCAGGAUACCUCUCCUUCUUCCGGCGAGUCCAUGCAGUCAAACAUGCCGACUUUCAAAACUGCUCCCGGGUAAUAUAAACUUAUGCACUUUUGUUUUACCUGUGCUUGCCUACUCAUCCUUCUGCUUUUGCUAACAGCCUGCAGGUGAAACCCAGUAAGAGGGCAAAGAAGAACAAACCGCCCCAAGACCCGAUGGUCACUGAACCGGCGGUUGACUCAUCUGUUCCUGAUAGCUCCACUCAUCCGCCACCGCCUGAGCCGGCUUUCAGCAUUUCGGUAUCAACCUCUGACCCGCCUGCAGAAGACGCUGUCCAUGAUUUUGAUAACCCGGAAAUUCAUAGCCCGGUGAAGAGAAAUGACCCGGAAGUUGAAAUUGUAAAGUCCCAGUUUGUUGAACCAGGGCAGCCCACAGUCCUUGCCAAAUGUUCCGCCAAAGAUGAGUUUACCCAGCGCCAAAAAGCCAAGCAGGACAUUACUGAUUAUACUCACCUAAGCAUUGGUGAUAUAGUCUCAGGCUAUCUGAAUCAAGUGCAUAAUAGCCGUGACCUGGAAGUUGACAUGGUGAAACAAAUACAGCAUAAAUCUGAGGUAUAACUUAUACUUUUUAUCUGAGCCUUAUAUAUACUAUACCAGCCCCCAAGUCUACCGCAUAUGAACAAAUACGCUGUAGACUUUAGAAGUCUGCUUUUACUUGUUAACUUAUCCGGCUUAAAAAGAAUUUAUUUAACCCGGUAUAACAUAAGGCUUUUAAAUUUGCAAUACACAUUAGUCCCCAAGUGUCAAGUAUCCUUACUUGUAAGGUGCUUGAGACUUAAUAUGCUUGACCUGGCAGGAUAAAGUUAAAUUUUCUUUCAUCAUACAUUAGCCCCCAAGUGCCAAGUAUCUUUACUUGUAAAGUGCUUGGGACUUGAAUGUCUACCUUAUUAGAAUCCUUACCAUUACCCGGUGUCAAUUGCAGGCUGCCAUAAGUCAAAUUGAAUCAGAGCUGGCUGCCCUGAAGAGUCGUCUAGAAACUCAAGAGCUUGAAACGCAAAAAGCUAACUCCAAAUUUGAAUUUAGUAUCUCUGAAAAUGAGAAACUAAAGAAGAAUUUUGAGUCGAAAAGGAAAAUUUGGGCUGAUGAAAAGUCUUCCCUGGUGACUCGGGCCAAAACAGCCGAAGCAUCUCUUGCAGAAGCAACAACUGAGCUGUCAAACUUAACACAGCAAAUAUCCCAAAUGGUCUCAGCCAUCUUUGGUAAGUUAUUAUGACUUAGUUUUAACAUGGCAACCGUACAAUGACUAUUGUAAUAAAUACUUCCGGCUUACCGUUAUGCUUGUGCACAUACAGGCUCCAGGAGUGUCAAUCUGAAGCAGAACACGCUGAUCAAGCUUAAAGCAGUUUAUACGUUAGUGGAACAGCUAUACUCCGGGACACAACGUGCCCUGGCCGUUGUAGCUUUAUCAACUCCACACCCCCGCCUUUUGCAAGAUGUUUUGAAGAGCCUCGCCUUUCUACCUCAGCGGAUCCAAGACUUAAGGCGUUCAUCUUCAAGAGCCGGGGCCGUAGCUGCGUUGGGCCGGGCAAAAGCAUGGCUCCUAGAACUAGACCCGGCAGACCUUGCCCUUGGAUAUCCGACUCUAAAGCUAGACGGCAAUGCCUUUGAUGAUCACGACUUCCACACCUGUGUUAAGGCCAUACGUCCGGUGGCCACCCUUAUUGGAAACGAUACUGACCUUAGCAAGUAUGCGUCGGCUUAUGACAGCAACAAUCGGAAAAUCCCAAACGCUCCAUAUGAUCAAAUCAGCCUGAUCCCUCCAAUUCUUAAGCAUACUUUUGCCCCUGAAGUAGACUCGGCCGGUUUAAUAGAUGAUGAAGCUGAAUUUGAAGCUUUGAGCGGCAUUGAUUGGGCUUCAUCAACUUUCCAGGGAAAAACAACCGACGGAGAAGCGGCGAAGGAUAACCCGGAGCCUUCAAGCCCACCGAAGGAGUGAAUCACCGGGUGUUUGGCCAAAAUACAAUGCUCCACCUAUUCAGACUCGGGGAGUCAUGUAAUAGGGUAGAAAUAACUUCUUAAUGCUCAUCAUGCCUUCAUGCAUGCUUCUAUCACUUAACGCUUUUCGUAAGCCGCCAUGGCUAUAUAUUUCUGGCUUUCACUUCCUUGGCGUGUCAAAUUUUUCCUGCCUUAUUCCUAUAAUCCUUGAAUGAUCUUCCUGGCUCAUAUAAUGUUCACCCGGUACUUAAAUAACCUGGGGUGACGAAUAUUAAACCGGCAAGACAAAAAAACACCUUACAAUGCUUUCCACAAGGUAUCAGAAUAAUCAAAAUACUUUUACAGGCCUCUGAUUCGGAUACGAUCAGUAAACCGUUCCAAAGGGGUUAAGCUAAGAUUCGGAUACGAUCAUAUAGCCCCCAGUGGCGUGGCGAUGCCAAUCAAGUGGGUAUCGACAGCUAUGUUCUCUUUGGUUCGAAUACGACCUAUGUUUGAACAGGAAGCCCCCAAGUGACCAUAGGAUUUGUUUAAUGAUGUUGAUUCAUAUACGAUCCACGUUAGACCUAAAGGGGUUAAGUUGUGAUUCAAAUAUGAUCAGGAAGCCCCCAAGUAGGCUUGGCAAGUAUGCCGAUCAAGUGGGUAUCGAUAGCUAUGUUCUCUUUGGUUCGGAUACGACCUAUGUUUGAAUAGGAAGCCCCCAAGUGAUCAUGGCUAGAUUCAGAUAUGAUCAUAAGCCGGACCAAGGGUAAACCGGAUUCAGAUUUGAUCUGGUCCCUACUGGUUGUUUCCACCACCUGACAAAAAGGACAUAAACACUUUUUUAAGGGUGAAAAAAGGACAGAGGUCCUGCUUUAUUACUUUAUAUAAUAUGUACAUUGUCAAAAAUAUAUACAUCUAAAGAGUCGGUGGCUUAAGUAUAACAAGGCCGAAGAUGGGCUAUAUUCCACGGCCGGUGGGUCUCCUCCUCCGAUUUACCUGAGUCCUUGUGCUCUUGAAUAUCGAUGAGGUAGUAUGAUCUAUUGUGUAGAUUCUUACUGACCACAAAGGGUCCUUCCCAAGGAGGGGAUAGCUUAUGCAUAUCGGUCUGAUCCUGGAUGAGCCGGAGCACUAAAUCGCCUUCCUGAAAUGUUCUGCUUCUGACCCGGCAGCUGUGAUAGCAACGAAGGUCUUGCUGGUAAAUCGCCGAGCGGGCUAUUGCCAAGUCUCGCUCCUCAUCCAACAAGUCCAGAGCCUCCUGUCGAGCCUUCGCAUUAUCAGCCUCAACGUAAGCCGCCACACGGGGUGAAUCGUGCCGGAUAUCACUUGGCAGAACUGCCUCUGCUCCAUAAACCAUGAAGAAAGGCGUGUAACCCGUUGAUCUAUUAGGCGUAGUGUUGAUGCUCCACAGCACGGAGGGCAGCUCUUCAACCCAACACCCCGGAGUCCGCUGUAAGGGGACCAAGAGCCGUGGUUUGAUACCCCUUAAAAUCUCUUGAUUAGCUCGUUCUGCUUGACCAUUGGACUGAGGAUGAGCAACAGCCGAAACGUCAAGCCGGAUAUGUUCCCGUUGACAGAACUCUUCCAUGGCACCCUUGGAGAGAUUAGUGCCAUUAUCAGUUAUGAUGCUAUGUGGAAAACCAAAACAAAAGAUCACCUUUUUGAUGAACUGCACCGCUGUGGCCGCAUUGCACUGACUGACCGGCUCUGCCUCAAUCCACUUUGUAAAUUUAUCCACUGCCACCAGGAGGUGCGUUUUUUUAUCCUUAGACCUUUUGAAAGGCCCCACCAUGUCAAGCCCCCAGACUGCGAACGGCCAAGUAAUUGGAAUCAUCCUCAACUCCUGAGCCGGCACAUGAGCUCAUCUUGAGAACUUUUGACACCCAUCACAUUUGCUAACAAGAUCUUCUGCAUCAGCAUGAGCCGUCAGCCAAUAAAAACCAUGACGGAAAGCCUUGGCCACCAGAGAUUUUGAGCCGGCAUGAUGACCACAAUCCCCUUCAUGGAUCUCUCAAAGUAUCUCUUGACCCUCUGUAGGCGACACACAACGUUGGAACGCACCUGUGACACUAAGAUGAUGUAACUCGCCAUUAACAAUUGUCAUUGAUUUGGACCGUCUGACAAUUUGUCUCGCCAAGGUCUCAUCCUCAGGCAGCUCUCCCCGGGUCAUAUAAGCCAAAUACUGCAAUGUCCAAUCCGGGAUGAUAUGAAGUGCAGCCACCAACUGUGCCUCCGGGUCUGGCACUGCAAGCUCUUCCACUGUAGGUAUCUUGACAGAAGGAUUAUGUAGAAUGUCCAGAAAGGUGUUAGGCGGCACCGGCUUACGCUGAGAGCCCAACUGGCUUAAAGCAUCCGCUGCAUCAUUCUUCCUUCUGUCAAUGUGCUCCACCUGAUACCCUUUGAAGUACCCAGCUACAGCAUCAACUUCACGAUGAUAAGCCGCCAUAAGGGGGUCCUUAGAAUCCCAUGUGCCUGAGACCUGCUGAGCAACAAGGUCUGAGUCACCCAAGCACCUUACCCGGCUUAAAUUCAUCUCCUUAGCCAUCCGGAGACCAUGGAGCAAGGCUUCGUAUUCAGCUGCAUUGUUAGUGCAAGGAAACAUGAGUCGAAGCACAUAACGAAAUUUGUCACCUCGAGGGGAAGUUAAGACAACCCCAGCCCCUGAUCCUUUAACUGCCCGGACCCAUCAAAAUGAAUAGUCCAAUACGUAUUGUCUGGCUUCUCCUCAAGUGCCUGCAACUCUGUCCAAUCAUUGAUAAAAUCCACCAACGCCUGAGAUUUGAUGGCAGUACGGGGCAUAUACUUUAAACCAUAAGGCCCAAGCUCAAUGGCCCACUUAGCAAUUCGCCCUGUAGCUUCUCUAUUCUGAAUGAUAUCUCCCAAAGGAGCUGAGCUCACCACCGAUAUAGGGUGACCUUGGAAGUACUGCUUCAGUUUCCGAUUUGCCAUGAACACACAAUAAACAAGCUUCUGCCAAUGUGGAUACCUUUGUUUAGACUCAAUGAGCACCUCGCUGAUGUAGUAAACCGGCCGCUGAACCGGAUGCUCCUUACCUGGCUCCUUUCGUUCCACCAUGAUGGAAACACUGACAGCUCGUGAGUUAGUAUCCACAUAUAACAAUAGCGGCUCUUUAUCAAUGGGAGCUGCAAGAACCGGUGGCUCAGACAACCAUCUCUUUAAAUCCUCAAAGGCAGUGUUAGCAGCAUCACUCCAAACAAACGUGUCCGUCUUCUUCAUCAUCUGAGAUAGCGGCAAGGCCUUCUCCCCUAGCCGGCUUAUGAACCGGCUUAAAGCAGCAACACGUCCCGCCAGGCGUUGAACAUCAUUGAUACACGCCGGCUUAGCCAGAGAGGUGAUCACCGUGAUCUUCUCCGGAUUAGCUUCAAUGCCUCUAUUUGACACCAAAAAACCCAAGAGCUUGCCUGCAUGUACACCAAAUACACACUUGGCCGGGUUAAGCAUCAUCUUGUAAACCCGGAGAUUGUCAAAGGUUUCUCUCAAAUCGGAUAUUAAAGUUUCCUUUUCUCUGGAUUUCACCAUGAUGUCGUCCACAUAAGCAUGAACAUUGCGCCCAAUCUGAUCGUGCAAACAGUUCUGCACACACCGCUGAUAAGUUGCCUGGGCACUCUUGAGCCCAAAUGGCAUAGAUACAUAACAGAAGGCCCCAAACGAAGUGAUGAAAGUUGUCUUCUCCUGGUCCUUAACUGCCAACUUGAUCUGAUGAUAGCCAGCGUAAGCAUCCAAAAAUCUCAAACAUUCACAACCUGCCGUAGCAUCAAUGAUUUGAUCAAUACGGGGAAGUGCAAAGGGAUCAGCCGGGAAAGCUUUGUUUAAGUCCGUGUAAUCCACACACAUCCGCCAAGUGUCGUUCUUCUUGAGUACCAGGACCGGGUUAGCCAACCACUCUGGAUGAAAGACUUCGACAAUAAACCCGGCCGCUAAGAGUCGGGCCACCUCUUCUCCAAUGGCUGCUCGUCUCUCUUCGUUGAAUCAUCGGAGAAACUGCCUGACCGGCUUAUAAUUUGGAUCAAUAUUGAGAGUGUGCUCAGCGAGUUCCCUCGGUACACCCGGCAUGUCAGAAGGUUUCCACGCGAAGAUGUUCCGGUUCUCACGGAUGAACUCGAUGAGUACGUUUUCCUAUUUAGGAUCCAAAUUGGCACUGAUACUGAACUGCUUAGAGGCGUCCCCCGGGGUGAUGUCAACAAGCUUUGUAUCAGCGGCCGAUUUAAACUUCAACGCCGGGUCGUGCUCUGUAGUUGGUUUCUUGAGGGAGGUCAUAUCCGUCGGGUCAACAUUGUCUUGAUAGAAUUUGAGCUCCUCCGUGGCAUAGGCCGUCUCAGCGUAAGCCGCGUUGCCUUCUUCUCAUUCCAAGGACACCUUUCGACUCCCAUGCACGAUGAUGGUGCCCUUGUAACCCGGCAUCUUGAGCUGUAAGUAAACAUAACAUGGCCGGGCCAUGAACUUAGCAUAAGCCGGUCGCCCAAACAGAGCGUGAUACGGGCUCUUGAUCUUGACCACCUCAAACGUCAACUUCUCAGCCCUGGAAUCAUACUCAUCUCCAAAAGCGACCUCCAAUUCAAUCUUACCAACUGGGUAAGCUGACUUACCUGGGACCACCCCGUGAAAAACAGUGUUGGACGUCCUCAGAUUCUUCUCUGUUAACCCCAUACGCUGGAAGGUAUCAUAAUAGAGGAUAUUGAUGCUGCUGCCUCCGUCCAUGAGUACUUUAGUGAAUUUAUAUCCACCAACCUGAGGUGCCACAACCAAGGCUAACUGACCCGGAUUAUCAACUCGUAGCGGGUGAUCCUCUCUGCUCCAAAUGAUAGGUUGCUCUGACCAUCUCAAAUAAUGAGGGACCGCCGGCUCAACCGAAUUUACAGCCCUCUUACGAACCUUCUGGUCACGUUUGCAUAAGCUAGUGGUGAACACAUGAUAUUGCCCACCGCUCAACUGUUUCGGUUGGCUCUGGUAACCCGACUGCUGCUGCGGUUGUCCCCCCUGACCAGCUUGCUGUUGAUUAUUUCCACCCGAUUGUCCAUGAAAACCGGAAUUUGAACCGCCACCCGGUCCAUGAAAGCCGCCGGCCCCCGAACUGCCACCAGGUCCAUGACCACCAUCUAAGAUAUUAGAAUUGUUAAACGCCUUCAUGAUCGCACAAUCUUUCCACAGGUGAGUAGCGGGGUGCUCCCGAGUGCCGUGUUUCGGACAGGGCUCGUUGAGUAGCUGCUCAAGAGAUGGUCCUGACCCGCCGAUUCGCGGCCACUUACCCUUGCGUCUCUGAUUAUUACCCUGUGUACUAGCGUUAGCCACAAGCUCCGGACUACCGUCCGCCUUACGCUUAUUGCCGCCUUGAUUCCCCGGGUUAUGCUGUUGACCUUUUCCAUUACCGUUCCUUUUACCCUUCCUUGCUUUCUCAUCGUCAGACGCAGGGUCCUUGGUAUUAUCAGAAUUGGUGUAUUUGACUAAAGCCGCCAUCAGCGUUCCCAUAUCGGUGCAGUCACGCUUUAGGCGUCCCAAUUUUUGCCUCAGCGGCUCAAAGUUACAAUUUUUCUCCAACAUGAGGACUGCAGAGCCGGCAUCCAUCUUGUUAGAUGAAUGAAUUAUCUCCUUGACCCGGCGUACCCAAUGGGUAGUGGACUCACCCUCCCCCUGCUUACAACUUGUCAAGUCCACGAUUGACAUGGACUGCUUACAGGUGUCCUUGAAGUUCUGGAUGAAUCGGGCCUUUAACUCCUCCCACGAACCAAUGGAAUUGGGUGGUAAACCUUUUAGCCAGGAUCGGGUCGUUCCAUCUAACAUCAUGGUGAAGUAUUUAGCCAUUGCCGCGUCGCUAACCUCCAACAGCUCCAUGGCCAUCUCAUAGCUCUCAAUCCAUGCUCCGGGUUGUAAGUCAGCCGUGUAAUUCGGCACCUUCCGAGGUCCCUUGAAGUCCUUAGGCAGGCGCACGUUGCAUAAAGCCAGUAUCAAGCAGGGAACCCCACCAGUUCUGGUGGCUACUCCCAACUCAAAAGAAGUUGUUGGGUACACCGGGAUGUCUUGAUGAGCCGUCAGCUGAGCCGCCUGUUGAGCCGCCCGCUCGUUCUCCUGACGUAUUCGGUCUUGCACUGGGUUAUAGCCCCCAUGUUGGUUACGGCGUUGGGCGUUGCUUGAUAAAGCUUCGGACUCCACGUGCCUGCUGUAACUCGGGCUCCGGUUCUGACGAGGCGGCGCUAACCAAGGCGGAGGGGUUGAAUGAAUCCUAUCCCGGCUGUAAGAAUAGGUCUCCUGAUGGGCCAGGGCCGUCUGGACAAGUUCCCUGAUCCUCCGGGUCUCCACUGCUGUUGGAUCAUCACCGUCCACUGGAAGAGCUGCCAAACAUGCUGAUGCUGCGAUUAAAUUCUCCAUGGGGUUGGAAAAGUGACCCUCCGGUAUUGGCACAUAACGCGGCGGUGCCAUGCUCAUAUGAGGAGGAGGAAUCUCCUGACGCUGAGCCGGUCCCCCCGCUCCGGGUGUCAUAAACUGAUUAGCAUUGGGCGAGUUACUUGGGCCGGCUCCGGGUGUGGCAAAAAGAACCCUAGGAUCGUAAUUCGGAGGUAACCGGGAUUGGGUCUUCUGGUGUCUCCUCCUCAUUACUUCAUUGGACGCGUUUAAACUCAUUGUGAGCUGAUAAGCCUCUGACUGCAACUGUUGCGCCCGGGCGUUGAGAGCCGCCCGCUCCGUAGCUAGCCUAGUAUCCUCAGCUGCUAAGGCCUCCUUGGCCUGAGCUAGCUCCUCACGUACCCGUGCUACCUCCGCGUCAUGCUCAUCUUUGUUCGCAGGGAUAACCGUGGCAGUUAACAGGGUCGUAAGCUUAUCCAUGAGGUCCUGCCCCGGCUGCUCCUAACCCGGAAGUGAUUGCGGCCGCUGCUGUAGAAUUUUGUCCGGGUUGGGUCCCAGCCAUAAAGACUCCUGCCCAAUUUGGCGACUCACAGAGGUCCGGAAUACUAAGGCCAUCGGAACAGCCCUCGAGCGCACCAUCUUGAACUUGAUACAAAGAAUCUGUUGAACCGCUGGACGAAUCACCAUCAAAGGGGACAGUCAUCUCACCACCAUCUUCAGGACCUUCAGAAAGCUCUUCUCCGUGGACGCAGCCCACAAAGACAUGCUUCCUGCCGGGUUGAACUCGAGCGGGUUUCGCACGCUGAGCCGUCUCGACGAGGUCGGUGCAGUUGUCCGGCUCAGGCCCCGGCUCACCAAUCCGGUCGAUAAAGACGUGGAUCCCUCCAAAGGGGACCCGGUACCCGUACUCAAUUGAGCCGGCAUCGGGGCCCCAGCCUUCAUCGUCGAUGUAGAUCUUGUCGCGACGACUUUUGGUCAUUCGGCCCACUACGUAUCCCUUGAGCCCUUCGAAGUUACCCUUCAAGAACUCAAAUCCAGCGUGCGCUGGCCCCACGGUGGGCGCCAACUGCCGUGGAAUUGUCACGUCAAAUGUCCUCGUGAAACGACUUAGUUGUGGAGCCAUCGCAACUAGGAAGCUUGAAGGGGUUAAACGGGACAAAGGACGCGAGAGGGUUUAUACUAGUUCGGCCCCUUACGGUGAAGGUAAGGCCUACGUCUAGUUGGGUUGAUAUUGAUGUUUCGAUGACCAGGGAGCGAGAUACUCUAUGCCUGGCUCUUGAUGAGUUGUUUCUUGCCCUAAGCCGCCAGCAGGUCAUCCCCUUAUAUACACGGGUCGACGCCCUGUGGCUUACAGAGUCCCGGCUGGCUCAUAAACAAUGUCUGGCUCGGUGACUAGUUAAGCCUACCUUAUGAUACAAUUAAUAUUAUUACAGCGGGUUACUACAACGGGCCUUAAGCUCUCUAUGAACCGCCAUCUUCAUACUUUGUCUUGGGCUUCUCUCUGGUGAGUCCUCUUUGCGUAACCCGGCCCCUCCUGGGCGGCUUACACAAAUAGUUAUAUCCCCAACAUAAACCGUUAGCCAUAGUAUUCAAAGUAAUCAUUGGCGUGACAACUUCAUGAGGACACAAUGAAGGAGAUCAUGAUGAUGGAGAUCAUGGUGUCAUGCCGGUGACGAUGAUAAUCAUGGCACCCCGAAGAUGGACAUCAAAAGGAGCAAAAAUGAUAUUGGCCAUAUCAUGUCACUAUUUGAUUGCAUGUGAUGUUUAUCAUGUUUUUGCAUCUUAUUUGCUUAGAACGAUGGUAGUAAAUAAGAUGAUCUCUCAUAAUAAUUUCAAGAAAGUGUUCCCCCUAACUGUGCACCGUUGCGAAAGUUCGUUGUUUCGAAGCACCACGUGAUGAUCGGGUGUGAUAGAUUCUAACGUUCACAUACAACGGGUGUAAGACAGAUUUACACAUGCAAAAACACUUAGGUUGACUUGACGAGCCUAGCAUGUACAGACAUGGCCUCGGAACACAAGAGACCGAAAGGUCGAACAUGAGUUGUAUAGAAGAUACAAUCAACAUGAAGAUGUUCACCGAUGAUGACUAGUCCGUCUCACGUGAUGAUCGGACACGGCCUACUUGACUCGGAUCAUGGAUCACUUCAUUAAAUAAUUUGAUUAGAUGAACUUAAUUAUCAUGAACUUAGUCUAAAACUUUUGCAAAAUGUCUUGUAGAUCAAAUGGCCCAUGCUAAUCUUGCCCUCAACUUCAACGCGUUCCUAGAGAAAACCAAGCGGAAAGACGAUGGCAGCAACUAUAUGGACUGGGUCCAGAAGUUGAGGAUCAUCCUCAUAGCUACCAAAAGAGCAUAUGUCCUAGAUGCACUGCUAGGUGAAGCACCCGUUUUCCCAGCAACUCAAGACGUUAUGAACGCCUGGCAAUCGCAUAGUGAUGAUUACUUCCUGGUUCAGUGCGGCAUGCUUUACAGCUUCGAACCGGGGCUCCAAAAGCGUUUUGAGCAACACGGAGCAUAUGAGAUGUUCCAAGAGCUGAAAAUGGUUUUCCAAGCUCAUGCCCGGGUCGAGAGGUAUGAAGUCUCCGACAAGUUCUACAGUUGUAAGAUGGAGGAGAAUAGUUCUGUUAGCGAGCACAUACUCAAAAUGUCUGGGUUGCACAACCGCUUGUCUCGGCUGGGAUUUAACCUCCCAGAUGACGCGGUCAUUGACAGAAUCCUUCAGUCGCUCCCACAAAGCUACAAGAGCUUUGUGAUGAACUACAAUAUGCAGGGGAUAGUGAAAACUAUUCCUGAGGUAUUUUCAAUGCUGAAAUCAGCGGAGGUAGAAAUCAAAAAGGAACAUCAAGUGUUGAUGGUCAAUAAAACCACUAGUUUCAAGAAAGGCAAGGGUAAGAAGAACUUCAAGAAUGACGGCAAGGGAGUUGCCGCGCCCGGUAAGCCAGUUGCCGGGAAGAAGCCAAAGCAUGGACCCAAACCUGAGACUGAGUGCUUUUAUUGCAAGGGAAGAAGCCAAAGCAUGGACCCAAACAUGAGACCGACUGCCCCAAGUACUUAGCGGACAAGUAGGCCGGCAACACCAAAGGUAUAUGUGAUAUACAUGUAAUUGAUGUGUACCUUACUAGCACUCGUAAUAGCUCCUGGGUAUUUGAUACCGGUGCGGUUGCUCAUAUUUGUAACUCAAAACAGGAGCUGUGGAAUAAACGGAGACUGGCGAAGGAGGAGGUGACGAUGCAUGUCGGCAAUGGUUCCAAGGUCGAUGUGAUCGCCGUCGGCACGCUACCUCUACAUUUACCUACGGGAUUAGUUUUAAACCUCAAUAAUUGUUAUUUAGUGCCAGCUUUGAGCAUGAACAUUGUAUCUGGAUCUCGUUUAAUACGAAAUGGCUACUCAUUUAAAUCCAAGAAUAAUGUUUGUUCUAUUUAUACGAGAGAUAUGUUUUAUGGUCAUGCCCUGCUGGUCAAUGGUUUAUUCUUAAUGAAUCUCGAACGUGAUGUUACACAUAUUCAUAGUGUGAAUACCAAAAGAUGUAAGAUUGAUAAUGAUAGUCCCACAUAUCUGUGGCAUUGCCGCCUUGGUCACAUUGGUGUCAAACGCAUGAAGAAGCUCCAUACAGAUGGACUUUUGGAGUCUCUUGAUUUCGAAUCAUUAGACACGUGCGAACCAUGCCUCAUGGGUAAAAUGACCAAGACUCCGUUCUCCGAAACAAUGGAGCGAGCAACCAACUUAUUGGAAAUCAUACAUACUGAUGUGUGCGGUCCAAUGAGCGUUGAGGCUCGCGGAGGCUAUCAUUAUGUUCUCACUCUCACUGAUGACUUAAGUAGAUAUGGGUACGUCUACUUGAUGAAACACAAGUAUGAGACCUUUGAAAAGUUCAAGGAAUUUCACAAUGAGGUAGAGAAUCAACGUGACCAAAAAAAUACAGUUCUGACGAUCAGAUCGUGGGGGAGAAUAUUUAAUUCACGAGUUUGGUACGCACUUAAGGAAAUGUGGAAUUGUUUCACAACUCACGGCGCCUGGAACACCUCAGCGAAACGGUGUGUCCAAACGUCGUAAUCGCACUCUAUUGGAUAUGGUGCGGUCUAUGAUGUCUCUUACCGAUUUACCGCUAUCAUUUUGGGGAUACACUUUAGAGACAGCUACAUUCACUUUAAAUAGGGCACCGUCUAAAUCCGUUGAGACGACACCGUAUGAAUUAUGGUUUGGAAACAAACCUAAGCUGUCGUUUCUAAAAGUUUGGGGAUGUGAUGCUUAUGUCAAAAAACUUCAACCUGAAAAGCUUGAACCCAAGUCGGAAAAAUGUGUCUUCAUAGGAUACCCUAAGGAAACCAUUGGGUAUACCUUCUACCUUAGACCGAAGGCAAGAUCUUUGUUGCCAAGAACGGGUCCUUUCUGGAGAAAGAGUUUCUCUCAAAAGAAAUAAGUGGGAGGAAAGUAGAACUCGAUGAAGUACUACCUCUUGAACCGGUAAGUAGCGCAUCUCAGGAAGAUGUUCCCGUGGCGCCAACACCGACUGGAGAGGAAGUUAAUGAUGAUGAUCAAGGUACUUCGGAUCAAGUUACUACUAAACUCCAUAGGUCCACAAGGACACGUUCCACACCAGAAUGGUAUGGCAACCCUGUCCUAUAAAUCAUGUUUUUAGACAAUGGUGAACCUUCGAACUAUGAAGAAGCGAUGGUGGGCCUAGAUUCCAACAAAUGGCUUGAAGCCAUGCAAUCCGAGAUAGGAUCCAUGUAUGAAAACAAAGUAUGGACUUUGGCAGACUUGCCCGACGGUCGGCGAGCGAUAGGAAACAAGUCGAUCUUUAAGAAGAAGACGGACGCGGAUGGUAAUGUUACCAUCUAUAAGGCUGGACUUGUCGCUAAGGGUUAUCGACAGGUUCAAGGGGUUGACUACGAUGAGACUUUCUCUCCCGUAGCGAAGCUGAAGUCCGUCCGAAUCGUGUUAGCAAUUGCCGCAUACUAUGAUUAUGAGAUAUGGCAAAUGGACGUCCAAACGGCAUUCCUUAACGGCUAUCUUAAGGAAGAAUUGUAUAUGAUGCAGCCGGAAGGUUUUAGAAUGCUAACUAGGUAUGCAAGCUCCAGCGAUCCAUUUAUGGGUUGGUGCAAGCAUCUCGGAGUUGGAACAUUCACUUUGAUGAGAUUAUCAAAGCGUUUGGGUUUAUGCAGACUUAUGGAGAAGCCUGCAUUUACAAGAAAGUGAGUGGGAGCUCUGUAGCAUUUCUCAUAUUAUAUGUGGACGACAUACUUUUGAUGGGAAAUGAUAUAAAACUUUUGGACAGCAUAAAGGCCUACUUGAAUAAGUGUUUUUCAAUGAAGGACCUUCGAGAAGUUGCUUACAUAUUAGGCAUCAAGAUCUAUAGAGAUAGAUUGAGACGCCUCAUAGGUCUUUCACAAAGCACAUACCUUGAUAAGAUAUUGAAGAAAUUCAAUAUGGGUCAGUCCAAGAAGGGGUUCUUGCCUGUGUUGCAAGGUGUGAAAUUGAGCUCGGCUCAGUGCCCGACCACGGCAGAAGAUAGAGAAAAUAUGAGUGUCAUCCCCUAUGCCUCGGCUAUAGGGUCUAUUAUGUAUGUCAUGCUGUGUACCAGACCUGAUGUAAACCUUGCCAUAAGUUUGGCAGGAAGGUACCAAAGUAAUCCAAGCAUGGAACACUGGACAGCGGUCAAGAAUAUCCUAAAGUACCUGAAAAGGACUAAGGAUAUUUUUCUCGUUUAUGGAGGUGACGAAGAGGUCGCCGUAAAGGGUUACGUUGAUGCUAGCUUCGACACAGAUCUAGAUGACUCUAAGUCACAAACCGGAUACGUGUAUAUUUUGAAUGGUGGGGCAGUAAGCUGGUGCAAUUGCAAGCAAAGCGUCGUGGCGGGAUCUACAUGUGAAGCGGAGUACACAGCAGCCUCGGAGGCAGAACAUGAAGCAAUCUGGAUGAAGGAGUUCAUUACCGACCUAGGAGUUAUUCCCAAUGCGUCAGGGCCGAUGACUCUCUUCUAUGACAACACUGGAGCCAUUUCCCUUGCCAAGGAGCCCAGGUUUCACAAGAAGACCAGGCACACCAAGCGUCGCUUCAACUCCGAUCCAUUCGUGAAAAUGUUCAAGAUGGAGACAUAGAUAUUUGCAAAGUGCAUACGGAUCUGAAUGUCGCAAAUCCGUUGACUAAACCUCUUCCGCGAGCAAAACAUGAUCAACACCAGAACUCUAUGGGUGUUCGAUUCAUCACAAUGUAACUAGAUUAUUGACUCUAUUGCAAGUGGGAGACUGUUGGAAAUAUGCCCUAGAGGCAAUAAUAAAAUGGUUAUUAUUAUAUUUCCUUGUUCAUGAUAAUUGUCUAUUGUUCAUGCUAUAAUUGUGUUAUCCGGAAAUCGUAAUACAUGUGUGAAUACAUAGACCACAACAUGUCCCUAGUGAGCCUCUAGUUGACUAGCUCGUUGAUCAACAGAUAGUCAUGGUUUCCUGACUAUAGACAUUGGAUGUCGUUGAUAACAGGAUCACACCAUUAGGAGAAUGAUGUGAUGGACAAGACCCAAUCCUAAGCAUAGCACAAGAUCAUGUAGUUCGUUUGCUAAAGCUUUUCUAAUGUCAAGUAUCAGUUUCUUAGACCAUGAGAUUGUGUAACUCCCGGAUACCGUAGGAGUGCUUUGGGUGUACCAAACGUCACAACGUAACUGGGUGACUAUAAAGGCACACUACAGGUAUCUCCGUAAUUGUCUAUUGGGUUAGCACGAAUCGAGACUGGGAUUUGUCACUCCGUAUGAUGGAGAGGUAUCUCUGGGCCCACUCGGUAAUGCAUCAUUAUAAUGAGCUCAAUGUGACCAAGUGGUUGGUCACGGGAUCAUGCAUUACGUACGACUCCAUCAACCCCGUUCACUUGAACGCUUCCGCUCGCGAUCUACAAGGGUAUGUAGAUGCACUCCUAUCUCUCUCGUUGCUAGAUGACUCCAUAGAUUGAUCUUGGUGAUGCGUAGAAAAAUUUUAUUUUCUGCAACGAUCCCCAACAUGGUUAACCCUAAGGUGCGCUUAUGUGCAGGUCAUCUACACUCGUCGUUUCGGUUGAUUCUGGCCCAUCUCAUUGGCUAUUGCUCACCAUUUUGAGGUCCUUGAGCGAUUUCCAUGAUUAUUGAUCCCCGAGGUACGUUUACAUGUAGGUCAUCAACACUAGUAGUUUUAGCCAAUUUUGGCCCGUUUCGUGGACUAUUACUCACCAUUUUGGGGUCUCGAUGUGAUUUCCACGAUUGAUGAACCUCGGGGUGCAUUUACCUAUCGGUCAUCAACACUCGCAUGUUUGGCCGAUUCGGACCCAUUUCGUGGACUAUUACUCACCGUUUUGGUAUCCCGAAACGAUUUUCUUGGUUGAUGAACCCCAAUGAGCGCUUACAUGCAUGAUAUUAACACUCGCCGUUUUGGCCAAUUCUGGCCUGUUUCAUGGACAAUUACUCACCGGUUUGGGGUCCUUGAGCGAUUUUUAUGGUUGCUGAACCCAAAGGUGCGCUUACGUAUCGUUCAUCAACACUCAUUGUUUUGCCCGAUUCUGACCCGUUUCAUGGACUAUUACUCACCGUUUGGGGGUAAGGAGCAAUUUCCAUGGUUACUGAACCCCGAGGUGCACUUAUGUGCAGGUCAUUCUGUCCCGUUUCAUGGACUAUUACUCACCGUUUUGGGGUCCUGGGGCAAUUUCUAUGAUUGACGAUCCCCGGGGUGCAUGUCAUUCAUUAAGACUCGCCGUUUUGGCCUAUUCUAGCCCGUUUCAUGGGCUAUUACUCACCGUUUUGGGGUCCCUCUUUGAUUUCCAUGGUUGUCGAAAUCAAAGGUACUAUUAGGUGGAGGUCAUCAACACUCGCCUUUCCUGGGGCGAUUUUCAUGGUUGUUGAACCCUAAGGUGUGCUUAUGUGCAGGUCAUCAACACUCGUUGUUUUGGUUGAUUCUGGCCUGUCUAAUUGGCUAUUGCUUACCAUUUUGAGGUCCUAGAGCGAUUUCCACGAUUAUUGAUCCCCGAGGUGCGUUUACGUGUAGGUCAUCAAUAGUAGCAGUUUUGGCCGAUUUUGGCGCGUUUCGUGGACUAUUACUCACUAUUUUGGGGUCUCGGUGCAAUUUCCACGAUUGAUGAACCUCGGGGUGCAAUUACCUAUCGGUCAUCAACACUCACAGGUUUGGCCGAUUCUGGCCCGUUUCAUGGGCUAUUACUCACUGUUUUGCGGUCCUCGGGCGAAUUCCAUGGUUGUUGUACCCUAAGGUGCGCUUAUAUGCAGGUCAUCAACACUAGCAGUUUUGGCCGAUUUUGGCGCGUUUCUUGGACUANNNNNNNNNNUACUCACCAUUUUGAGGUCUUAGAGCGAUUUCCACGAUUGAUGAACCUCGGGGUGCAUUUACCUAUCGGUCAUCAACACUCGCAGGUUUGGCCUAUUCUGGCCCGUUUCGUGGGCUAUUACUCAUGUUUUGGGGUCCUGGAGCGAUUUCCAUGGUUGUUGAACCCUAAGGUGCGCUUAUGUGCAGGUCAUCAACACUCGUUGUUUUGGUUGAUUCUGGCCUGUCUCAUUGGCUAUUACUCACCAUUUUGAGGUCCUGGAGCGAUUUUCACGAUUAAUGAUCCCCGAGGUGUGUUUACGUGUAGCUCAUUAACACUAGCAGUUUUGGCCAAUUUUGGCGCAUUUCAUGGACAAUUACUCACCAUUUUCGGGUCUCGGUGCAAUUUCCACGAUUGGUGAACUUCGGGGUGCAUUUACCUAUCGGUCAUCAACACUCACAGGUUUGGCCGAUUUUGGCCCGUUUCUUGGGCUGUUACUCACCGUUUUGGGGUCCUGGGGCGANNNNNNNNNNCCGUUUCAUGGGCUAUUACUCACUGUUUUGCGGUCCUCGGGCGAAUUCCAUGGUUGUUGUACCCUAAGGUGCGCUUAUAUGCAGGUCAUCAACACUAGCAGUUUUGGCCGAUUUUGGCGCGUUUCUUGGACUAUUACUCACCAUUUUGGGGUCUCAGUGCGAUUUACACGAUUGAUGUACCUCGGGUGCAUUUACCUAUCGGUCAUCGACACUCACAGGUUUGGCCGAUUCUGGCCCGUUUCAUGGGCUAUUACUCACCGUUUUGGGGUCGUGGGGCGAUUUCCAUGGUUGUUGAACCCUAAGGUGUGCUUAUGUGCAGGUCAUCAACACUCGUCGUUUUAGUUGAUUCUGGCCCGUCUCAUUGGCUAUUGCUCACCAUUUUGACGCCCUGGAGCGAUUUCCAUGAUUAUUGAUCCCCGAGGUGCGUUUACGUGUAGGUCAUCAACACUAGCAGUUUUGGACGACUUUGGCGCGUUUCGUGGACUAUUACUCACCAUUUUGAGGUCUUAGAGCGAUUUCCACGAUUGAUGAACCUCGGGGUGCAUUUACCUAUCGGUCAUCAACACUAUUACUCGCUAUUUUGGCCGAUUCUGUCCCGUUUCAUGGACUAUUACUCACAGUUUUGGGGUCCUGGGGCAAUUUCUAUGAUUGACGAUCCCCGGGGUGCAUGUCAUUCAUUAAGACUCGCCGUUUUGGCCUAUUCUAGCCCGUUUCAUGGGCUAUUUCUCACCGUUUUGGGGUCCCUCUUUGAUUUCCAUGGUUGUCGAAAUCAAAGGUACUAUUAGGUGGAGGUCAUCAACACUCGCCUUUCCUGGGGCGAUUUUCAUGGUUGUUGAACCCUAAGGUGUGCUUAUGUGCAGGUCAUCAACACUCGUUGUUUUGGUUGAUUCUGGCCUGUCUAAUUGGCUAUUGCUUACCAUUUUGAGGUCCUAGAGCGAUUUCCACGAUUAUUGAUCCCCGAGGUGCGUUUACGUGUAGGUCAUCAAUAGUAGCAGUUUUGGCCGAUUUUGGCGCGUUUCGUGGACUAUUACUCACUAUUUUGGGGUCUCGGUGCAAUUUCCACGAUUGAUGAACCUCGGGGUGCAAUUACCUAUCGGUCAUCAACACUCACAGGUUUGGCCGAUUCUGGCCCGUUUCAUGGGCUAUUACUCACUGUUUUGCGGUCCUCGGGCGAAUUCCAUGGUUGUUGUACCCUAAGGUGCGCUUAUAUGCAGGUCAUCAACACUAGCAGUUUUGGCCGAUUUUGGCGCGUUUCUUGGACUANNNNNNNNNNUACUCACCAUUUUGAGGUCUUAGAGCGAUUUCCACGAUUGAUGAACCUCGGGGUGCAUUUACCUAUCGGUCAUCAACACUCGCAGGUUUGGCCUAUUCUGGCCCGUUUCGUGGGCUAUUACUCAUGUUUUGGGGUCCUGGAGCGAUUUCCAUGGUUGUUGAACCCUAAGGUGCGCUUAUGUGCAGGUCAUCAACACUCGUUGUUUUGGUUGAUUCUGGCCUGUCUCAUUGGCUAUUACUCACCAUUUUGAGGUCCUGGAGCGAUUUUCACGAUUAAUGAUCCCCGAGGUGUGUUUACGUGUAGCUCAUUAACACUAGCAGUUUUGGCCAAUUUUGGCGCAUUUCAUGGACAAUUACUCACCAUUUUCGGGUCUCGGUGCAAUUUCCACGAUUGGUGAACUUCGGGGUGCAUUUACCUAUCGGUCAUCAACACUCACAGGUUUGGCCGAUUUUGGCCCGUUUCUUGGGCUGUUACUCACCGUUUUGGGGUCCUGGGGCGAUUUCCAUUGUUGUUGAACCCUAAGGUGCGCUUAUGUGCAGGUCAUAAACACUCGUCGUUUUGGUUGAUUCUGGCCCGUCUCAUUGGCUAUUGCUCACCAUUUUGAGGUCAUGGAGAGAUUUCCACGAUUAUUGAUCCCCGAGGUGCGUUUAUGUGUACGUCAUCAACACUAGCAGUUUUGGCCAACUUUGGUGCAUUUUGUGGACUAUUACUCACCAUUUUGGGGUCUCAGAGGGAUUUCCAUGAUUGAUGAACCUCGGGGUGCAUUUACCUAUCGGUCAUCAACACUCGCAGGUUUGGCCUAUUCUGGCACGUUUCAUGGGCUAUUACUCACGUUUUGGGGUCGUGGAGCGAUUUCCAUGGUUGCUGAAGCCUAAUGUGCGCUCAUGUGCAGUUCAUCAACACUCAUCGUUUUGGUUGAUUCUGGUCUGUCUCAUUGCCUAUUUCUCACCAUUUUGAGGUCCUGGAGCGAUUUCCAUGAUUAAUGAUUCCCGAGGUGCGUUUACGUGUAGGUCAUCAACACUAGAAAUUUUGGCCGAUUUUGGCGCGUUUCAUGGACAAUUACUCACCAUUUGGGGGUCUCGGUGCAAUUUCCGUGAUUGGUGAACCUCGGGGUGCAUUUACCUAUCGGUCAUCAACACUCACAGGUUUGGCCGAUUCUGGCCCAUUUCAUGGGCUAUUACUCACCGUGUUGGGUCCUGGGGUGAUUUCCAUGGUUGUUGAACCCUAAGGUGCGCUUAUGUGCAGGUCAUCAACACUCGUCGUUUNNNNNNNNNNNNNNNNNNNNNNNNNNNNNNNNNNNNNNNNNNNNNNNNNNNNNNNNNNNNNNNNNNNNNNNNNNNNNNNNNNNNNNNNNNNNNNNNNNNNNNNNNNNNNNNNNNNNNNNNNNNNNNNNNNNNNNNNNNNNNNNNNNNNNNNNNNNNNNNNNNNNNNNNNNNNNNNNNNNNNNNNNNNNNNNNNNNNNNNNNNNNNNNNNNNNNNNNNNNNNNNNNNNNNNNNNNNNNNNNNNNNNNNNNNNNNNNNNNNNNNNNNNNNNNNNNNNNNNNNNNNNNNNNNNNNNNNNNNNNNNNNNNNNNNNNNNNNNNNNNNNNNNNNNNNNNNNNNNNNNNNNNNNNNNNNNNNNNNNNNNNNNNNNNNNNNNNNNNNNNNNNNNNNNNNNNNNNNNNNNNNNNNNNNNNNNNNNNNNCAUGGGCUAUUACUCACUGUUUUGGGGUCCUGGGGCGGUUUCCAUGGUUGUUGAACCAUAAGGUGCGCUUAUGUGCAGGUCAUCAACACUCGUCGUUUUGGUUGAUUCUGGCCCGUCUCUUUGGCUAUUGCUCACCAUUUUGAGGCCCUGGAGCGAUUUGCAUGAUUAUUGAUCCCCGAGGUGCGUUUACGUGUAGGUCAUCAACACUAGCAGUUUUGGCCGACUUUGGCGCGUUUCGUGGACUGUUACUCGCCAUUUUAGGGUCUCGGUGCGAUUUCCAUGAUUGAUGAACCUCGGGGUGCAUUUACCUAUCGGUUAUCAACACUCACAGGUUAGGCCAAUUCUGGCAUGUUUCAUGGGCUAUUACUCACUGUUUUGGCGUCGUGUGGCGAUUUCCAUGGUUGUUGAACCCUAAGGUGCGCUUAUGUGCAUGUCAUCAACACUAGAAGUUUUGGCCGAUUUUGGCGCGUUUCUUCGACUAUUACUCACCAUUUUUGGGUCUUAGUGCGAUUUCCACGAUUGAUGAACCUCGGGGUGCAUUUACCUAUCGGCCAUCAACACGAUUCUGGCCCGUUUUAUGGGCUUUUACUGUUGGGGAAUGUAGCAGAAAUUCAAAAUUUUCUAUGCAUCACCAAGAUUAAUCUAUGGAGAUUCUAGGAACAAGAGAGAGGGGAGUGUAUCUUCAUACCCUUGAAGACCGCGAUGCGGAGGCGUUACAAGAACGCGGUUGGAGAAUUCGUACAGGCAGCGAUUCAGAUCGCGGUCGAUUCCGAUCUAAGCACCGAACAACGGCGCCUCCACGUUCAACACACGUGCAGCCCGGUGACGUCUCCCAUGCCUUUAUCCAGCAAGGAGGAGGGAAGGGUUGGGGAAGACAACUCCAGCAGCAGCACGACGGCGUGGUGGUGGUGGAGCAGCAUGGUUUCUAGCAGGGCUUCGCCAAGCACUACGAAGGACGAGGAUGUGGAGAUAUAGGCAUGCGCCGAGAGAGAGAGAGAGAGAGAGAGAGAGAGAGAGAGAGACUCGUGUCUUUGGCAGCCCAAAAAACCCACUAUAUAUAGAGGAGGGGAGGUGGUUGCGCCCCCUCUAGGGUUCCCACCCUAGGGGGUGCGGCAGCCCUAGAUGGGAUUGGAGGGGGCGGCGAGGAGGGGGAGAGAGACUCGUGUCUUUGGCAGCCCCAAAACCCCCACAAUGCAUAGGAGGAGGGGAGGUGGCUGCGCCCCCUCUAGGGUUCCCACCCUAGGGGGUGCGGCAGCCCUAGAUGGGACUUGGAGGGGCGGCCAGGAGGGGGAGAGAGGGGGCGUGCCCUAGGGUGGGCCUUUAGGCCCAUCUGCGCCUAGGGUUUCCCCUCUCUCCUCCUAGCUGCGCCUUGGGCCUUGAUGCGAGGCGCACCAGCCCACUCACGGGCUGGUCCCUUCCCACUCUUGCCCAUGCAAGCCUCCGGGGCUACUGGCCCCUCCCGGUGGACCCCCGGAACCCUUCCGAUGGUCCCGGUACAUUACCAGUGACGCCCGAAAUACAUCCGGUGGCCAAAACCUCACUUCCUAUAUAUUAUUCUUUACCUCCAGACCAUUCCGGAACUCCUCGUGACAUCCGGGAUCUCUCCGGGACUCCGAACAACAUUCGGUAACCACAUACAAAUUCCCUUAUAACCCUAUCGUCAUUGAACCUUAAGUGUGUAGACCCUACGGGUUCGGGAAUCAUGCAGACAUGACCGAGACAGCUCUCCGGCCAAUAACAAACAGCGUGAUAUGGAUACCCAUGUUGGCUCCAACAUGUUCCACGCUGAUCUCAUCGGAUGAACCAUGAUGUCGGGGAUUCAAGCAAUCCCGUAUACAAUUCCCUUUGUCAAUCGGUAUGUUACUUGCCCGAGAUUCGAUCGUCGGUAUCCCAAUACCUCGUUCAAUCUCGUUACCGGCAAGUCACUUAACUCGUUUCGUAAUGCAUGAUCCCGUGACCAACUACUUAGUCACAUUGAGCUCAUUAUGAUGAUGCAUUACCGAGUGGGCCCAGAGAUACCUCUCCAUCAUAUAGAGUGACAAAUCCCAGUCUUAAUUCGUGCCAACCCAACAGACACUUUCGGAGAUACCUGUAGUGCACCAUUAUAGACACCCAGUUAUGUUGUGACAUUUGGUACACCCAAAGCAUUCCUACGGUAUCCGAGAGUUACACAAUCUCAUGGUCUAAGGAAAUGAUACUUGAUAUUAGAAAAAGCUUUAGCAAACGAACUACACGAUCUUGUGCUAUGCUUAGGAUUGGGUCUUGUCCAUCACAUCAUUCUCCUAAUGAUGUGAUCCCAUUAUCAAUGACAUCUAAUGUCCAUGGUUAGGAAACCAUAACCAUCUAUUGAUCAACGAGCUAGUCAACUAGAGGCUCACUAGGGACAUGUUGUGGUCUAUGUAUUCACACAUGUAUUACGGUUUCCGGUUAAUACAAUUAUAGCAUGAACAAUAGACAGUUAUCAUGAACAAGGAAAUAUAAUAAUAACUUUUUUAUGCCUCUAGGGCAUAUUUCCAACAGUCUCCCACUUGCACUAGAGUCAAUAAUCUAGUUACAUUGUGAUGAAUCGAACACCCAUAGAGUUUUGGUGUUGAUCAUGUUUUGCUCAUGGAAGAGGUUUAGUCAACGAAUCUGCGACAUUCAGAUCCGUAUGCACUUUACAAAUAUCUAUGUCUCCAUCUUCAACAUUUUCAUGAAUGGAGUUGAAGCGACGCUUAAUAUUCCUGGUCUUCUUGUGAAACCUGGGCCCCUUAGCAAGGGCAAUAGCUCAAGUGUUGUCACAGAAGAGAGUCAUCGGGCCCGACGCAUUGGGAAUAACUCCUAGGUCGGUAAUGAACUCCUUCAUCCAGAUUGCUUCAUGUGCUGCCUCCGAGGAGGCCAUGUACUCCGCUUCAGAUGUAGAUCCCGCCACGACACUUUGCUUGCAACUGCACCAGCUUACUGCCCCACUAUUCAAAAUAUACAUGUAUCCGGUUUGCGACUUGCAGUCAUCCAGAUCUGUGUUGAAGCUAGCAUCGAUGUAACCCUUUACAGUGAGCUCUUCUUAACCUCUAUAAACGAGAAACAUAUCCUUAGUCCUUUUCAGGUACUUCAGGAUAUUCUUGACCGUUGUCCGGUGUUCCGUGCUGGGACUACUUUGGUACCUGCCUACCAAACUUGCGGCAAGGUUUACAUCAGGUCUAGUACACAGCAUGGCAUACAUAAUAGACCCUAUGGCUGAGGCAUAGGGGAUGACACUCAACUUUUCUCUAUCUUCUGUCGAGGUCGGGCAUUGAGCCGUGCUCAAUUUCACACCUUGCAAAACAGGCAAGAACCCCUUCUUGGACUGAUCCAUAUUGAACUUCUUCAAUAUCUUAUCAAGGUAUGUGCUUUGUGAAAGACUGAUGAGGCAUCUCGAUCUAUCUCUAUAGAUCUUGAUGCCUAAUAUGUAAGCAGUUUCUCCAAGGUCCUUCAUUGAAAAACACUUAUUCAAGUAGGCCUUUAUGCUAUCCAAAAAUCUAUAUCAUUUCCCAUCAAUAGUAUGUCAUCCACAUAUAAUAUGAGAAAUGCUACAGAGCUCCCACUCACUUUCUUGUAAACGCAGGCUUCUCCAUAAGUCUGCACAAACCCAAACGCUUUGAUCAUUUCAUCAAAACAAAUGUUCCAACUUCGAGAUGCUUGCACCAGCCCAUAGAUGGAGCGUUGGAGCUUGUACGCCUUGUUAGCAUUCUUAGGAUUAACAAAACCUUCCGGCUGCAUCAUAUACAAUUCUUCCUUGAGAAAAUCAUUAAGGAAUGCCGUUUUGACGUCCAUUUGCCAUAUCUCAUAAUCAUAGAAUGCGGCAAUUGCUAACAAGAUUCGGACGGACUUCAGCUUUGCUACAGGUGAGAAGGUCUCAUCGUAGUCAACCCCUUGAACUUGUCGAUAACCUUUAGCGACAAGUCGAGCUUUAUAGAUGGUCACAUUACCAUCCGCGUCAGUCUUCUUCUUAAAGAUCCAUUUAUUUUCUAUGGCUCGCCGAUCAUCGGGCAAGUCCGUCAAAGUCCAUACUUUGUUUUCAUACAUGGAUCCUAUCUCAAAUUUCAUGGCUUCAAGCCAUUUGUUGGAAUCUGGGCCCACCAUCGCUUCUUCAUAGUUCGAAGGUUCACCGUUUUCUAACAACAUGAUUUCCAGGACAGGGUUUCCAUACCAUUCUGGUGUGGAACAUGUCCUUGUGGACCUACGAAGUUUAGUAGCAACUUGAUCUGAAGUACCUUGAUCAUCAUCAUUAACUUCCUCUCUAGUCGGUGCAGGCACCACAGAAACAUCUUCCUGAGAUGCGCUACUUUUAGGUUCAAGAGGCGGUACUUCAUCAAGUUCUACUUUCCUCCCACUUACUUAUUUCGAGAGAAACUCUUUCUCCAGAAAGGAUCCGUUCUUGGCAACAAAGAUCUUGCCUUCAGAUCUGAGGUAGAAGGUAUACCCAAUGGUUUCCUUAGUGUAUCCUAUGAAGACGGCUUUUUUGGACUUGGGUUCGAACUUUUCAAGUUGAAGUUUAUUUACAUAAGCAUCGCAUCCCCAAACUUUUAGAAAUGACAGCUUAGGUUUCUUCCCAAACCAUAAUUCAUACGAUGUUGUCUCAAUGGAUUUAGACGGUGCCCUAUUUAAAGUGAAUGUGGUUGUCUCUAAAGCAUAGCCCCAAAAUGAUAGCGAUAAAUCGGUAAGAGACAUCAUAGAUCGCACCAUGUCCAAUAGAGUGCGAUUACGAUGUUCAGACACACCAUUACGCUAAGGUGUUCCAGGCGGCGUGAGUUGUGAAACAAUUCCACAUUUCCUUAAGUGCAUACCAAACUCGUGACUUAAAUAUUCUCCUCCAUGAUCUGAUCGUAUGAACUUUAUUUUCCUGUCGCGUUGAUUCUCUACCUCACUCUGAAAUUCCUUCAACUUUUCAAAGGUCUCAAACUUGUGUUUCAUCAAGUAGACAUAUCCAUAUCAACUUAAGUCAUCAGUGAGGGUGAGAACAUAACGAUAGCCACCGCGAGCCUCAACGCUCAUUGGACCGCACACAUCAGUAUGUAUUAUUUCCAACAAGUUGGUUGCUCGCUCCAUUUUUCUGGAGAACGGAGUCUUGGACAUCUCGCCCAAAAGGCAUGGUUCGCACGUGUCAAAUGAUUCAUAACCAAGAGACUCCAGAAGUCCAUCUGCAUGGAGUUUCUUCAUGCGUUUGACACCAAUGUGACCAAGGCGGCAGUGCCACAAGUAUGUGGGACUAUCAUUAUUAACCUUACAUCUUUUGGUAUUCACACUAUGAAUAUGUGUAACAUCACGUUUGAGAUUCAAUAAGAAUAAACCAUUGACCAGUGGGGCAUGACCAUAAAACAUAUCUCUCAUAUAAAUAGAACAACCAUUAUUCUCAUAUUUAAAUGAGUAGCCAUCUCGCAUUAAACUAGAUCCAGAUACAAUGUUCAUUCUCAAAGCUGGCACUACAUAACAAUUCUUGAGGUUUAAAACUAAUCCCGUAGGUAAAUGUAGAGGUAGCGUGCCGACAGCGAUCACAUCGACCUUGGAACCAUUCCCGACGCGCAUCGUCACCUCGUCCUUCGCUAGUCUCCGUUUAUUCCGCAGCUCCUGUUUUGAGUUACAUAUAUGAGCAACCGCACCAGUAUCAAAUACCCAGGAGCUACUACGAGUACUGGUAAGGUACACAUCAAUAACAUGUAUAUCACAUAUACAUUUGGUGUUGCCGGCCUUCUUAUCCCCUAGGUACUUGGGGCAGUUCCGCUUCUAGUGACCAUUUCCCUUGCAAUAAAAGCAUUGAGUCUCAGGCUUGGGUCCAUUGUUUGGCUUCUUCCCAGCAAAUGAUUUAUCGGGUGUGGCAACUCCCUUGCCGUCCUUCUUGAAGUUCUUUUUACCCUUGCCUUUCUUGAAACUAGUGGUCUUAUUAACCAUCAACACUUGAUGUUCCUUUUUGAUUUCCACCUUCGGUGAUUUCAGCAUUGAAUAUAACUCAAGAAUGGACUUCUCCAUCCCCUGCAUAUUGUAGUUUAUCAGAAAGCUCUUGUAGCUAGGUGGGAGCGACUGAAGGAUUAUGUCAAUGACCGAGUCAUCUGGGAGAUUAACCGCCAACUGAGACAAACGGUUGUGUAACCCGGACAUAGUGAGUAUGUGCUCACUGACAGAACUGUUUUCCUCCAUCUUACAACUGUAGAACUUGUCGGAGACUUCAUAUCUCUCAACUCGUGCAUGAGCUUGGAAAACCAUUUUCAGCUCUUGGAACAUCUCAUACGCUCCGUGCUGCUCAAAACGCUUUUGGAGCCCCGAUUCUAAGCUGUAAAGCAUGCCGCACUGAACCAGGGAGUAAUCAUCACUACACGACUGCCAGGCGUUCAUAACGUCUUGAGUUGCUGGGAAAAUGGGUGCUUCACCUAGUGGUGCUUCUAGGACAUAUGCUUUCUUGGCAGCUAUGAGGAUGAUCCUCAAGUUCCGGACCCAGUUCGUAUAGUUGCUACCAUCGUCUUUCAGCUUGGUUUUCUCUAGGAACGCGUUGAAGUUGAGGGCAACAUUAGCGUGGGCCAUUUGAUCUACAAGACAUGUUGUAAAGAUUUUUAGACUAUGUUCAUGGUAAUUAAGUUCAUACAAUCAAAUUUUAAUGAACUCCCACUCAGAUAGAAAUCCCUUUAGUCAUCUAAGUGAUACAUGAUCCGAGUCAACUAGGCCAUGUCCGAUCAUCACGUGAGACGGACUAGUCAUCAUCGGUGAACAUCUUCAUGUUGAUCGUAUCUACUAUACGACUCAUGUUCGACCUUUUGGUCUCUUGUGUUCCGAGGCCAUGUCUGUACAUGCUAGGCUCGUCAAGUCAACCUAAGUGUUUUGCAUGUGUAAAUAUGGCUUACACCUGUUGUAUGUGAAUGUUAGAAUCUAUCACACCCGAUCAUCAUGUGGUGCUUCAAAGCAACGAACUUUCGCAACGGUGCACAGUUAGGGGGAACACUUUCUUGAAAUUUUAAGAGGGAUCAUCUUAUUUAUGCUACCGUCGUUCUAAGCAAAUAAGAUGUAAACAUGACAAACAUCACAUGCAAAUCAUAAAGUGACAUGAUAUGGCCAAUAUCAUUUUGUGCCUUUGAACAUCAUCUUCGAGGCGCGGCAUGAUCACCUUCGUCGCCGGCAUGACACCAUGAUCUCCAUCAUCAUGAUCUACAUCAUCGUGUCUCCAUGAAGUUGUCUCGCCAACUAUUACUUCUACUACUAUAGCUAACGAUUAGCAAUAAAGUAAAGUAAUUACAUGGCGUUUUUCAAUGACACGCGGAUCAUACAAUAAAUUAAGACAACUCCUAUGGCUCCUGCCGGUUGUCAUACUCAUCGACAUGCAAGUCGUGAUUCCUAUUACAAGAACAUGAUCAAUCUCAUACAUCACAUAUCAUUCAUCACAUUAUUUUGGCCAUAUCACAUCACAUAGCAUUCCCUGCAAAAACAAGUUAGACGUCCUCUAAUUGUUGUUGCAUAUUUUAUGUGGCUGCUAUGGGUUUCUAGCAAGAACGUUCUUACCUACGCAAAGCCACAACGGUGAUAUGCCAAUUGUUAUUUACCCUUCAUAAGGACCCUUUUCAUCAAAUCUGAUCCGACUAAAGUGGGAGAGACUGGCACCCGCUAGCCACCUUAUGCAACAAGUGCAUGUCAGUCAGUGGAACCUGUCUCACGUAAGCGUACGUGUAAGGUCGGGCCGGGCCGCUUCAUCCUACAAUACCGUCGAAACAAGAUAGGACUAGUAACGGCAAGCAUAUUGAACAAAACCAACGCCCACAACUACUUGUGUUCUACUCGUGCAUAGAAUAUACGCAAAAGACCUAGCUCAUGAUGCCACUAUUGGGGAACAUAGCAGAAAUUCAAAAUUUUCUACGCAUCACCAGGAUCAAUCUAUGGAGAUUCUAGCAACAAGAGAGAGGGGAGUGUAUCUUCAUACCCUUGAAGAUCGCGGCGCGGAAGCGUUACAAGAACGCGGUUGGAGGAGUCAUACACGCAGUGAUUCAGAUCAUGGUCGAUUCCGAUCUAAGCACCGAACAACAGCGCUUCCGUGUUCAACACACGUGCAGCCCGGUGAUGUCUCCCGUGCCUUGAUCCAGCAAGGAGGAGGGAGAGGUUGGGGAAGACAACUCCAACAUCAGCACGAUGGCGUGGUGGUGGUGGAGCAGAGUGGUUUCCAGCAGGGCUUCGCCAAGCACUACGAAGGACGAGGAUGUGGAGAGGUAGGGUUGCGCCAAGACAGAGAGAGAGAGAGAGAGAGAGAGAGAGACUCGUGUCUUUGGCAGCCCCAAAAAACCCACUAUAUAUAGGACGAGUGGAGGUGGUUGCGCCCCCUCUAGGGUUCCCACCCUAGGGGGUGCGGCAGCCCUAGAUGGGACUGGAGGGGGCGGCAAGGAGGGGGAGAGAGAUUCGUGUGUUUGGCAGCCCCAAAACCCCCACUAUGCAUAGGAGGAGGGGAGGUGGCUGCGCCCCCUCUAGGGUUCCCACCCUAGGGGGUGCGGCAGCCCUAGAUGGGACUUGGAGGGGGCGGCCAGGAGGGGGAGAGGGGGUGCGCCCUAGGGUGGGCCUUUAGGCCCAUCUGCGCCUAGGGUUUCCCCUCUGUCCUCCUAGUUGCGCCUUGGGCCUUGGUGGGAGGCGCACCAUACCACUCAGGGGCUGGUCCCUUCCCACUCUUGGCCCAUGCAAGCCUCCGGGGCUGGUGGCCCCUCCCGGUGGACCCCCGAAACCCUUCCAGUGGUCCCGGUACAUUAUCGAUGACGCCCGAAAUACUUCCGGUGGCCAAAACCUCAAUUUUCAUAUAUAUUAUUCUUUACCUCCGGACCAUUCCGGAACUCAUCGUGACAUCCGAGAUCUCAUCCGGGACUCCGAACAACAUUCGGUAACCACAUACAAACUUCCCUUAUAACCCUAGCGUCAUCGAACCUUAAGUGUGUAGACCCUACGGGUUCGGGAAUCAUGCAGACAUGACCGAGAUAGCUCUCCGGCCAAUAACCAAUAGCGGGAUCUGGAUAUCCAUGUUGGCUCCCACAUGUUCCACGAUCAUCUCAUCGGCUGAACCAUGAUGUCGGGGAUUCAAGCAAUCCCGUAUACAAUUCCCUUUGUCAAUCGGUAUGUUACUUGGCCGAGAUUCGAUCUUCGGUAUCCCAAUACCUCGUUCAAUCUUGUUACCGGCAAGUCACUUUACUAACUCCGUAAUGCAUGAUCCCAUGACCAGCUACUUAGUCACAUUGAGCUCAUUAUGAUGAUGCAUUACCGAGUGGGCCCAGAGAUACCUCUCCAUCAUACAGAGUGACAAAUCCCAGUCUCGAUUUGUGCCAACCCAACAGACACUUUCCAAGAUACCUGUAGUGCACCUUUAUAGCCACCCACUUACAUUGUGACGUUUGGUACACCCAAAGCAUUCCUACGUAUCCGAGAGUUACACAAUCUCAUGGUCUAAGGAAAUGAUACUUGACAUUAUAAAAAGCUUUAGCAAACGAACUACACGAUCUUGUGCUAUGCUUAGGAUUGGGUCUUGUCCAUCACAUCAUUCUCCUAAUGAUGUGAUCCCGUUAUCAAUGACAUCUAAUGUCCAUGGUCAGGAAACCAUAACCAUCUAUUGAUCAACGAGCUAGUCAACUAGAGGCUCACAAGGGACAUGUUGUGGUCUAUGUAUUCACACAUGUAUUACGGUUUCCGAUUAAUACAAUUAUAGCAUGAAUAAUAGACAAUUAUCAUGAACAAGGAAAUAUAAUAAUAACCUUUUUAUUAUUGCCUCUAGGGCAUAUUUCCAACAAUUACUCACCGUUUUGGGGUCCUGGGGCGAUUUCCAUGGUUGUUGAACCCUAAGGUGCGCUUAUGUGCAAGUCAUGAACACUCGUCAUUUUGGUUGAUUUUGGCCCGUCUCAUUGGCUAUUGCUCACCAUUUUGAGGUCCUGGAGCGAUUUCCACGAUUAUUGAUCCCCGAGAUGUGGUUACAUGUAGGUCAUCAACACUAGUAGUUUUCGCUGAUUUUGGCGUGUUUCGUGGACUAUUACUCACCAUUUUGGGGUCUCGAUGCGAUUUCCACAAUUGAUGAACAUUGGGGUGCAUUUACCUGUCAGUCAUCAACACUCGCAGGUUUGGCUGAUUUCAUGGGCUAUUUCAUGGGCUAUUACUAACCGUUUUGGGGUCCUGGGGCGAUUUUCAUGGUUGUUGAACCCUAAGGUGCGCUUAUGUGCAGGUCAUAAACACUCAUCGUUUUGGUUGAUUCUGGACCGUCUCAUUGCCUAUUGCUCACCAUUUUCAGGCCCUGGAGCAAUUUCCACGAUUAUUGAUCCCCGAGUGUGUUUACGUGUAGGUCAUCAACACUAGUAGUUUUGGCCGAUUUUGGUGCGUUUCGUGGACUAUUACUCACCAUUUUUCAGGUCUCGAUGCGAUUUCCAUGGUUGAUGAACCUCAGGGUGCAUUUACCUAUCGGUCAUCAAGACUUGCAGGUUUGGCCGAUUUGGGCCCGUUUUGUGGACUAUUACUCACUGUUUUGGGGUCCCGAAACGAUUUUCUUGGUUGAUGAACCCCAAGGAGCGCUUACAUGCAUGAUAUUAACACUCGCCGUUUUGGCCGCUUCUAGCCUGUUUCAUGGACAAUUACUCACCGGUUUGGGGUCCUAGAGCGAUUUUUAUGAUUGCUGAACCCAAAGGUGCGCUUACUUAUCGUUCAUCAACACUCACCAUUUUGGCCGAUUCUGGCCCGUUUCAUUGACUAUUACUCACUGUUUUGCGGUAAGGAGCAAUUUCCAUGGUUAUUGAACCCCGAGGUGCACUUGUGUGUAGGUCAUUAACACUCGCUAUUUUGGCCGAUUAUGGCCCGUUUCGUGGACUAUCACUCAGAGUUUUGGGGUCCUGGAGCGAUUUCCACGAUUGACGAUCCCCGGAAUGCGCUUACAUGUCGUUCAUUAACACUCGCCGUUUUGGCCAAUUCUAACCCGUUUCAUGGGCUAUUACUCACUGUUUUGGGGUCCCUGUGCGAUUUCCAUGGUUGUUGAAAUCAAAGGUGCUAUUACGUGCAGGUCAUCAACACUCGCCGUUUUGGCUAAUUUGGACCGUCUCAUGGGCUAUUGCUCACCAUCUUGAGGUCCUGGAGCGAUUUCCACGAUUAAUGAUCCCCAAGGUGCGUUACAUGUAGGUCAUCAACACUAGCAAUUUUGGCCGAUUUUGGCGCGUUUCAUUGACAAUUACUCACCAUUUUGGGGUCUUGGUGCAAUUUCCACGAUUGAUAAACCUCGGGGUGCAUUUACCUAUCGGUCAUCAACACUCAUAGGUUUGGUCGAUUCUAGCCCGUUUCAUGGGCUAUUACUCANNNNNNNNNNNNNNNNNNNNNNNNNNNNNNNNNNNNNNNNNNNNNNNNNNNNNNNNNNNNNNNNNNNNNNNNNNNNNNNNNNNNNNNNNNNNNNNNNNNNNNNNNNNNNNNNNNNNNNNNNNNNNNNNNNNNNNNNNNNNNNNNNNNNNNNNNNNNNNNNNNNNNNNNNNNNNNNNNNNNNNNNNNNNNNNNNNNNNNNNNNNNNNNNNNNNNNNNNNNNNNNNNNNNNNNNNNNNNNNNNNNNNNNNNNNNNNNNNNNNNNNNNNNNNNNNNNNNNNNNNNNNNNNNNNNNNNNNNNNNNNNNNNNNNNNNNNNNNNNNNNNNNNNNNNNNNNNNNNNNNNNNNNNNNNNNNNNNNNNNNNNNNNNNNNNNNNNNNNNNNNNNNNNNNNNNNNNNNNNNNNNNNNNNNNNNNNNNNNNNNNNNNNNNNNNNNNNNNNNNNNNNNNNNNNNNNNNNNNNNNNNNNNNNNNNNNNNNNNNNNNNNNNNNNNNNNNNNNNNNNNNNNNNNNNNNNNNNNNNNNNNNNNNNNNNNNNNNNNNNNNNNNNNNNNNNNNNNNNNNNNNNNNNNNNNNNNNNNNNNNNNNNNNNNNNNNNNNNNNNNNNNNNNNNNNNNNNNNNNNNNNNNNNNNNNNNNNNNNNNNNNNNNNNNNNNNNNNNNNNNNNNNNNNNNNNNNNNNNNNNNNNNNNNNNNNNNNNNNNNNNNNNNNNNNNNNNNNNNNNNNNNNNNNNNNNNNNNNNNNNNNNNNNNNNNNNNNNNNNNNNNNNNNNNNNNNNNNNNNNNNNNNNNNNNNNNNNNNNNNNNNNNNNNNNNNNNNNNNNNNNNNNNNNNNNNNNNNNNNNNNNNNNNNNNNNNNNNNNNNNNNNNNNNNNNNNNNNNNNNNNNNNNNNNNNNNNNNNNNNNNNNNNNNNNNNNNNNNNNNNNNNNNNNNNNNNNNNNNNNNNNNNNNNNNNNNNNNNNNNNNNNNNNNNNNNNNNNNNNNNNNNNNNNNNNNNNNNNNNNNNNNNNNNNNNNNNNNNNNNNNNNNNNNNNNNNNNNNNNNNNNNNNNNNNNNNNNNNNNNNNNNNNNNNNNNNNNNNNNNNNNNNNNNNNNNNNNNNNNNNNNNNNNNNNNNNNNNNNNNNNNNNNNNNNNNNNNNNNNNNNNNNNNNNNNNNNNNNNNNNNNNNNNNNNNNNNNNNNNNNNNNNNNNNNNNNNNNNNNNNNNNNNNNNNNNNNNNNNNNNNNNNNNNNNNNNNNNNNNNNNNNNNNNNNNNNNNNNNNNNNNCCUAUCAGUCAUCAACACUCGCAGUUUUGACUGAUUCUGGCCCGUUUCAUGGGUUAUUACUCACCGUUUUGGGGUCCUGGGGCGAUUUCCAUGGUUAUUGAAUCCUAAGGUGCGCUUAUGUGCAAGUCAUCAACACUCGUCAUUUUGGUUGAUUCUGGCCCGUCUAAUUGGCUAUUGCUCACCAUUUUGAGGUCCUAGAGCGAUUUCCACAAUUAUUGAUCCGCGAGGUGUGUUUACGUGUAGGUCAUCCACACUGGUAGUUUUGGCCGAUUUUGACGCGUUUUGUGGACAUUACUCACCAUUUUGGGGUCUUGAUGCGAUUUCCACGAUUGAUGAACCUUGGGGUGCAUUUACCUAUCGGACAUCAACACUCGCAGGUUUGGCCGAUUCGGCCCAUUACGUGGAGUAUUACUCACCGUUUUGGGGUCCCAAAACGAUUUUCUUGGUUGAUGAACCCCAAGGAGCGCUUACAUGCAUGAUAUUAACACUCGCGGUUUUGGACGAUUCUGACUUGUUUCGUGGACAAUUAUUCUCCGAUUUGGGGUCCUAGAGCGAUUUUUAUGGUUGCUGAACCCAAAGGUGCGCUUACGUAUCGUUCAUCAACACUCACCGUUUUGGCCGAUUCUGACCCGUUUCAUGGACUAUUACUCACCGUUUUGGGGUAAGGAGCAAUUUCCAUGGUUACUGAACCCCGAGGUGCACUUAUGUGCAAGUCAUUAACACUCGCUAUUUUGGCCGAUUCUGGCCCGUUUCGUGGACUAUUACUCAUAGUUUUGGGGUCCUGAAGCAAUUUCCAUGAUUGACGAUCCCCGGGGUGCGCUUAUGUUGUUUCUGCACCGCACAUGUGUUCUUGCUGAACAUAACGGAAGACUUGUCGUAGUUCACAAUAUGUCUCGAGCACACCUCAUAUAGAUUUAUCAUGUUCUGCAGAUGUAUGGCACUCUCUCAUGAAGCUUUCAUAAGUACCAAACAGUCAUCUGCAAAUAGUAGAUGUUCAAGCAACGAAGAAAACCCCUCGGCAACAAUCAAAAAAAGAUAUGGUGAUAGAGGAUCACCUUGAUGGAGACCUCUUUGGGGCACCACCACAUCUGUGCAUUCUCCAUUCACCUUAAACUUGUAUGACACGGUGGAGAUACAUAGCAUUACAAGCUUAAUCCACCUCUCCUCAAAGCUGAGCUAGUACAUCAUCUUCUCCAAGAAGCCCCACUCCACCCUAUUAUAUGCCUUGCUCAUAUCCAACUUCACCGCGACAUAGCCAUCUUUUCCCAUUCUCUUAUUCUGCAUGUAAUGGGUACAUUCAUAAGCAAGCAAGAUAUUAUCCGUGAUCAAGCGGCCCGGUACAAAAGCGCUCUAGUUUGUUGAAAUGAUGUCAGUGAGUAUUUGUUUCAGCCGGUUAGCAAGUACCUUCGAGGUAAGUUUAUAAACCACAUUGCAAAGACUAAUGGGCCUCAAGUCCUUCAUGCUCUCCGGUUUAUGCACCUUCGGUAUGAGGACAACACAUAUAUCAUUCCAACCUUCAGGCAUAGGACCCCCAUUAAUCACACUCAGAACUUUAGUAGUCACAUUCUCUCCCACAAUAUUCCAACAUUUUUAUAAAAGAUAGAUGGCAUACCAUCCGGACCCGGGGCCUUUAGGUCUCCAAUACUCUGUAAGGCAUCAACAAUCUCCUUUUCUGUGAACGCCUCGCCGAGUAAGGCAUUCAUUUGCGGAGUCACUCGGGGGUCAACGUGACCCAAGAGCUCCUUCGUCCUCGUACCUGCAUGGGAGGUAAAAAGAUUCAAAAAAUAGUUUGUCACCACAUCUUUCAUGGCCCCCUCUUCCUCCACCAUUGUACCAUCCUCCUUCUUCAACCUCCUAAUCUUAUUCCUUCGCUUUCUCUUUGAGGUUGUUGCAUGGAAGAAUUUUGUGUUUCUAUCCACGCACUUCAGCCAAUGUACAUGUGCACGUUGCCUCCAAUAGGUUUCCUAGGUCCCCUAGGAUAUUUCUACUCCAAUCAACAAGGUCUCUCAUCACUCCUCUUGUCACCUCUGCUACCUUCUUAUCACUGCCCGACAUCUCUCCCUCCCACUUGUUUCGAACCAGUUCUCGACACAUCUCCUUUUCAAGCAAUCUCGCUUCGAAUUUGGGCUCCAAACUCCUCGUCGACCCCCUUCUUAGCCUAGCAGCCCCUUGCAGCUCAAUAAUUAUCGGGCAAUGAUCCGAGUGCCGAGGGUCUCCAUUGAUGACACGGAACGCUGGAAAUCUGUUGCACCAAGUCUGCAUGACGACUGUCCUAUCUAGUCUUUCUUUAAUGUACCGGGAAGCAUCAUGACUAAGAUUUCGCCAAGUGAAGGUGUCCCCCACAAGGUUGAGAUCUCGCAGCUCACACACCUCUAGAGCCGCUUUAAACCGGUCCAUGCAAACUUGAUAUCGUGGUGCUCCUCCAUCCUUCUCCCAUGAAUGUAGAAUUUCGUUGAAAUCUCCGGCACACAGCCAAGGCUUAUUGCUUUGGUGUUUCAGGUUUCGCAGCAACUUCCACGUCUUAUCUUUCUCAUUAUGUUUUGGUUCUCCAUAAAUCCCUAUGAACCGCCAAACGAAUCCAUCUGAUUCAGUAAUUUCCGUGUCAAUAUGGUACCGAGAGAUAAACCCAAUUAGCUUGAGAUUAGCUUGAGAUUAACUUGAUUCUUCCAAAACAAGUCUAGUCCACCACUCUGUCCCUCGCAGUCUUUUACAAUCAUAUUGGUCAUGCCCAUCUUCCACCUCAACCAUUCCAGUCUGGCAUGCACCAUCUUUGUUUCCGACAAAAAAAGCAUGUCGGGGUCCUCCUCCUUCUGAAGUUCCACAAGGCUGCAAAUUGCUAGGCCGUUCCCCAACCCCCGCCAAUUCCAUGAGAUAAGCUUCAUUGGUUCCCGCAGGGUUGUCCCGGCAACCCCGCAUCCCACAUUUCUUUGUGCCUUCGUCUCCCUCCUUGUCACUCCCCCCUUCCUUUGUAUUCUUUGCCCCCACCCACCCCCCCUCCCCAUUCCAUCAAUNNNNNNNNNNNNNNNNNNNNNNNNNNNNNNNNNNNNNNNNNNNNNNNNNNNNNNNNNNNNNNNNNNNNNNNNNNNNNNNNNNNNNNNNNNNNNNNNNNNNNNNNNNNNNNNNNNNNNNNNNNNNNNNNNNNNNNNNNNNNNNNNNNNNNNNNNNNNNNNNNNNNNNNNNNNNNNNNNNNNNNNNNNNNNNNNNNNNNNNNNNNNNNNNNNNNNNNNNNNNNNNNNNNNNNNNNNNNNNNNNNNNNNNNNNNNNNNNNNNNNNNNNNNNNNNNNNNNNNNNNNNNNNNNNNNNNNNNNNNNNNNNNNNNNNNNNNNNNNNNNNNNNNNNNNNNNNNNNNUCCCUUCCUCUUCUCAUGAUGACCACUGAUGCGGCAACACCCGUACUCUCCCUUGACACACGCUUAAACGUGUCGUUCCUGCCCUUCUCACUCUCUUUUUUAAGGUAUGAGCCUUCUCCUCUGCAUGCAGCUCCCUCGGCAUGUUUUGCUCCCCUCUCUACCCCUGCAGACGGGUCCCCUUGCUUGUUUGGGACUGCCUUGUUUGUGGUUGCACCCACUGAUCCUCCCGCUUACUCCAAAGCACCAAAACUCGGGCAUUUUUGCUCUUUUCCUCACCCUUUUCCUUAUUUUGUUGGCCCGCUGCCAGUGUGAUCUUUAGAGGACUAGUAACUUCAGUUUCGAUCGUGCUCUUCUUCCCAUUGUCUCCCCCACUUCCACUCGAUUUUUUCCAGGAGUCCACAUCACUCCUAGACCUCCCCUCGCUAUUCAGCCACCCAUAUCUCAUGCCCGAACUGCCAUCACUGUUUUCUCUCCAGUUCACUCUUCCUGCCUCAUUGACAUGAGCUCUUUCCGGCACAUACUUCAGCCAUCUUCCAAACUCAACUUGUUGGCCCUUCUUCAGCUUGAUGUUGCACUCUCUGUCCACAUGACCAAGCUUCCCACAAGUAUAGCAGAAAUCAGGCUAAUAUUCGUACCCAAAGUGGCACCAGAUCCUCCCUUCAUUUCCUUUUUCGAUCUCUCUUCAUCGGUCAUGCCUACCUCCAUGUCACUCCCUAUUCCCCCUCCUCCGGUUCUACGUCCAGGUACAGUCCCCUCAUGAGAGGUUCUGCGACUUUGAUCUUCACUUUUACCCUCAAGCAUUUACCCAAUGCCCUUCCAUCCUCGCCAGCAUCAACCUCCAUCAAUUUACCUAUUUCUUCCGCCAAGUCUUCUCAUACCUCCCUGCACAUCAUUCCCAACGGAACAUUGUAGAUUCUCACCCAGAUUGGCACCGUGUCGAAAGUGUAAUCCUCCGGUGUUUUGCGAGGAUCGAAGUCUUCCAUCACAAGCAGCUCCUUGCCAAAGGUCCAUGGGCCAUUAUCCAAUGCUUUUCUCUUCCUCGCCUCGUGAUGAAAAAGGAACAUGAAUCGGUUCUCUCCCAUUCCUCCACCUUAGACUCUUCAUCGGGCACCAAAUCUUGCCUAGCGCCAGCUCCAUACCUCGGUUUAUCAGAGAACAACUUCCCCAUUGCUUUAGCCACGCUCCCCUUCUGCUCUGACGCUCCUUUGAGAGAUUCAUGCACUUCAACUUGUCUUCAACGUUGUACAUGGCUCCUGAACAACCUCUACACCUUGAAAUGGAAGAAAUUGAACCAUCCCGGAGGAAAAUUGGGAUGGUGGGAGAUGUAUGCCCGUGUGCACUGAUACACAGAAAGGAAAAUUGGGAUGGUGAGAGGUGUAUGCCCGUGUGCACUUAUACACAGAAGGCUUAACGAGGGGCAGGGAAAGGUGAGAAUAGCAAGGGGAACACCACCUCAAGGAGGAAUCAAAGGGGGAUCGGAGAGGGGCCCAGAUCGACCCGGCGCCGGGGAAAGGAGCCGCCGCCAGGGGCGAGGAAAACCUAGUCACUCUGCUUGUCCCCAACAGGGACACCACCGUCACGCAGGGGGCAGAACUUUCAGUCCAAACUUACCUAACCUGACCUUGUAACCAUCAAGCAAAACGAAAAUAAAGGCAUGUGGGCUAUCAUGUACUCACAUUUCCUAUUUGUAGCAGGUUUCUCAUCUACUCCCUCCGUUCCUAAAUGUAAGUCUUUUUAGAGAUUUCACUACAAACUACAUACGGAUGUAUAUGGACAGAUUUUAGAGUGUAGAUUCACUCAUUUUGAUCCGUAUCUAGUCCAUAGUGAAAUCUUUUAAAAAGACUUAUACUUAGGAACGGAGGGAGUAUAUAAUAAAAAGAAAAACAGAGACGACAGAAAACAGUGGUAAAAUAGGAAUGUCGAACAAAGCAUGCUUUCUGCACAAAACUAAACCGACGCCAAAUACGAGUUUACUAGAGAUCCAAAAGGUAAUCAGGCGUGCUUGCUCGCUCACCACAAAGACCAAAAUUGGAGCACGUAGGUACAUAUCCGUCCCGUUCACAGCAACAUGCGGUACAUUAUUGCUCGACUAGUCCUAAGAGCUUCAACCAUAGUUCAUUCCACAAGUUAAGACACGCCCACUUUCACAAAAACAAGUGCAGAGUGAUCAUGUCUCGGAUGCAGGUCCCAUCUAGUAUGGCUCCACCGGUGCGCGGAACUUGAGGCCGGCAUACACAGCGGCAGCGCCCAGCUCUUCCUCGAUCCUCAGAAGCUGUUCCAAUUGGAAAAGAAAUAACCCCUUAGUGUAAAUUUGGGAAACCGAACAAAGAAAAACAAGACAUGAUUGCUCAAAUAAACACAUUACAUUGAACAAAAGAAUAUCAGAAACCACUAUCAGUCUAACGCUAAACACAGAUGAGAAAUCAUUCUUAAAUGAGCACAUUGCAUCGAACAAAAGGAUAAAAAAGAAAGAAUAAUUUCUUUUUAGUAAUUGCAAGAAGUCUUGUUGGUCUAACAGAAUAGCAGUUCAAGAAUUACAGGAAAGCCACUUGCCUGGUUGUACUUGGCAAGCCGCUCUGAGCGGCAGGGAGCCCCAGUCUUGAUCUGACCCUGUUGCACAUGAUGAAACAUUGGUCAGUUACUCCCGAUCGAUCCAGAGGAGAAGAAACAGCUGUCACAUUAAAAUUACUCAAGACAAACAAUAAAAUGAAGAUCAUGAAAUCAUACCGUGGACAAACCAACAGCCAAAUCAGCAAUGAAUGUGUCCUCAGUCUCACCACUGCACACAGCAAAUGUACAUAAGCAUACAAAUGGUAAUAACAAUAGAAACAAGGGGGAAAACGGCGGGGUAACAAGGCGGUAUCUCUUAUGUACCUCCUGUGACUGGUCAUCACACCCCAGCCAGCAUGUUUCGACAUCUUCACGGCCUCGAUACUUUCAGUGACGGAUCCAAUUUGGUUAACCUACACAUGAAAAGGAUGAAACAAUCAGAUCAUAAUCCCUCCGAUCAGGUACUUAUUAUGGAUCGGAAGGAGUACUAUGACGACCAAAGGAGAAGAAUCAAUUAACAGCUUCUGUUUACCUUCAGCAGAAGAGCAUUGCAUGACUUCUCCUUGAUUGCCUUCGCAACUCUCUGCGCAACAUAAUUAUACAACAAAUUAACUGUAGUGAUCCAACAGAAUGAAAAUGCCCACCUACACAACAGAAAACAAAUCACUCACGGUUGGGUUGGUGACUAGAAGGUCAUCACCAACAAUCUGAACUUGCUCUCCACAUUCUUCAGUCAUCUUAGCAUAGUGCACCCAGUCAUCCUGGUCAAAUGGGUCCUCAAUCGACACAAUGGGGUACUCACUCACGAAUGACUUGUAUACAUUCUUCAGGCUAUCUCCAGAUAUCUUCUGGGAACCAUCGUUGUUCUACAGCAAGGGAAAGCAAUGUUAUAAAUGCUCAUGAAAAGAGAACAAAUUGUUACCACAAAAUAAACAAUGGGGCUGCUUACCUCUUCCUUGAAGUUGAGGUCAUAUGUUUUGUCCUUGUCAUUGUAGAACUCUGAAGCAGCAACAUCCAUUCCAAUGACAACCUAGAAUUUUCCAAAGCAACAAAUCUCCUUCAAUUACAAACUUAAAGGCUCAGUGAGAAGUGCACUACAACAGAUUAAUUCAAGCAGACAAACCUUGCCGGUGUAUCCAGCCUUUUCAAUUGCAGUCUUCAAGAGCUCAAGACCCUCCUUGUUCUCCUACAACACCCGAAAACAAAAAGAACUCAGAUGACACCCCACAAGCAUUGACCUCAAUUUAUAACAACACGGUAGUUCUAUACAUCCAAACAUGACAGUCAGCAACUGUUGUCAAAACACCAAGACAUAACAAAGCAAGGAAAUCUGAUAUUAAACCUCCAAGGACAGGGAAAUACCUGAAUGUUAGGAGCAAAACCACCUUCAUCUCCAACAUUGGUGGCAUCUUGCCCGUACUUCUUCUUGAUAACAGACUGUCACAGAAAAUGAUCCUUUUAGUAAAUUUACUUUUUACUACAUGAUAGCAAAGAGAAAAAGAAGAUGAAAGAAUUACCUUCAAGUUGUGGUACACUUCAACGCCCAUCUUCAUUGCCUCCUUGAAUGAGGCAGCUCCAGUAGGAAGGAUCAUGAACUCCUGCAGAUAUGCAAGUAUAGGCAUAAAUAACAUAUGUGCGAAAACAACAUGAAAGAUGUGAAAAUCUUAGUUCAGAGCAUUGCCUGCAUAGCAAGCUUGUUUCCAGCAUGGGAUCCACCAUUGAUGACAUUGAAUGCAGGAACAGGCAAAACCAAUUGCUUGUUGCCAGCAAGGUUGGCAAUGUGCUGCAGUGAAGAAUAUAUUCAUGUUGAAAGACUUUAGGCAAUAGCAAACAAAUGUAGAAUAUUAAAAGAGGAGAUCAGCAAUGAUGCACACCUGGUACAGCGGAAUCUUCUUGAUGCUGGCUCCAGCUUUGCAAAUAGCUAGUGACACAGCCAGGAUUGCAUUAGCACCAAGCUGAAUAUACAGAAGAAAUUGAGCUGUUAGAAGGGGACCUGCAUAUGGAUAUUAGCAUUGGCACCAAGUAAAACUCGUGGUGGAUUAUGUACUACCUUCUGCUUGCACCAACCCCAUUCGUUUUUGGUUCCAUCAAGCUGCUGAACCAUAAAGUUGUCGAGCUCAGUUUGAGCUGUAGGGUCCUGUAGAAGGAAAUAGAGCACUGAAUGAAUUAUGCAUUCAACUCUCAUAUCACAAUAGAGAAGGGGACAAUGCUAACCUUGCCAAUCAAAGCUGGUGCGAUAAUCAAGUUCACAUUGUCAACAGCCUGUGAAAGAAAAAGAGAAAUACAUGUAAAUACAAAGAAAAGACUAAAUUACGCAUGCACAUGGACUAUUCACUACAAUAGAAAAAACCAGGAUAGCUAUAGUGAAACAUAAAGACUAAAUGAUCCUGAGUUGUUUAUUUCAGGGCAGUAUAAAUAAGGAAAUAAGGCGUGCACAAGAGAUAUUGCCCAUGAUGAUUCAGUUCAUAAAUACAUAAUCCUAAGCUACUACAUAUAAUAAACGGCAAUGAGAUAUAAAAAAAUGCAACAACCUACCACAUUAACAUUAAGAAAACAUAUCAUAGUUCACAUUAACAUUAAGAAAAAAUCUACAACCUGGCACAAACUAGAAAUAUCAAGUUAUACAGCACAAGGAAACAUUGUAUGGAUGAAACCAACAUCAAAAAAUAACUUGUUCUCACAAACAGGAUAACUGAAAAGCUACACUAGCACUGUUUGGUCCAUUUGGCAUAAUAAUUUGGUAAACAAGUAGGAAAAUUUCAAAAGGUGACAAACAAUAUUGCUAGUGUAACAACAGCAUAGAGUUGAGGCAAAAGAACAUAUACAGCAGCCACAUCAGAGUUAAAGAACUAUGACAUAGAGUUAAAGAAUGUGAAGAUAAAGUUCGCUCAAAUGGAUGUAAACCUUGGAAACACCCUUUCCCAAGUAGUCAGAUCCACCGUCUCUCAGUUCCAAAGCUUCAUAAACACCUACAGAAGAGGGAAGAUUCAGACAAGAUUAGUAAAACAAAAACAAUACAAUAACAUUCCGUAAAUAAUGAUCCAAAUAAGAGUUUGUGCCUUCACUAGUCAGGAACUCAGGAAACCAAAGCAGAAACUUAAGGUUGAAAAGGAGAGAGUGAUGAUAAUAACAAAAUAACUCACCAGUUGAUGCACCGCUGGGAACAGCGGCCCUGGCGAAGGUUCCAUCUGAGCAGCACACAUCAACCUGAUGCACAAAACCAUGAGAUUAGCCAAAAUAGUUUACACUUUAGCAUUAUGCGUAGUUUAAACAAUAAAAUCCGAACAAUGUCGCAUUUCAAACAAAGCAUCAUGUUUCACCACAGCUGUAACUAGGACACAAACCAUAUACUAGCUACAUUUAGCUAUAUAUAAACGCAAAGCAGAACGACCAGCCAUCUGUGGAUACACACUGUGAAAACCUAAAACGGAUUCCUAGCAGGCAAAAUAAAAAAAAAUGUAUGCAGCCCAGCAUCUGACUGAACAAACCACCUUGCAUCAAAUCUACCAUAUCCUCCAGAAAAUAAAAGGCUGAUACACCCAAAACCCCUUCGACAACUCAUCAAUUUACAUUUUCGGCACAUUACUUUCCACACCAAGUACGGCCAUUAUGCACAGAUCAAACGAUGAACACUCGGCAACAACCAGGACACGAAACCAUAGUGGCCACAUAAACACCGGGCCGAUCUGCGAAUCCCUGAGACGCAUGACGACGUGCAGGCAAAAUAAACUAGCACGCGCCACCGCGGCCGGCCAAACAAACCACCUCGCAUCGAAUCUAGCACAUCCACAACCCAGGGAGUCUGGCCGAGGGGCAGCACUAAUCUGCAUCCUACCGGCCCGCCCGCCCAAAAACCCUCGAAUCUAGCGCGUCAGAAACCUACGGCCCGCGCCCCAGCAGCCCCGACCCACGGCCGAAUCACAAGAUCGAAACCAAGCCGCUGCUGCGUACGCCCGCCGCCCUACCAGAUCGAGUCGGACCGGACCACAACGCACAGAUCGGGGAGACGGACGGGAUGCGCGCGUACCUCGACGGUGGGGUUGCCGCGGCUGUCGAAGAUCUGGCGGGCCUUCACGGACUGGAUCGUCGCCGCCAUGGCCGGGGCUGUAGCUUGGAGAGGAAGAAGCCGAAAUAGAUCGAAACGAAUGGAGCGGAGGGCGGAGAAGGCGAGGAGAGGGGGCUUUAGGCAGGGCCGCCCGUUCUUUUUUAUAGUCGCGAGAUGAAAGGGAAGCGUCCCCCCGUUUUUAGCCGUGCCGCUGCUUGUGGGGACGAGGAAACUGGUGUGGGCGGCCGCACACGGGAUGGAUCGUCGAUGUGUAAUGAAUGCAUCGUAUCUACCGUUGUGUACUCCUCCCAAGCCCGUAUCGAAAACAAUACUUGUUCAAGGGGGCAAAAGAUUUCUCAUUAAUUAGAGCAUCUACAGCGGGACUCGGCAAAUCCGGCCCUUCAAAUGCCCGCGUCCGCGAGCAGUGAUCGGACACGUCUCAAAUUUCAACAUUUGCAUCCGGACAUCGCAUAUUAGAUUCUCAAAUCCAUUACAAACUAAAAUAAACCUAAGUACUGCGUCGAUCAACUAGCUACUCGUCGGAGGAGAUGUCGACGAUCUCCGUGCCGGGCUCGGGCGGCAGCGGCAGCUCCGCCUCCUUCGGCUGCUCCGCUCCGGCCUCCCCAGCCUCUAUCUCCGCAUCGAGUUCGGCGAAGAGCGCUUCGGACUCCGCAUGCUCCUGCUGGAGGAUAGUGCGGUUGGCCUCCACACAGGCCUCAUCCUGGAUGGACUCCAGGAUGGCUUGCUGCUCCGCCAUCUCGACAGACUGGGCGACGGCAAACUCUGCCUCCGCCUGCUCCAUAUUGAAGCCCGACAGCAGCUGCUCCGCCUCCUCCACCUUCAUCGGAGCCAACUCCUCCUCCCUCGGCUCCGACGAGUCCGGAGGCAGCCCGACAGCGAUGCCGGUUGCGCGCGCGGCUUUUCUCGUCCGGAUCUCCUGCUGGAUCUCGACGCGACGCUCCGACGUGAGCACUGCGUAGUAGGUUAUCUUACUCCGGACCAUGGCAGACCACUGGAGCAUGGGCAGAGCGCCAGAGCAGGAGAGGGAGGAGGUGGAUGGGCUUGGACUGGCGGCGCGGAGAGGGGAAGGUGGAUGGACUAGGGUUGCGGAGCUCCGGCCGAGUUAAAUAGGCGGAUUUUCUCUCGGCGGCGAGUCGAAGCGGCGCCACGCGGCGUUAACACUGCGGCGACGAAGGAGAUGUCUAUCAGACCGCCGAGUUUCCGGAUGAGUCCACGUGGGACCCCUUCGUCAGUCCUACAUGGCUGGUGUGCCCGGGCACUGAUGCGUCACCAACGUAUCUAUAAUUUAUGAAGUACUCAUGUCAUGUUACAACAAUUUUAUAUGGUUUUGGUAUGAUUUGAAUGGAACUAAUCCGGACUGACAAUGUUUUCAGCAGAACUACCAUUGUGUUGUUUUUUGUGCAGAAAUAAAGUUUCUCAGAAUGGAGUGAAACUAUUUGACAAUUUUUUUAACAGAAGAGCCACGACGUGCCCACGAGGCACUUGGGCGUGCCCAGGGGUGAUGGUGCCGUGGUGCCUUGAUAUGUCUCCAACGUAUCUAUAAUUUAUGAAGUAUUUAUGCCAUGUUUACAACAAUUUUAUAUGGUUUUGGUAUGAUUUGCAUGGAACUAACCCAGACUGGCACUGUUUUCAACACAACUACCAUGGUGUUGUUUUUUGUGCAGAAAUAAAAGUUCUCGGAAUUGGAUGAAAUUUUUUGAUGAUUUUUUUGGAAUAAAUAAAAAUACUGGAGCAAAGAACCACAGGAAGGGGGGCUGCUGCCCACAAGGCACGAGGGCACGCCACCCCCCAUUUGGCGCGCCCAAGAGUGUAGUGGGCCCCCUCAGGCCCAUCUUCGCGUGAAAUCGAUGCCAAAAAAUCCUAUAAAUGCAUAAACCCCCAAAAAUAACUCUAGAUGAGAAGUUUGGCUGCCGCAAACCCCUGUAGCCACGAAAAGCCAAUCGGGAGCCCGUUCGGGCACCCUGUCGGAGGGGGAAAUCAUCAUCGGAGGCCAUCUUCAUCAUCCCUAUGGUCUCCAUGAUGAGGAGGGAGUAGUCCACCCACGUGGUUGAGGGUUUGUACCAAUAGCUAUGUGUUUACUCUCUCUCUCUCUCUCGUGUUCUUGAUUUGGCACGAUCUUGAUGUAUCACGAGCUUUGUUAAUAUGGUUGGAUCAUAUGGUGUUUCUCCCUCUCUAUCUUGUUGUGAUGAAUUGAGUUUUCCCUUUGAGAUUUCGUUAUUAUUGGAUCGAAUACUUUUAUGGAUUUGAGAGCACUUGAUAUAUGUAUUGAGAUCUCAAAUUCAUCGGAUCUCGACAAACACACCGCAAAAAGAGUUACAUCAAAUAGAUCUCCAAGAAGAUCGAGAAGAACUUUGUAUUGAGAUUCAAAGAGAGAGAGAAGAAGCCAUCUAGCUAAUAACUAUGGACCCGAAGGUCUGUGGUAAAAUACUCACAACUCAUCGGAGAGGCCUUGGCGAUGAUGUAGAAGCCCUCCGUGAUCGAUUCCCCCUCCGGCGGAGCGCCGAAAAAGGCUCCAAGACGGGAUCUCACGGGUACAGAAGGUUGCGGUGGUGGAAAUAGUUUCUCGUGGUGCUCCUGGAUGUUCUCGGGGUAUGUAGAUAUAUAUAGGCGAAGGAUGUAGGUCAGGGGAGCCACGGGAGGGGGGGCACGAGGCAGGGGGUGCCCCCCUCCCCUAGGGCGCGCCCUACACCCUCGUGUCCGCCUCGGCUGCUUCUUGAUGUCCACUCCAAGUCACCUGGAUUGCGUUUGUUCCAAAAAGAUUGCUUCCGAAGGUUUCAUUCCGUUUGGACUUCGUUUGAUAUUCAUUUUCUGUGAAACAUUGAAAUAGGCAAAAAAAUCAGCAAUUCGGGCUGGGCCUCCGGUUAGUAGGUUAGUCCCAAAAAUGAUAUAAAAGUGUAAAGUAAAGCCCAUAAACAUCUAAAACGGGUAAUAUCCAAAACGGGUAAUAUAAUAGCAUGGAACAAUCAAAAACUAUAGAUACGUAUCAAUCUUCGAGAAGCUCGUCGGCGAGGCCGCCAAGCUCGCCCGCUACAACACGAAGCCCACCAUCACCUCCCGGGAGAUCUAGACCUCCGUCCGCCUCGUCCUCCCCGGCGAGCUCACCAAGCACGCCGUCUCCGAGGGCACCAAGGCCGUCACCAAGUUCACAUCCUCUUAGAUUGUACAUCUAGUAGCAAUUGUAGAUGGUUCUAUUACUUAGUGCUUGUCGACUGUGGCCAGAGGCGGAAUUGGGCCUAGGGCAACUAGGGCUAUAGCCCCAGGCGCGGCCGAACUAGUAGUUAUACGUCCAAAUAAUUUUCUUCCAUUUUUGUACCCCUAAAAGGCCCAGCCCCAGCCAUGUAAACGCAGCCCAGGCAUCAGCCCAGACAAUAGCCCAACUAAGUAUACCUACUUUCCAUCGCAACCAGUUCGCAAUUAGCCCACGAUGCCAUGAUCGCGCGCUCAACCACACCGUAUCUCCUUCUCGCUCGUCUGAUCAGGAAAUAGAUCUGGCUCAAGCAAUCACACUGCGCCGCCAAUUCCCUUCGAGGCCACGAUUGCUCGACUAGAGGGACGAACGUCUAGACCUACGCCCAGUCGGCUGGCGCUCGGAGCCUCGGAUCGGAUCAUCUCUCGCCUCAUCCGAGCUGCCCCCUCUAGCGCUCUGUUCUGCUCCAUCUACACAACCGACUGGAUAUCUAUCCGAUUAGGCUUGUGAUCUCUUGUACCAUGUACUCUUUUUUCCCUAGUUCAUUUUUUAUCAACCGAAAUCAAGGAUUUGGUGAUGCUAAAUUUCAUUUCAUUGUUAUUUGUUAACAGCAAAAAAUUACCAAUCCAAGAUGAUGAAGACCUGGACAAUUAAAUCCUUUUUCAAGCAACAUCCAAAUAGGCUGCAUCAAACAAUACACAUCAACGAAUGACCUUCGGAACGAGUAGGACUCGAAAAAAUACACGAGGAAAUGCAAUGGUCUACUACCUUGUGCACUUGGCCAUAAUAUUUUGUAUUUGUAAUUCAUAUGAACAAUUGACUUAGUACAUGUCCAUUAUCUUGAUUUUAAUUACUCUAUUUUAUGUUUACAGUUCCCGGUCCUUCUAUUAUUGCUGGUGAAGAAUGAUGUCCUCGAAUAAAGCAAGUCUUCACUAAUAUGAUAUCGGGGUUUCUUCUCACAGUAAAAAUGAACUUAUAUUUCACUUUUUGUUAACUAUUUCUUUUGUCGGAUUUCUUCUCUCAGUAAAACUGAACUUAUAUUUCAUUGGUAAUGUGACUUUGUGGUGUACUUUAACAUGCAUCUGUACAUGGUAUUUAAUGUUAUUUGUAGUCCCGCCACAAUUGUUUUUAUUUGUAGUCACUUAAUUUUAGCCCUAGGCUUUGAGAAAUCCUGGCUCCGCCUCUGACUGUGGCUAUCUGGAAGUAGAAGUGGUGUUAGUGUUGGCUGGAUGGGAAUUGUUGAAUGAUUGUCGAUACUCUGUUGGUUCUUUGGUUGCAACUAAACCCAGGCAAACGUCGGGCCGGGUCGGGUUCGGGCCGGGCUUGACAAAGCCCGAAGAGAAAUUCCCAAGCCCGAGCCCGGCCCGGCCCGGCCCGAAGUACAUGAACAGUGACACUUCUUUAUUAAAUUAAUCAUUUUCCGGAUAUUAUAUUAAUUUAUUAUACCUAUAUUUCAAAUAAAAUAUGUUUUUUAUAUAUUUCGGGCUUUAUUCGGGCCGGGCUUCGGGUCAGAAAAUGGAGCCCGAGCCCGGCCCGAAUGUCGGGCUUCGGGUUCGGGCCGACGGGCCGGGUUGUCCAUGACCGGGUAUAGUUGCAACAACUGAAUUUGUGCUUAAAAUCUUUCGGUUAACUGACAUAUUAAAAGUAGUGAUCCAUUUCAGCUAUGAUUACUAGUCUCUACCAUGUGAUUGUGCUUUUUGGUAAUCCAAGUUAUUUAGACUGAUGAUGUGCUGGUGAUACGUCUACAACGUAUCUAUAAUUUUUGAUUGUUUCAUGCUAUUAUAUUACCUGUUUUGGAUGUUUAUGGGCUUUACUUUACACUUUCAUAUCACUUUUGGGACUAACCUACUAACCGGAGGCCCAGCCCGAAUUGUUGUUUUUUUGCCUAUUUCAGUAUGUCGAAGGAAAGGAAUAUCAAACGGAGUGCAAACGGAAUGAAACCUUCGGGAGCGAUCUUUUUGGAACAAACGCAAUCCAGGAGACUUGGAGUGGACGUCAAGAAGCAGCCGAGGCGGCCACGAGGGUGGCUAGCGCGCCCAGUAAGAGUGGGCGCACCCCUGCCUCGUGGGCCCCUCGUGGCUCCCCUGACCGACUUGCUUCGCCUAUAUAUAUCUACGUACCCCGAAAACAUCCACGAGCACCACGAGAAAUUAUUUCCACUGCCGCAAUCUUCUGCAUCCGCGAGAUCCCAUCUUGGAGCCUUCGUCGGUGCUCCGCCGGAGGGGGAAUCGACCACGGAGGCCCUCUCCAUCUCCACCAAGGCCUCUCCGAUGAGUUGUGAGUAGUUUACCACAAACCUUUGGGUCCAUAGUUAUUAGCUAGAUGACUUCUUCUCUCUCUUUGAUUCUCAAUACAAAGUUCUCCUUCCUUUUCUUGGAGAUCUAUUUGAUGUAACUCUUUUUGUGGUGUGUUUGUCGAGAUCCGAUGAAUUGUGGGUUUAUGAUCAAGUUUAUCUAUGAGAAAUAUUUGAAUCUCCUCUAAAUUCUUUUAUGUAUGAUUGGUUAUCUUUGCAAGUCUCUUCAAAUUAUCAGUUUGGUUUGGCCUACUAGAUUGAUCGUUCUUGCCAUGGGAGAAGUGCUUAGCUUUGGGUUCAAUCUUGCGGUGUCCUUUCCCAGUGACAGCAGGUGCAGCAAGGUACGUAUUGUAUUGUUACCAUCAAGGAUAAAAAGAUGGGGUUCAUAUCAUAUUGCAUGAGUUUAUCCCUCUACAUCAUGUCAUCUUGCUUAAUGUGUUACUCUGUUCUUAUGAACUUAAUACUCUAGAUGCAGGCAGGAGUCGGUCGAUGUGUGGAGUAAUAGUAGUAGAUGCAGGCAGGAGUCGGUCUACUUGUUGCGGACGUGAUGCCUAUAUACAUGAUCAUGCCUAGAUAAUCUCAUAACUAUGCACUUUUCUGUCAAUUGCUCGACAGUAAUUUGUUCACCCACCGUAAUAAUUAUGCUAUCUUUAGAGAAGCCACUAGUGAAGCCUAUGGCCCCGGGGUCUAUCUUUCUCACUUUCGCAAGUUACCGUGAAGGGAUUGACAACCCUUUUAUCGCGUUGGUUGCGAGGUUCUUGUUUGUUUGUGUAGGUGCGUGGGACUUUUGAGGAGCCUCCUACUGGAUUGAUACCUUGGUUCUCAAAACUGAGGGAAAUACUUACGCUACUUUGCUGCAUCACCCUUUCCUCUUCAAGGGAAAAACCAACGCAUGCUCAACAGGUAGCAAGAAGGAUUUCUGGCGCCGUUGCCAGGGAGGUCUUCGCUCAAGUCAAGACAUACCAAGUAUCCAUCACAAACUCAUCUCCCUCGCAUUACAUUAUUUGGCAUUUGCCUCUCGUUUUACUCUCCCCCACUUCACCCUUGCCAUUUUAUUCGCCCUUCUUCCGUUCGAUCUUAUGUUUGCUUGUGUCUCCAUGUGCCUUCUAUGUGCUUUCAUCUUUGCUUGCUAAAAAACUAUUGAUAUGGAUCCACUUAAAGUGUUCUACUUGGAUCAUCUUUGAUCCUUAUGCGCUCGUGCUGAAACCCCAACUAGCCUAGUUGAUGGGAAAUCCUUAGAUGAGCAUGCUCAUUUUGUGCGUCAAUGUUUGUUUGAAAAGGGAAGCUCUUAUGGUAUCACAUAAAUAGUUUGCUUUGCUAUGCUUGGAAUCUUUGUGAAAUUUAUGAUUUUACUUGUUGCUCUAAGAACCCUAAAAAACACCUUCCCUACCUAUGUGAGUUUAAUGAUAAUGAAAUCUUAUCUUCUUAUGCAAAAGGUGUUUUAUAGUUACUAUGAUAUCGAACAAAUUGAAGAAUUUGUCGUUUUUAAUGGUGCUCAUGAAGUUGCUUCUUUGAUUAAACAGUAUGAUAUUACUCUCUACAAAUCUGAAAACUCCGACAUACUUAAAUAUUGCUAUGAAAACUUUGCUCAUAAUGCCUAUGUUAAGGAAUUUAUUGAGAGAAUGAUCGUUGCUUUGGAAGAAAAUAAUGAUAUGCAUGAAUCUAUGGAUAAUUAUGAUUCCGAUGAUUUGAUUGAAAUUUCCCUUGAUGAACAUGAUGCUUGCUAUUCUUGUGGCCAUGAUGCCAAUAUUUAUGAAGACGAAUUUGCUAUAGUUCCUUAUGUUAAACAUGAGAUCGUUGCUAUUGCAUCCACACUUGAUAGUUCCCUCGAUGAAAAGCAUGAUUGCAAUGAUGUUACUAUAAAUUCUCUUGAUGUCAAUUGUGCUAAUAAUAUGCAAAAUCCUAAGCUUGGGGAUGCUAGUUUUGCUAUGUCUACUACUUGUUGCAAUGAUCAUGAUUGGGGUGCUUCUUCUUAUGAUCUUGAAAAUUUGUUUAAGCCCCAUAAUGAAUAUGAGAUUGAUAAUAGUGUUUGCAAUAAUAUUGAAAGUGGGUUUGGAAGAGUGUCAACUUUAGAUCCCACAUAUUUGGAUAAUGCUCAAUCUUAUGAAGUUUUUGAUAAAAGUGGGUUUGGAGAGGUCAUGACUUUAGUUAAUGUUAGUCCCACUAUUUUGGAAGAGUGUCAACUUUGCAUGCAUGUGGAUCAUGUUGAAAAUAUUUUGUUUGAUAGUUAUUUUGUUGAAUUUGCUUAUGAUCCUGCAUGUAAUUAUUAUGAGAGAGUAAAAUAUGGUUGUAGAAAUUUUCAUGUUACUAAAUUACCUCUCUUCAUGUUGAGAUUGCUACCGUCUUCUUCCUUGCAUAUGCUAGUUUUUGCUUGCAUUGAUAAUUUGUUUACUUAUAAAAAACCUAUGCAUAGGAAGUAUGUUAUACUUAAGUGUGUUUUUCACAUGUUUUAUGAUGCUCUCUUUAUACUUCAAUUCUUGUCUUUCAUGUGAGCAUCAUUGAAAUCUUAAUGCCUAGCUAAAAAGGCUUUAAAGAAAAGUGUUUGUUGGGAGACAACCCAAUAUUUUUCCUUACUGUUAUUCAAUAAAUAUAUCAUCUACAUUCUAUUUAGAUGUGUUUUCAUAUAUUAAUUAGUGUUUGUGCCAAAUAGAACCUAUAGGAUAACCUUGGGUGAAAGUUAAUUUGAUUCUGCUGAAAAACAGAAACUUUGCGUGCACGAGAAGCAAUUCAAUAAAUCAUAGAAACAUGCUUUUGCAUUGGUUUAUUUUUGUUGUAGAUCAAUAGAUAAAUUACCUAGGACUUCCUAUUUUGGUAGGAUUUUUAGAGUUCCAGAAGUAUUCGAAAGUUACAGAUUGCUACAGACUGUUCUGCUUUUGACAGAUUCUGUUUUUCGUGUGUUGUUUGCUUAUUUUGAUGCAUCUAUGGCUAGUAUCGAUGGGUAUGAACCAUAGAGAAGUUGGAAUACAGUAGGUUUAACACCAAUAUAAAUAAAGAAUGAGUCCAUUACAGUACCUUAUGUGGUGGUUUUUCUUUCUUGCACUAACGGAGCUUAUAAGAUUUCCUGUUGAGUUUUGUGUUGUGAAGUUUUCAAGUUUUGGGUAAAGAUUUGAUGGACUAUGGAAUAAGGAGUGGCAAAAGCCUAAGCUUGGGGAUGCCCCAGAAGGCAUCCCCUCUUUCAUCUUCGUUUAUCGAUAACUUUACUUGGAGCUAUAUUUUUAUUUACCACAUGAUAUGUGUUUUGCUUGGAGCGUCUUGUAUGAUAUGAGUCUUUGCUUUUCAGUUUACCACAAUCAUCCUUUUUGUACACACCUUUUGGGAGAGACCCACAUGAUUUAAAAAAUAUUAGAAUACUCUAUGUGCUUCACUUAUAUCUUUCGAGCUAUAUAGUUUUUCUCUAUGUGCUUCACUUAUAUUUUCUAGAGCACGGCGAUGGCUUUAUUUUGAAGAAAUUAUUGAUCUCUCAUGCUUCACUUAUAUUAUGUUGAGAGUCUUUUAGAACAUCAUGGUAUUUGUUAUGGUUAUAAAUUUGGUCCUAGAAUUAUGAGCAUCCAAGUUGGGUAUAAUAAAAACUAUCAUAUAAAGUGCAUUGAAAACUAUGGUCGAUUUGAUGCUUGAUAAUUGUUUUGAGAUAUAAAGGUAAUAAUGUUAGAGUCGCGCUAGUUGGGUAAUUAUGAAAUUGAGAAAUACUUGUGUUAAAGUUGGCAAGUCCUGUAGCAUGCACGUAUGGUAAAAGUUGUGUGACAAAUUUGUUGCAUGGGAUGCUCUUUGAGUGCUUUCCUUAUGAGUGGCAGUCGGGGACAAUCGAUGGUCUUUUCCUACCAAUCUAUCCCUCUAGGGGCAUGCGUAGUAGUACUUUGCUUUGAGGGCUAAUAAAUUUUUGCAAUAAGUAUAUGAGUUCUUUAUGACUAAUGUGAGUCCAUGGAUAUACGCACACUUACCCUUCCACUUUGCUAGCCUCUAUUAUGUCGCGCAACUUUUGCUGGUAUUAUGAACCCAUUAUUUACCUUCCUCAAAACAGCCACCAUACCUACCUAUUAUGGCAUCUCCAUAGCCAUUCUGAGAUAUAUUGCCAUGCAACUUUCCACCGUUCCGUUUAUAAAGACACACGUUAUCAUUGUCAUAUUGCUCUUGGCAUGAUUAUGUAGUUGACAUAGUAUUUGUGGCAAGGUCACCUUCAUAAUUUUUCAUACAUGUCACUCUUGAUUCAUUGCAUAUCCCGGUACACCACCGGAGGCAUUCACAUAGAGUCAUAUAUUGUUCUAGUUCUUGAGUUGUAAAUCAAUAAAAGUGUGAUGAUCUUCAUUAUUAGAGUGUUGUCCCAAGUGAGGAAAGGAUGAUGAAGACUAUGAUUCCCCCACAAGUCGGGAUGAGACUUCGGACUUUAUAAAAAUAAAAGAGGCCAAAGAAGCCCAUAAAAAGAGAGGCCAAAGAAGCCCACGAAAAUUAAAAAAAAUGAUGAGAGAAAAAGAGAGAAGGGACAAUGCUACUAUCCUUUUACCACAUUUGUGCUUCAAAGUAGCACCAUGAUCUUCAUGAUAGAGAGUCUCCGAUGUUGUCACUUUCUUAUACUAGUGGGGAAUUUUCAUUAUAGAACUUGGCUUGUAUAUUCCAAUGAUGGGCUUCCUCAAAACGCCCUAGGUCUUUGUGAGCAAGCAAGUUGGAUGCACACCCACUUAGUUUCUUUUGUUGAGCUUUCAUAUAUUUAUAGCUCUAGUGCAUCCGUUGCAUGGCAAUCCCUACUCACUCGCAUUGAUAUCUAUUAAUGGGCAUCUCCAUAGCCCGUUGACACGCCUAGUUGAUGUGAGACUAUCUUCUCCCUCUUUGUCUUCAUAACCACCACCAUAUACCACACAUAUUGCUAUGUCCAUGGCUUGCGCUCAUGUAUUGCGUAAGAAUUGAAAAGGCUGAAGCGCUUAAAAAAUAUGAACCAAUUGCUCGGCUCGUCAUCGGGGUUAUGCAUAAGGGGAGUAUUUUGUGUGAUAGAGAUCAAGCAUGGCCUAACUAUAUGAUUUUGUAGGGAUGAGCUUUCUUUGGCUAUGCUAUUUUGAUAGGACAUGAUUAUUUGCUAGUAUGCUUCGAAGUAUUACUGUUUUUUAUGUUUUAUAAGCUUUUAUCUUGAAUCAUUUGGAUCUGAACAAUCAUGCCACAAUAAAGAGAACUACAUUGAGAAUUAUGCUAGGUAGCAUUCCACAUCAAAAAUUCUGUUUUUAUCAUUUACCUACUCGAGGACGAGCAGGAAUUAAGCUUGGGGAUGCUUGAUACGUCUCUAACAUAUCUAUAAUUUUUGAUUGUUUCAUGAUAUUAUAUUACCUGUUUUGGAUAUUUAUGGGCUUUACUUUACACUUUUAUAUCAUUUUUGGGACUAACCUACUAACCGGAGGCCCAGCCUGAAUUGCUGUUUUUUGUGCCUAUUUCAGUAUAUCGAAGGAAAGGAAUAUCAAACGGAGUCCAAACAGAAUGAAACCUUCGGGAGCGAUCUUUUUGGAACAAACGCAAUCCAGGAGACUUGGAGUGGACGUCAAGAAGGAGCCGAGGCGGCCACGAGGGUGGCCGGCGCGCCCAGUAAGGGUGGGCGCGCCCCCUGCCUCGUGGGCCCCACAUGGCUCCCCUGACCGACUUCCUUCACCUAUAUAUAUCUACGUACCCCGAAAACAUCCAGGAGCACCACGAGAAAUUAUUUCCACCGCAGCAACCUUUUGUAUCCGCGAGAUCCCAUCUUCGAGACUUCACCGGCGCUCCGCGGAGGAGGAAUCGACCACGGAGGGCCUCUUCAUCACCACCAAGGCCUCUCCGAUGAGUUGUGAGUAGUUUACCACAGACCUUCGGGUCCAUAGUUAUUAGCUAGAUGGCUUCUUCUCUCUCUUUGAUUCUUAAUACAAAGUUCUCCUUCCUCUUCUUGGAGAUCUAUUCGAUGUAACUCUUUUUGCGGUGUGUUUGUUGAGAUCCGAUGAAUUAUGGGUUUAUGAUCAAGUUUAUCUAUGAGAAAUAUUUGAAUCUCCUCUGAAUUCUUUUAUGUAUGAUUGGUUAUCUUUGCAAGUCUCUUCGAAUUAUCAGUUUGGUUUGGCCUACUAGAUUGAUCUUUCUUGCCAUGGGAGAAGUGUUUAGCUUUGGGUUCAAUCUUGUGUUGUCCUUUCCCAGUGACAGUAGGGGCAACAAGGCACAUAUUGUAUUGUUUCUAUCAAGGAUAAAAAGAUGGGGUUUAUAUCAUAUUGCAUGAGUUUAUCCCUCUACAUCAUGUCAUCUUGCUUAAUGCGUUACUCUGUUCUUAUGAAUUUAAUACUCUAGAUGCAGGCAGGAGUCGGUCGAUGUGUGGAGUAAUAGUAGUAGAUGCAGGCAGGAGUCGGUCUACUUGUUGCGGACGUGAUGCCUAUACACAUGAUCAUGCCUAGAUAAUCUCAUAACUAUGCAUUUUUCUAUCAAUUGCUCGAUAGUAAUUUGUUCACCCACCGUAAUAAUUAUGCUAUCUUGAGAGAAGCCACUAGUGAAACCUAUGGCCCUGGGGUCUAUCUUUUAUCAUAUAAGUUUUCCAUCUACUUUUAUUUGCAUCUUUUACUUUCCAAUCUAUAUCAUAAAAAUACCAAAAAUAUUUAUCUUAUCAUAUUAUCUCUAUCAGAUCUUACUUUCGCAAGUUACCGUGAAGGGAUUGACAACCCCUUUCGUCGGACUUUUGAGGAGCCUCCUACUGGAUUGAUACCUUGAUUCUCAAAACUGAGGGAAAUACUUACGCUACUUUGCUGCAUCACCCUUUCCUCUUCAAGGGAAAAACCAACGCAUGCUUAAGUGGUAGCAGCUGGCAGUAAGUUACGCUUAUUCGUUAGGUCCUCUUGAAUGUCCGAAUUGGGUUUAACUGAGAUUUACUGCUGAGAUGAUCAAUAAGAUGGCUGAUACGUCUCCAACGUAUCUAUAAUUUUUGAUUUUUUGAUUGUUCCAUGCUAUUAUAUUACCUGUUUUGGAUGUUUAUGGGCUUUACUUUACACUUUUAUAUCAUUUUUGGGACUAACCUAUUAACCGGAGGCCCAACCUGAAUUCCUGUUUUUUUGCCUAUUUCAGUGUUUCGAAGAAAAGGAAUAUCAAACGGAGUCCAAACGGGAUGAAACCUUCGGGAGCGAUCUUUUUGGAACAAAUGCAAACCAGGGGACUUGGAGUGGAUGUCAAGCAACGAGCGAGGCGGUCACGGUGCCCGGCGCGCCCUGUAAGGGUGGGCAUGCCCCCCUGCCUCGUGGGCCCCUCGUGGCUCCCCUGACCGACUUCCUUCAUCUAUAUAUAUCUACGUACCCCGAAAACAUCCUGGAGCACCACGAGAAAUUAUUUCCACCGCAACAACCUUCUGUAUCCGCGAGAUCCCAUCUUCGAGCCUUUGCCGGCGCACGUCGGAGGGGGAAUCAACCACGGAGGGCCUCUACAUCAUCUCCAAGGCCUCUCCGAUGAGUUGUGAGUAGUUUACCAUAGACCUUUGGGUCCAUAGUUAUUAGCUAGAUGGCUUCUUCUCUCUCUUUGAUUCUCAAUACAAAGUUCUCCUUCCUCUUCUUGGAGAUCUAUUAGAUGUAACUCUUUUUGCAGUGUGUUUGUCAAGAUCCGAUGAAUUGUGGGUUUAUGAUCAAGUUUAUCUAUGAGAAUUAUUUGAAUCUCCUCUGAAUUCUUUUAUGUAUGAUUGGUUAUCUUUGCAAGUCUCUUCGAAUUAUCAGUUUGGUUUGGCCUACUAGAUUGAUCUUUCUUGCCAUAGGAGAAGUGCUUAGCUUUGGGUUCAAUCUUGCGAUGUCCUUUCCCAGUGACAACAGGGGCAGCAAGGCACGUAUUGUAUUGUUGUCACCGAGGAUAAAAAGAUGGGGUUUAUAUCAUAUUGCAUGAGUUUAUCCCUCUACAUCAUGUCAUCUUGCUUAAUGUGUUACUCUGUUCUUAUGAACUUAAUACUCUAGAUGCAGGCAGGAGUCGGUCGAUGUGUGGAGUAAUAGUAGUAGAUGCAGAAUCGUUUCGAUCUACUUGUUGCGGACGUGAUGCCUAUAUACAUGAUCAUGCCUAGAUAUUUUCAUAACUAUGCACUUUUCUAUCAAUUGCUCGACAAUAAUUUGUUCACCCACCGUAAUACUUAUGCUAUCUUGAGAGAAGCCACUAGUGAAACCUAUGCCCCCCGGGUCUAUCUUUUAUCAUAUAAGUUUUCCAUCUACUUUUAUUUGCAUUUUUUACUUUCCAAUCUAUAUCAUAAAAAUACCAAAAAUAUUUAUCUUAUCAUAUUAUUUCUAUUAGAUCUCACUUUUGCAAGUUUCCGUGAAGGGAUUGACAACCCCUUUAUCGCAUUGGUUGCGAGGUUCUUGUUUGUUUGUGUAGGCGCGUGGGACUUGUGAGGAGCCUCCUACUGGAUUGAUACCUUGGUUCUCAAAAUCGAGGGAAAUACUUACGCUACUUUGCUGCAUCACCCUUUCCUCUUCAAGGGAAAAACCAACGCAUGCUCAAGAGGUAGCAAGAAGGAUUUCUGGCGCCGUUGCCGGGAGGUCUUCGCUCAAGUCAAGACAUACCAAGUACCCAUCACAAACUCAUCUCCCUCGCAUUACAUUAUUUGCCAUUUGCCUCUCGUUUUCCUCUCCCCCACUUCACCCUUGCCGUUUUAUUUGCCCUUCUUCUAUUCGUCUUUUCGUUUUCUUUGAUGUCUUAGUUGCCUCGUUUGCUUGUUUUGUUGGAAUAGUUGUUUAUUUAUUGCUAAAAAGAGAACCUAAGAUCUAUGGAUCCUCAUCCGCUUGCCAAUCUUUUUAAGAGAUCCAAUUAUGAUGAACCAAAUUCUAGUGAUUUGAGUGCACUAGAUUAUCUUUAUGAGAUUUUGCUUGAAAUUCGUGAACCUGAAAAUUGUGAUGAAGAAAUUUAUGAAGAGAUUCACAAUAGCUCCUUGAAUAAAAAGCAUGAUUGCAAUGAUUUUAUUAUAAAUUCUAUUAAUGUCAAUUGUGUUAAUGAUAUGCAAAACCCUAAGCUUGGGGAUGCUAGUUUUGCUAUGUCCACUACUUGUUGCAAUGAUCAUGAUUGAGGUGAUUCUUCUUAUAAUCUUGAAAUUUUAUUUAAGCCCCACGAUGAAUAUGAGAUUGAUAAUAAUGUUUGCAAUAAUACUGAAUGUGGGUUUGGAAGAGUGUCAACUUUAGGUCCCACAUAUUUGGAUAAUGUUCAAUCUUAUGAAGUUUUUGAUAAAAGUGGGUUUGGAGAGGUCAUGACUUUAGUUAAUGUUAAUCCCACGAUUUUGGAAGAGUGUCAACUUUGCAUGCAUGUGGACUGUGUUGAGAAUAUGUUAUGUGAUAACUAUUUUGUUGAAUUUUCUUAUGAUCCUACAUGUAAUUUUUAUGAGAGAGGAAAAUAUGGUUGUAGAAAUUUUCAUGUUACUAAAUUACCUCUCCUCAUGUUGAGAUUGUUAUCGUCUUCUUCCUUGCAUAUGCUAGUUUUUGCUUGCCUUGCAAAUUUGUUUGCUUAUAAUAUGCCUAUGUAUAGGAAGUAUGUUAGACUUAGAUGUGUUUGUCACAUGUUUUAUGAUGCUCUCUUUAUGCUUCAAUUCUUGUUUUUUAUGUGAGCAUCAUUGAAAUCUCAAUGCCUAGCUAAAAAGGCUUUAAGGAAAAGCGCUUGUUGGGAGACAACCCAAUAUUUUUCCUUGAUGUUAUUCAAUAAAUAAUAAAUCUAGCUUGUGGUCAGAUGUUUUUUUAUGUUUUAAUUAGUGUUUGUGCCAAGUAGAACCUAUAGGAUAACUUAUGGUGAUAGUUAAUUUGAUUCUGCCGAAAAACAGAAACUUUGCGCGCACGAGAAAAAAAUCAAUAAAUCACAGAAAUGUGCUUUUGCGUUGAUUAUUUUUUAUGUAGAUCAAUAGACAAAUUAACUAGGACGUACUAUUUUGGUAGGAUUUUUGGAGUUCCAGAAGUAUUCGAAAGUUACAGAUUGCUACAGACUGUUCUACUUUUGACAGAUUCUGUUUUUCGUAUGUUGUUUGCUUAUUUUGAUGCAUCUAUGGCUAAUAUCGGGGGGUAUGAACCAUAUAGAAGUUGGAAUACAGUAGGGUUAACACCAAUAUAAAUAAAGAAUGAGUUCAUUACAGUACCUUAUGUGGUGGUUUUUCUUUCUUGCACUAACGGAGCUUAUGAGAUUUCCUGUUGAGUUUUGUGUUGUGAAGUUUUCAAGUUUUGGGUAAAGAUUUAAUGGACUAUGAAAUAAGGAGUGGCAAGAGCCUAAGCUUGGGGAUGCCCAUGGCACCCCAAGAUAUUCAAGGAUGACCAAGAGCCUAAGCUUGGGAUGCCCCGGAAGGCAUCCCCUCUUUUGUCUUCGUCUAUCAGUAACUAUACUUGGAGCUAUAUUUUUAUUCGCCACAUGAUAUGUGUUUUGCUUGGAGCGUCUUGUAUGAUAUGAGUCUUUGAUUUUUAUAUUACCACAAUCAUCCUUGAUGUACACACCUUUUGGGAGAAAUCCACACGUUUUGGAAUUUAUUAGAAUACUCUAUGUGCUUCACUUAUAUCUUUUGAGCUAGAUAAUUUUUGCUCUAGUGCUUCACUUAUAUCUUUUAGAGCACGACGGUGGUUUAAUUUUGUAGAAAUUGUUGAUCUCUCAUGCUUCACUUAUAUUAUUUUGAGAGUCUUUUAGAACAACAUGGUAUUUGCUAUGGUUAUAAAAUUGGUCCUAGAAUGAUGAGCAUCCAAGUUGGGUAUAAUAAAAACUAUCAUAGAAAGUGAAUUGGAUGAUAUGAUCAAUUUGAUGCUUGCUAAAUGUUUUGAGAUAUGGAUGGUGAUAUUAGAGCCAUGCUAGUAGGGUAAUUAUGAAUUUAAGGAAUACUUGUGUUGAAGUUUGUGAUUUCCGUAGCAUGCACGUAUGGUGAACCGCUUUGUGAUGAAGUUGGAGCACGGUUUAUUUAUUGAUUGUCUUCCUUAUGAGUGGCGGUCGGGGACGAGCGAUGAUAUUUUCCUACUAAUCUAUCCCCCUAGGAGCUGUUGGGGAACGUAGUAAUUUCAAAAAAAUUCCUACGCUCACACAAGAUCAUGGUGAUGCAUAGCAAUGAGAGGGGAGAGUGUGUCCACGUACCCUCGCAAACCGAAAGCGGAAGCGUUAGCACAACGCGGUUGAUGUAGUCGUACGUCUUCACGAUCCGAUCAAUCAAGUACCGAAUGCACGACACCUCUGAGUUCAACACACGUUCAACUCGAUGACGUCCCUUGAACUCCGAUCCAACCGAGCUUUGAGGGAGAGUUCCGUCAGCACGACGGCGUGGUGACGAUGAUGAUGUUCUACCGACGCAGGGCUUCGCCUAAGCACCGCUAUGAUAUUAUCGAGGUGGAUUAUGGUGGAGGGGGGCACCGCACAUGGCUAAGAGAUCCAAGGGAUCAAUUGUUGUCUCUAUGGGGUGCCCCCCUUCGUAUAUAAAGGAGGGGAGGAGAGGUCCGACCAGGAGGAGGAGGCACGCCCAAGCGGUGGGAGACCGGGAGUAGGACUCCUCCUUUUCCUACUUGUAGAGGGAGAGGGAAGGAAGAGGACGGAUGGAGGAAGGAAAGGGGGGGGGCGGCCCCUCCCAAUUCGGAUUGGGCUUGGGGGGGGGGGGCGCACCCCCUCCCUUGCUCCUUUCCCCUCCUUUCCACUAAAGCCCAUUAAGGCCCAUAUACCUCUCGGGGGGUUCCGAUAACCUCUCGGUGCUUCGGUAUUAUCCUGAUCUCACCCGGAACCAUUCCAGUGUCCAAAUAUAGUCGUCCAAUAUAUCGAUCUUUACGUCUUGACCAUUUCGAGACUCCUCGUCAUGUCCGUGAUCACAUCCAGGACUCCGAACUACCUUCGGUACACAAAACACAUAAAAUCAUAAUAUAACAGUCAUCGAACUUUAAGCGUGCGGACCCUACGGGUUCGAGAACUAUGUAGACAUGACCGAGACACGUCUCCGGUCAAUAACCAAUAGUGGAACCUGGAUGCUCAUAUUGGCUCCCACAUAUUCUACGAAGAUCUUUAUUAUUCAAACUGCAUAACAACAUACGUUGUUCCCUUUGUCAUCGGUAUGUUACUUGCCCGAGAUUCAAUCGUCGGUAUCUCAAUACCUAGUUCAAUCUCGUUACUGGCAAGUCUCUUUACUCGUUCCAUAAUACAUCAUCUCGCAACUAACGCAUUAGUUGCAAUGCUUGCAAGGCUUAUAUUUAUGUGCAUUACUGAGUGGGCCCAGAGAUACCUCUCUGACAAUCGGAGUGACAAAUCCUAAUCUCGAAAUACGCCAACCCAACAAGUACCUUUGGAGACACCUGUAGAGCACCUUUAUAAUCACCCAGUUACGUUGUGACGUUUGGUAGCACACAAAGUGUUCCUCCGGUAAACGGGAGUUGCAUAAUCUCAUAGUCAUAGGAACAUGUAUAAGUCAUGAAGAAAGCAAUAGCAACAUACUAAAUGAUCAAGUGCUAAGCUAACGGAAUGGGUCAAGUCAAUCACAUCAUUCUCCUAAUGAUGUGAUCCCGUUAAUCAAAUGACAAUUCAUGUCUAUGGCUAGGAAACUUAACCAUCUUUGAUUCAACGAGCUAGUCAAGUAGAGGCAUACUAGUGACACUCUGUUUGUCUAUGUAUUCACACAUGUACUAAGUUUCCGGUUAAUACAAUUCUAGCAUGAAUAAUAAACAUUUAUCAUGAAAUAAGGAAAUAAAUAAUAACUUUAUUAUUGCCUCUAGGGCAUAUUUCCUUCAGUCUCCCACUUGCACCAGAGUCAAUAAUCUAGUUCACAUCACCAUGUGAUUUAACACAAAUAUUCACAUCUGUAUGUGAUUAACACCCAUAGCUCAUAUCGUCAUGUGACCAACACCCAAAGGGUUUACUAGAGUCAAUAAUCUAGUUCACAUUGUUAUGUGAUUAACACCCAAAGAGUACUAAGUUGUGAUCAUGUUUUGCUCAUGAGAGAAGUUUAGUCAACGGGUCUGUCACAUUCAGAGCCGUAUGUAUUUUGCAAAAUAUUCUAUGUCUUCAAUGCUCUACACGGUGCUACUCUAGCUAAUUGUCCCACUUUCAAUAUAUAUCCAGAUUGAGACUUAGAGUUAUCUGGAUCGGUGUAAAAGCUUGCAUCAACGUAACUCUUUAUGACGAGCUCUUUUAUCACUUCCAUAAUUGAGAAGUAUUUCCUUAGUCUUCACUAAGGAUAAUUUUGACCGCUGUCCAAUGAUCUACUCCUAGAUCACUAUUGUACUCUCUUGCCAUACUCCUGGUGAGGUACACAAUAGGUCUGCUACACAACAUAGCAUACUUUAUAGAACCUAUGACUGAGGCAUAGGGAAUGACUUUUCAUUAUCUUUCUAUUUUUCUGCCAUGGUCGGGAUUUGAGUCUUACUCAACUUCACACCUCGCAACACAGGCAAGAACUCCUUUUUGACUGUUCCAUUUUGAACUACUUCAAAAUCUUAUCAAGGUAUGUACUCAUUGAAAAAUCUUAUCAAGCGUCUUGAUCUAUCUCUAUAGAUCUUGAUGCUCAAUGUGUAAGUAGCUUCACCGAGGUCUUUCAUUGAAAAACUCUUAUUCAAGUAUCCCCUUUUGCUAUCUAGAAAUUCUAUAUCAUUUCCAAUCAACAAUAUGUCAUCCACAUAUAAUAUUAGAAAUGUUAUAGAGAUCCCACUCACUUUCUUGUAAAUAUAGGCUUCUCCAAAAGUCUGUAUAAACCCCUAUGUUUUGAUCAACUCAUCAAAGCGUAUAUUCCAACUCCGAGAUGCUUGCACCAGUCCGUUGAUGGAUCGCUAGAGCUUGCACAUUUUGUUAGCACCUUUAGGAUUGACAAAACCUUCUGGUUGUAUCAUAUACAACACUUCUUUAAGAAAUAUCCAUUUAAGGAAUGCAGUUUUGACAUCCAUUUUCCAGAUUUCAUAAAAUGUGGCAAUUGCUAACAUGAUUCGGACAGACUUAAGCAUCGUUACGAGUGAGAAAAUCUCAUCGUAUUCAACAUCUUGAACUUGUCGAAAACCUUUCACAACAAGUCGAGCUUUGUAGAUAGUAACACUACUAUCAGUGUCCAUCUUCCUCUUGAAGAUCCAUUUAUUUAACUUGGCUUGCUGAUCAUCGAGCAAGUCAACCAAAGUCCAUACUUUGUUCCCAUACAUGGAUCCUAUCUCAGAUUUUAUGGCCUCAAGCCAUUUCGCGAAAUCUGGGCUCAUCAUUGCUUCCUCAUAGUUCAUAGGUUCAUCAUGGUCUAGUAACAUGACUUCCACAAUAGGAAUACCGCACCACUCUGGUGCGGACCAUACUCUGGAAGACCUACGAGGUUAUGUAGUAACUUGAUCUGAAGUUUCAUGAUCAUCAUCAUUAGCUUCCUCACUAAUUGGUGUAGGAAUCACUGGAACUGAUUUCUGUGAUGAACUACUUUCCAGUUCAGGAGAAGGUACAAUUAACUCAUCAAGUUCUACUUUCCUCUCACUCACUUCUUUCGAGAGAAACUCAUUCUCUAGAAAGGAUCCAUUCUUAGCAACGAUCUUGCCUUCGGAUCUGCGAUAGAAGGUGUACCCAACAGUUUCCUUUGGGUAUCCUAUGAAGAUGCAUUUCUCUGAUUUUGGGUUCAAGCUUAUCAGAUUAAAGCCUUUUCACAUAAGCAUCGCAGCCCCAAACUUUUAAGAAACGACAACUUUGGUUUCUUGCCAAACCACAGUUCAUAAGGUGUCAUCUCAACGGAUUUUUGAUUGUGCCCUAUUUAAAGCGAAUGUAGCUGUCUCUAAUGCAUAACCCCAAAACGAUAGUGGUAAUCUGGUAAGAGACAUCAUAGAUCACACCAUAUCCAAUAAAGUGCGGUUACGACGUUCGGACACACCAUUACGCUGUGUUGUUCCAUGUGGCGUGAGCUGUGAAACUAUUCCACAUUGUUUUAAAUGAAGGACAAACUCGUAACUCAAAUAUUCUCCUCCACGAUCAGAUCGUAGAAACUUUAUUUUCUUGUUACGAUGAUUCUCCACUUCACUCUGAAUUUCUUUGAACUUUUCAAAUGUUUCAGACUUGUGCUUCAUUAAGUAGAUAUACUCAUAUCUGCUCAAAUCAUCUUGUGAAGGUCAGAAAAUAAUGAUACCCGCCACGAGCAUCAACACUCAUUGGACUGCAUACAUCGGUAUGUAUAAUUUCCAAUAAGUCACUAGCUCAUUCCAUUGUUUUGGACAACAGAGUUUCAGUCAUCUUGCCCAUAAGGCACGGUUCGCAAGCAUCAAAUGAUUCAUAAUCAAGUGAUUCCAAAAGUCCAUCUAUAUGGAGUUUCUUCAUGUGCUUUACACGGAUAUGACCCAAACGGCAGUGCCACAAAUAUGCUGCACUAUCAUUAUCAACUUUGCAUCUUUUGGCAUCAAUAUUAUGAAUAUGUGUAUUACUACGAUCAAGAUUCAAUAAACCAUCAACAUUGGGUGUAUGACCAUAGAAGGUUUUAUUCAUAUAAACAGAAUAACAAUUUAUUCUCCAUCUUAGAUGAAUAAUCGUAUCGCAAUAAACAUGAUCUAAUCAUAUUUAUGCUCAACGCAAACACCAAAUAACAUUUAUUUAGGUUCUACACUAAUCUCGAAAGUAUAGGGAGUGUACGAUGAUGAUCAUAUCAAUCUUGGAACCACUUCCAACACACAUCGUCACUUCAUCCUCAACUAGUCUCUGUUUAUUCUGUAACUCCUGUUUUGAGUUACUAAUCUUAGCAACCGAACAAGUAUCAAAUACUCAGGGAUUACUAUAAACACUAGUAAGGUACACAUCAAUAACUUGUAUAUCAAAUAUACAUUUGUUCACUUUGCCAUCCUUCUUAUCCACCAAAUAUUCAGGGCAUUUCCGCUUCCAGUGACCAUUUCAUUUGUAGUAGAAGCACUUAGUUUCAGGCUUUGGUCUAGCUUUGGGCUUCUUCACGAGAGUGACAACUAGCUUGCCAUUCUGCUUGAAGUUCCCUUUCUUUCCCUUUGCCCUUUUCUUGAAACUAGAGGUCUUAUCAAUCAUCAACACUUGAUGCUCUUUUCUUGAUUUCUACCUUCAUCGAUUUCAGCAUCACGAAGAGCUCGGGAAUCAUUUUCUUCAUCCCUUGCAUACUAUAGUUCAUCACGAAGUUCCAGUAACUUGGUGAUGGUGACUAGAGAACUCUGUCAAUCACUAUCUUAUCCGAAAGAUUAACUCCCAUUUGAUUCAAGCGAUUGUAGUACUCAGAGAAUCUAAGCACUUGCUCACUAGUUGAGCAAUUCUCCUCCAUGUUUUAGGUGAAGUAUUUGUCAUAGGUCUCAUACCUCUUGACACGGGCAUUAGUCUGAAAUACCAAUUUCAACUCUUGGAACAUCUCAUAUGCUCAAUGACGUUUCAAAAACAUUUUGAAGUCCUGGUUCUAAGCCGUAAAGUGUGGUGCACUAAACUAUCAAGUAGUCAUCAUAUUGAGCUAGCCAAACGUUCAUAACGUCUGCAUCUUCUCCUGCAAUAGGUUUGUCACCUAGCGGUGCAUCAAGGACAUAAUUCUUCUGUGCAGCAAUGAGGAUAAACCUCAGCUCAUAGACACAGUCCGCAUCAUUGCUACUAUCAUCUUUCAACUUAGUUUUCUCUAGGAACAUAUAAAAAACAUAGGGAAGCAACAACGCGAGCUAUUGAUCUACAACAUUAUUUGCAAAAUACUACCAGGACUAAGUUCAUGAUAAAUUUUAGUUCAAUUAAUCAUAUUACUUAAGAACUCCCACUUAGGAUAGACAUCCCUCUAAUCAUCUAAGUGAUCACGUGAUCCAAAUCAACUAAACCAUAACCGAUCAUCACGUGAAAUGGAGUAGUUUUCAAUGGUGAAUAUCACUAUGUUGAUCAUAUCUACUAUAUGAUUCAUGCUCGACCUUUCGGUCUUAGUGUUUCGAGGCCAUAUCUGCAUAUCCUAGGCUCGUCAAGUUUAACCUGAGUAUUCUGCGUGUGCAAAACUGGCUUGCAGCCGUUGUAGAUGGACGUAGAGCUUAUCACACCCGAUCAUCACGUGGUGUCUGGGCACGACGAACUUUGGCAACGAUGCAUACUCAGGGAGAACACUUUUAUCUUGAAAUUUAGUGAGAGGUCAUCUUAUAAUGCUAUCGUCAAUCAAAGCAAGAUAAGAUGCAUAAAGGAUAAACAUCACAUGCAAUCAAUAUAAGUGAUAUGAUAUGGUCAUCAUCAUCGUGUGCUUGUGAUCUCCAUCUCCGAAGCACCGUCAUGAUCACCAUCGUCACCGGCGUGACACCUUGAUCUCCAUCAUAGCAUCGUUGUUGUCUCACCAACUAUUGCUUCUACGACUAUCGCUACCGCUUAGUGAUAAAGUAAAGAAAUUACAGGGCGUUUGCAUUGCAUACAAUAAAGCGACAACCAUAUGGCUCCUGCCAGUUGCCGAUAACUUGGUUACAAAACAUGAUCAUCUCAUACAAUAAAAUAUAGCAUCACGUCUUGACCAUAUCACAUCACAUCAUGCCCUGCAAAAACAAGUUAGACGUCCUCUACUUUGUUGUUGCAAGUUUUACGUGGCUGCUACGGGCUGAGCAAGAACCAUUCUUACCUACACAUCAAAACCACAACGAUAGUUUGUCAAGUUAGUGCUGUUUUAACCUUCUCAAGGACCGGGCAUAGCCACACUCAGUUCAACUAAAGUUGGAGAAACUGACACCCGCUAGCCACCUAUGUGCAAGGCACGUCGGUAGAACCAGUCUCGCGUAAGCGUACGCGUAAUGUCGUUCCAGGCCGCUUCAUCCAACAAUACUGCCGAACCAAAGUAUGACACGCUGGCAAGCAGUAUGACUUGUAUCACCCACAACUCACUUGUGUUCUACUCGUGCAUAUAACAUCUACGCAUAAAACCAGGCUCGGAUGCCACUGUUGGGGAACGUAGUAAUUUCAAAAAAAAUUCCUACGCACACAUAGGAUCAUGGUGAUGCAUAGCAACGAGAGGGGAGAGUGUGUCCACGUACCCUCGUAGACCGAAAGCGGAAGCAUUAGCACAACGCGGUUGAUGUAGUCGUACGUCUUCACGAUCCGACUGAUCAAGUACCGAACACAAGGCACCUCCGAGUUCAGCACACGUUCAACUCGAUGAUGUCCCUCGAACUCCGAUCCAGCCGAGCUUUGAGGGAGAGUUCCGUCAGCACGACGGCGUGGUGAUGAUGAUGAUGUUCUACCGACGCAGGGCUUUGCCUAAGCACCGUUACAAUAUUAUCGAGGUGGAUUAUGGUGGUGGGGGCACCGCACACGGCUAAGAGAUCCAAGAGAUCAAUUGUUGUCUCUAUGGGGUGCCCCCCUCCUCCGUAUAUAAAGGAGGGGAGGAGAGGGCCGGCCAGGAGGUGGAGGCGCGCCCAAGGGGGGGAGACCUACUCCCACCGGGAGUAGAACUCCUCCUUUUCCUACUUGGAGAGGGAGAGGGAAGGAAGAGGAAGGAGGGAGGAAGGAAAGGGGGGCUGCUACGUCUUGAGCUUGUGUUGGUUUUCCUUGAAGAGGAAAGGGUGACGCAGCAAUAGUAGCGUAAGUAUUUCCCUCGGUUUUUGAGAACCAAGGUAUCAAUCCAGUAGGAGGCUCCUCAAAUGUCCCACGACCUACACAAAUAAACAAAGAACUCGCAACCAAUGCAAUAAAGGGGUUGUCAAUCCCUUCACGGCCACUUGCAAAAGUGAGAUCUGAUAGAGAUAAUAUGAUAAGAUAAAUAUAUUUUUGGUAUUUUAUAAUAUAGAUGCAGAAAGUAAAGAUGCAAAUAAAAGUAGAUUGAAAGCUUACAUGAUAAAAGAUAGACCCGGGGGCCAUAGGUUUCACUAGUAGCUUCUCUCAAGAUAGCAUAAGUAUUACGGUGGGUGAACAAAUUACUGUCGAGCAAUUGAUAGAAAAGAGAAUAAUUAUGAGAUUAUCUAGGCAUGAUCAUGUAUAUAGGCAUCACGACCGUGACAAGUAGACCGACUCCUGCCUGCAUCUACUACUAUUACUCCACACAUCGACCGCUAUCCACCAUGCAUCUAGAGUAUUAAGUUCAUAAGAACAGAGUAACGCAUUAAGAAAGAUGACAUGAUGUAGAGGGAUAAACUCAAGCAAUAUGAUAUAAACCCCAUCUUUUUAUCCUCGAUGGCAACAAUACAAUAUGUGCCUUGCAACCCUUUCUGUCACUGGGUAAGGACACCGCAAGAUUGAACCCAAAGCUAAGCACUUCUCCCAUGGCAAGAAAGAUCAAUCGAGUAGGCCAAACCAAACUGAUAAUUCGAAGAGACUUGCAAAGAUAACUCAAUCAUACAUAAAAGAAUUCAGAGAAGAUUCAAUUAUUUCUCAUAGAUAAACUUGAUCACAAACCCACAAUUCAUCGGAUCUCGACAAACACACCGCAAAAAGAGUUUACAUCAAAUAGAUCUCCACAAGAGAGGGGGAGAACAUUGUAUUGAGAUCCAAAAAGAGAGAAGAAGCCAGCUAGCUAAUAACUAUGGACCCAAAGGUCUAUGGUAAACUACUCACAACUCAUCGAAAGGGCUAUGGUGUUGAUGUAGAAGCCCUCCAUGGUGGAUUCCCCCUCCGGCAGAACGCCGGCGACGGCUCCAAGAUGGGAUCUCGCGGGUACAGAAGGUUACGGUGGCGGAAAUAUUUCUUCGGUGGCUCCUUGUAUGUUUUCGGGGUACGGAGGUAUAUAUAGGAGGAAGAAGUACGUCGGUGGCCGCUCGAGGGGCCCAAGAGACAGUGGGGCGCGCCCAGAAGGAGUGGGCGCGCCCUCCUAUCUCCUGGCCGCCUUGAUUGCUUCUUGACUUGCACUCCAAGUCCUCUGGAUCAUGUUCGUUCCAAAAAUCACGCUCCCAAAGGUUUCGUUCUGUUUGGACUCCGUUUGAUCCUUUUCUUCGAAAUACUGAAAUAGGCAAAAAAAAGCAAUACGGGCUGGGCCUCCGGUUAGUAGGUUAGUCCCAAAAAUGAUAUAAAUAUGUAAAAUAAAGCCCAUAAACAUCCAAAAGGGGUAAUAUAAUAGCAUGGAACAAUCAAAAAUUAUAGAUACGUUGGAGACAUAUCACCUCCCCCCUCCCAAUUCGGAUUGGGCUUGGGCGGGGGGGGGCCCUCCCUUGCUCCUUUCCCCUAAAGCCCAUUAAGGCCCAUAUACCUCCCGGGGGGGGGGGGUUCCGAUAACCUCCCGGUGCUCCGGUAUUAUCCUGAUCUCACCCGGAACCAUUCCGGUGUCCAAAUAUAGUCGUCCAAUAUAUUGAUCUUUACAUCUCGACCAUUUCGAGACUCCUCGUCAUGUCCGUGAUCACAUCCAGGGCUCCGAACUACCUUCGGUACAUCAAAACACAUAAACUCAUAAUAUAACCGUCAUCAAACUUUAAGCGUGCGGACCCAACGGGUUCGAGAACUAUGUAGACAUGACCGAGACACGUCUCCGAUCAAUAACCAAUAGCGGAACUUGGAUGCUCAUAUUGGCUCCCACAUAUUCUAUGAAGAUCUUUAUCGGUCAAACCGCAUAACAACAUACGUUGUUCCCUUUGUCAUCGGUAUGUUACUUGCCCGAGAUUCGAUCGUCGGUAUCUCAAUACCUAGUUCAAUCUCAUUACUGGCAAGUCUCUUUACUCGUUCCGUAAUACAUCAUCUCGCAACUAACUCAUUAGUUGCAAUGCUUGCAAGGCUUAUAUUUAUGUGCAUUACCGAGUGGGCCCAGAGAUACCUCUCUGACAAUCGGAGUGACAAAUCCUAAUCUCGAAAUACGCCAACCUAACAAGUACCUUUGGAGACACCUGUAGAGCACCUUUAUAAUCACCCAGUUACGUUGUGACGUUUGGUAGCACACAAAGUGUUCCUCCGGCAAACGGGAGUUGCAUAAUCUCAUAGUCAUAGGAACAUGUAUAAGUCAUGAAGAAAGCAAUAGCAACAUACUAAACGAUCAAGUGCUAAGCUAACGGAAUGGGUCAAGUCAAUCACAUCAUUCUCCUAAUGAUGUGAUCCCGUUAAUCAAAUGACAAUUCAUGUCUAUGGCUAGUCAAGUAGAGGCAUACUAGUGACACUCUGUUUGUCUAUGUAUUCACACAUGUACUAACUUUCCGGUUAAUACAAUUCUAGCAUGAAUAAUAAACAUUUAUCAUGAAAUAAGGAAAUAAAUAAUAACUUUAUUAUUGCCUCUAGGGCAUAUUUCCUUCAGUCUCCCACUUGCACUAGAGUCAAUAAUCUAGUUCACAUCACCAUGUGAUUUAACACAAAUAUUCACAUCUGUAUGUGAUUAACACCCAUAGCUCAUAUCGUCAUGUGACUAACACCCAAAGGGUUUACUAGAGUCAAUAAUCUAGUUCACAUUGUUAUGUGAUUAACACCCAAAGAGUACUAAGUUGUGAUCAUGUUUUUCUCAUGAGAGAAGUUUAGUCAACGGUAAACGGGAGUUGCAUAAUCUCAUAGUCAUAGGAACAUGUAUAAGUCAUGAAGAAAGAAAUAGCAACAUACUAAAUGAUCAAGUGCUAAGCUAACGAGAGUGGGUCAAGUCAAUCACAUCAUUCUCCUAAUGAUGUGAUCCCAUUAAUCAAAUGACAACUCAUGUAUAUAGCUAGGAAACUUAACCAUCUUUGAUAUGAUUCAACGAGCUAGUCAAGUAGAGGCAUACUAGUGACACUCUAUUUGUCUAUGUAUUCACACAUGUACUAAGUUUCCGGUUAAUACAAUUCUAGCAUGAAUAAUAAACAUUUAUCAUGAAAUAAGGAAAUAAAUAAUAACUUUAUUAUUGCCUCUAGGGCAUAUUUCCUUCAGGAGCAUGUGCGUAAUGCUUGGUUUUUGAUGACUUGUAGAUUUUUGUAAUAAGUAUAUGAAUUAUUUAUGACUAAUGUUGAGUCCAUGGAUUAUACGCACUCUUUCCCUUCCACCAUUGCUAGACUUUCUUGUGCCACGCAACUUUCGCCUGUACCAUACACCUACCAUAUACCUUCCUCAAAACAGCCACCAUACCUACCUAUUAUGGCAUUUCCAUAGCCAUUCUGAGAUAUAUUGCCAUGCAACUUUUCACUGUUCCGUUUAUUAUGACACGCAUCAUCAUUGCCAUAUUGCUCUUGCAUAAUCAUGUAGUUGACAUCGUAUUUGUGGCAAGGCCACCCUCAUGAUUUUCAUACAUGUCGCUCUUGGUUCAUUGCAUAUCCCGGUACACCGCCGGAGGCAUUCAUAUAGAGUCAUAUCUUGUUCUAAGUAUCGAGUUGUAAUCUUGAGUUGUAAGUAAAUAAAAGUGUGAUGAUCUUCAUUAUUAGAGCAUUGUCCCAAGUGAGGAAAGAACGAUGGAGACUAUGAUUCCCCCAUAAGUCGGCAUGAGACUUCAGACUUUACAAAAAAAGAGAAAGGCCAUAUUAAAAAAAGGCCAAAUAAAAAAAUGAGAGAAAAAGAGAGAAGGGAAAAUGCUACUAUCCUUUGACCACACUUGUGCUUUAAAGUAGCACCAUGAUCUUCAUAAUAGAGAGUCUACUAUGUUGUCACUUUCAUAUACUAGUGGGAAUUUUUCAUUAUAGAACUUGGCUUGUAUAUUCCAACGAUGGGCUUCCUCAAAACGCCCUAGGUCUUUGUGAGCAAGCAAGUUGGAUGCACACCUACUUAGUUCUUUUUGUUGAGCUUUCAUACAUUUAUAGCUCUAGUGGAUCUGUUGCAUGGCAAUCCCUACUCACUCACAUUGAUAUCUAUUAAUGGGCAUCUCCAUAGCCCGUUGAUACGCCUAGUGGAUGUGAGACUAUCUUCCUCUUUUUUGUCUUCCCCACAACCACCAUUCUAUUCCACAUAUAGUGCUAUGUCCAUGGCAAACGCUCAUGUAUUGCGUGAAAGUUGAAAAAGUUUGAGAAUACUAAAGUAUGAAACAAUUUCUUGGAUUAUCAUCGGGGUUGUGCAAGAUUAAAUACUUUGUGUGAUGAAGAUAGAGCAUAGACAGACCAUAUGAUAUUGUAGGGAUAGCUUUCUUUAGCCAUGAUAUUUUGAGAAGACAUGAUUACUUUGUUAGUAUGCUUGAAGUAUUAUUGUUUAUCAUGUCAAUAUGAACUUUUAUUUUGAAUCAUUUGGACCUGAACAUUCAUGACACAAUAAAGAAAAUUACAUUGAGAAUUAUGCUAGGUAGCAUUCCACAUCAAAAAUUCUGUUUUUAUCAUUUACCUACUCGAGGACGAGCAGGAAUUAAGCUUGGGGAUGCUUGAUACGUCUCCAGCGUAUCUAUAAUUUUUUAUUGUUCCAUGCUAUUAUAUUACCUGUUUUGGAUGUUUAUGGGCUUUAAUUUACACUUUUGUAUCAUUUUUGGGACUAACCUAUUAACCGAAGGCCCAGACCGAAUUGCUAUUUUUUUUGCCUAUUCAGUGUUUCGAAGAAAAGGAAUAUCAAACGGAGUCCAAACGGGAUGAAACCUUCGGGAGCGAUCUUUUUGGAACAAAUGCAAACCAGGGGACUUGGAGUGGACGUCAAGCAAUGAGCGAGGCAGUCACGAGGGUGCCCGGCGCGCCCUGUAAGGGUGGGCGCGCCCCUCACCCUCGUGGGCCCCUCGAGCAUCCACCGACCUACUUCUUCCUCCUAUAUAUAUCUACGUACCCCGAAACCAUCUAGAAGCACCACGAAAACCUAAUUCCACCGCCGCAACCUUCUGUAUCCGCGAGAUCCCAUCUUGGAGCCUUCGUCGACGCUCCGCCGGAGGGGGAAUCGACCACGGAGGGCCUCUACAUCAUCUCCAAGGCCUCUCCGAUGAGUUGUGAGUAGUUUACCAUAGACCUUCGGGUCCAUAGUUAUUAGCUAGAUGGCUUCUUCUCUCUCUUUGAUUCUCAAUACAAAGUUCUUCUUCCUCUUCUUGGAGAUCUAUUCGAUGUAACUCUUUUUGCGGUGUGUUUGUCAAGAUCCGAUGAAUUGUGGGUUUAUGAUCAAGUUUAUCUAUGAGAAAUAUUUGAAUCUCCUCUGAAUUCUUUUAUGUAUGAUUGGUUAUCUUUGCAAGUCUCUUCGAAUUAUCAGUUUGGUUUGGCCUACUAGAUUGAUCUUUGUUGCCAUGGGAGAAGUGCUUAGCUUUGGGUUCAAUCUUGCGUUGUCCUUUCCCAGUGGCAGCAGGGGCAGCAAGGCAUGUAUUGUAUUGUUGCCAUCGAGGAUAAAAAGAUGGGGUUUAUAUCAUAUUGCAUGAGUUUAUCCCUCUACAUCAUAUCAUCUUGCUUAAUGCGUUACUCUGUUCUUAUGAACUUAAUACUCUAGAUGCAGGCAGGAGUCAGUCGAUGUGUGGAGUAAUAGUAGUAGAUGCAGAAUCGUUUCGAUCUACUUGUUGCGGACGUGAUGCCUAUAUACAUGAUCAUGCGUAGAUAUUCUCAUAACUAUGCACUUUUCUAUCAAUUGCUCGACAAUAAUUUGUUCACCCACCGUAAUACUUAUGCUAUCUUGAGAGAAGCCACUAGUGAAACCUAUGGCCCCCGGGUCUAUCUUUUAUCAUAUAAGUUUUCCAUCUACUUUUAUUUGCAUCUUUUACUUUCCAAUCUAUAUCAUAAAAAUACCAAAAAUAUUUAUCUUAUCAUAUUAUCUCUAUCAGAUCUCACUUUUGCAAGUUUCCGUGAAGGGAUUGCCAACCCCUUUAUCGCGUUCGUUGUGAGGUUCUUGUUUGUUUGUGUAGGCGCGUGGGACUUGUGAGGAGCCUCCUACUGGAUUGAUACCUUGGUUAUCAAAACUGAGGGAAAUACUUACGCUACUUUGCUGCAUCACCCUUUCCUCUUUAAGGGAAAAACCAACGCAUGCUCAAGAGGUAGCAAUGGCAAGGCGGAAUAACAGCAAACCAGUGUCCACUUGUUUUAGGAGUAGUAACUACUCCCUCCGUUACAAAGUUGAGUCAUCUAUUUUGGAACGAAGGGAGUAGUAUCGAGUCAAUUGGGCAGCUUUGGUUGUGAGAACUGAAUUACGGAUGUUGCAGAUUUUGGCAAACUGAGAUCUAAGAGUGCUGGUGUUUUGUACUCUUCUGAACUAAACUCUACCAUGUUUGGCCAUUUGCAGUUCAAUGUUUUAGGAGUUUGUAUUACGGAAUUAUCUGCAAGUAGUUGUAUUAUUGUUACUGAUUGCUUUAUGUGAUUUAGUUUGUACUCUCUCCAUAAAGAAAUACAAGAGCAUUUAGAUCACUAUCUAAACACUCUUAUAUUUCUUUACAGAGGGAGUACUAACUAAUCUCUGCUACAUGAUUGUGCUUUCGUACCAAUCCAAGUUUCCAGAAUCCUGAUAUUCUACAUUAGGUGCAGAACUCUGUAGAACCCCUUUCGGCAGGUGGAAGAAUGACAACAUAUAUAAAACCAUGUUUCUUAGGACAGAAUUGAUUAAGAUCAAUCGCCCCCCGAAAGACAAGAGUUUGGCCUUCCAACUGGCUAAACGUUUGUCAAGUCUCUCUUGCACAUGCUUCCACUCAGCAAUAGUUAAACGCCGAUAGUGUAUGGGAAUACCCAGGUACCGAAUCGGAAACUGCCCGAGCUAGCAUCCAAAAAUCUCAGCAUACUCAGGUGCUGAUUCUGCAGCAUCGUUGUUGGGGAUAUUACCACUAGGCGUAAACCGGCCUACUUGGGCCGGGUUAAAUUCAUUAGUGGUAUAAGCAGAUGAAGGCCCAAGGCCUAUAGUCGGUUUAGAAUCUGUAGCCAGAAACUGACCUGAUGUAUAACUUGUAUUGUAAGUUAGGAAUAGAGAGAUACCAACCGGGAUACGAGUAUGAACCGGUUGGGACUCUAUGGACCGACGGGCGUCACCUGUGUAUAUAAGGGGACGACCCGGCGGCGGUUCAGGACAGAUAACCACAACUCGAGCCUAGGCGAAGCUUGUUUUGCUCCCUAGCCAUCGAGAUCACAUCAAUUCCAUCACAACUAGACAUAGGCUUUUACCUUCAUCGAAGGGGCCGAACUAGUAUAAACCCUCGUGUCUUUGUGUCCGCUUUAAACCCCUUCAAGUAAACCCGCAGCGAUGGCUCCACGACUAAGUCCUUUCACUAGGACGUCUGUCGUGACAAAUCCAUGAUAGUUGGCGCCCACCGUGGGGCCAUCGCACGAUGGUUUGACGAUCUUGGAGGGCAAGCUCAAAGGACUCGAAGGCUAUGCUGUGGGCCAGAUGACCAAGAGUCGUCGUGGCAAGAUCUACAUCGACGACGCAGGAUGGGGUCCCGAGGCCGAUUCGAUUGAGUACGGGUACCGGGUCCCCUUUGGUGGCAUACACGUUUUCAUCGGCAAGAUCGGUGAGCCGGGGCCUGAGCCGGACAUCUGCAUCGACCUCGUCGAGACGGCUCAGCGUGCGAGAUCUACCCAGGCUAAACCGGCCGUGAAGCGUGCCUUCGUUGGAGUCAUCCAUGGAGGAGGGCGUGAGGACGAGUCAGAACACGGUAGCAAGGCCGUCGUCUAUUCCGGCGACGAGUCCUCGACCGGAGAGACCGAAUCACUAUACCAGUUACAAGACGACCAGGUUAGGGGCUGUUCCGAUGGCGACAGUAUUCCGGACCCCCCAGGCCAGGUCAACCGGGUUGGAAUAUUCAUGGCCGGCACACAGGCGGCGAAUCACUCUUCGACCGCCGCGGCAAUGCUCUCCAGAUCAGCAGGAGCAGGAGGCCUUGUGCGCCCGCUGGUUCAAGUUCUAUCUGAUCUAUUUGAUACACUAGCCGCGCUCAUGGCAGAGGACAAUCCGGCGGAUCAGGAGGCCCAUAAUACAGAAAUUGCAAAGGUGAGAGAGCAGAUCGUGCAAGCCAAAGCGGGUCUGGCCGCAGAAAAAGACAGGAUGGCCGCAGAGCGGGCCGCUUUGGACGCCCAGGCUUAUAAGCUCAUGCUUGACCAGAACGCGUCACAGGAGGUCUUAAAGCGGAAGCACAGGUCACGCCUGCCGUUAGGGUUUGAUCCCCGGAAUCUCUUUCACACUCCAGGAGCUGGACCCAGUAAUCCGCCGCGACACCUGGAGACAAACCGGAUUGAGGCACCAGGACCAGGGGGGGCGGUCCAACCACGCCUGAUGGAACCUCCUCCGCAGAACAUUGUGAUUUUUCCGCCGGUCCAAACGCCCCCAGGUCAUUAUUCUAAUCCUAUGGACAACCUUGUUGCGGCCGCCGCACGAUUAGAGGCCAUCCCAGUCGAAGGGGACUCUCCGCAAGCGAUAGAGACGCGCCGGGUUAAAGAGCUUCUCCGGACCGUGCUGAUUCAGCAGGAAGCAUACUCGUACAGCCGUGAUCGGAUUCACUCUACGCCCCGUCCAAGCCGGAGCUAUAGCAGGCGCAUGGAUGAACCGACCAUAUCGAGCAAUGCGCGAGGCCGUGAAGCAGCCCAUGGCAAUAGCCCAGCAGGCGGUGUUCGCGAUGCUCAGGAUGUGGUGGACCGGGCCCGGGCACGGAGGGAAGCCGAGUUAGCAGCACAGGAUGAUGCGGAUCAACUUACACCGGUUCUCCCUACCACCUUCGCCGGACCAGGAGUCGCAUCUGCUUUGGGAGUGCCUUGUUUAAUCCCCGCUUUACGCAAUGUGCGCCUGCCCAAAGAUUUCAAGGGUCCACGCAAGGUGCCGAAUUACACUGCUGAUUUAUCCCCUGAAGCGUGGAUAGAGAGUUAUGAGAUGGCCAUGGAGAUGUUAGACGUGGAUGAGACCGCGUGUGCAAAAUACUUCACCAUGAUGCUUGAAGGCAUGGCGCGUACCUGGUUGAAGAGCCUACUGCCUAAUUCUGUCAGCUCAUGGGCCCAGUUGCGGGCCCGGUUUAUCCAGAAUUUCAAGGAUACGUGUAAACAGCCCAAAUCCAUAGUAGACCUGGCGGCUUGUGUCCAAGGGGAAGGAGAAUCAACGACCCAUUGGGUGCGCCGCGUUUCGGAAAUUUUGCACUCGUCCGACAGAAUUAAUGCUGACUCUGCGAUCUUAACCCUGGAAGGCAACUGCCGGUUUGAGCCUUUAAAAUUGAAAUUGGGACGCAUGAAGCGGUUCUGUAAUGACAUGGGAACCCUCAUGGCCGCUCUAGUGAAGUAUGUUGAUUCGGACAGUACCAAGGAUCCCGAGACUGAUGAUGAUGAAGCAGGGAAGGGAAGGAAGAAUAGCAACUCCAAACAGCAGCAGUAUAAACCGGCGGGUCAUGGAAACGGAGGCAAGCGCAAGGCGGAUGGCAGCAUGGACUUUGUGGCCAACACUAAUGCACAGGACAGGGGGCAGCGGCGUAGAGGUAAAGCGGCAAAUCGUAAUGGGGCUCCCAAUCCUAACGCAAGCCGCUUGAGUUAUUUGAUGAAUCAGCCUUGCCCGAAGCACGGGACGAAGGAGGCACCGGCUAACCAUCUUUGGAAGGAUUGUUACAUCAUGCAGGAGUUUAAAAACUCUAAUGCCUUCCGGUAUGAUCACGGGUCAGGUGGCGGUUCAGGAUCCAGUUUUCGUGGGCCGGAUCACGAUGGAGCUUCCGGUUCAGGUCGCAAUCAGGGCGGUCACAAUCACCAGAAUUAUCAGAACGGCCAGCAGCAGCAGCAGCAGUCGGGUUAUCAGAGCCAGCCAAAACAGUUGAACAAUGGGCAAUAUCAUGUUUUCACAACUAGCUUGGAUAAACGCGACCGAAAACUCCACAAGCGAGCGGUGAAUUCUGCUGAACCGGCCUUACCACGUAACUUGCGCUGGUCGGAACAGCCUAUCGUGUGGAGCAGAGAGGAUCACCCGCCCCGGGUUGAUAAUCCGGGCCAGCUAGCAUUAGUGGUGGACCCUCAGGUGGGGGGUUAUAAAUUCACCAAGGUACUCAUGGAUGGAGGAAGCAGUAUUAACAUACUAUACUAUGAGACAUUCCGUCGCAUGGGUUUAACAGACAAAGAUCUCAGACCAUCUAAUACGGUGUUCCAUGGUGUGGUGCCUGGCAAAUCUGCAUAUCCUGUUGGUAAGAUAGCCCUGGACGUGGCUUUUGGGGACGAGCACGACUCCCGGUCGGAAAAACUAACAUUGGAGGUGGUGAAGAUCCGGAGCCCAUAUCAUGCCUUGUUUGGUCGGCCGGCUUACGCCAAGUUCAUGGCGCGGCCUUGUUAUAUCUACUUGCAGCUCAAAAUGCCGGGUUACAAGGGGACAAUAACGGUUCAUGGGAGCCAUAGGGUCGCUUUGGAAUGUGAGGAAGGUGAUGCGGCUUAUGCAGAGUCGGUCUGUGCCACGGAGGAGUUGAAGUAUUAUAAGGACAAUGUUGAUCCAGCGGAUAUGACUCCUUUGAAGAAGCCAACUACAGAGCAUGAUUCGGAUCUAAAGUUCAAAUCGGCAGCUGAGACCAAGCUUGUUGACUUCGUGCCCGGCGAUUCAUCCAAGCAGUUCACUGUCAGUGCCAUUUUGGAUCCCAAAUAGGAAAGCGCGCUCAUCGAGUUCAUCCGUGAGAAUCGGGACAUCUUCGCAUGGAAGCCAUCCGACAUGCCAGGUGUACCGAGGGAACUCGCUGAGCACACUCUUAAUGUGGAUCCUAGGUAUAAACCGGUGAAGCAAUUCCUACGCCGGUUUAACGAAGAAAGGCGAAAGGCCAUUGGAGAGGAAGUGGCCAGGCUUUUGGCAGCUGGCUUUAUCAUUGAGGUGUUCCAUCCAGAGUGGCUUGCUAAUCCGGUGCUGGUUCUUAAGAAAAAUGGCACUUGGCGUAUGUGUGUGGAUUACACAAAUCUUAACAGGGCCUGUCCAGCGGAUCCUUUUGCCCUCCCCCGCAUUGACCAGAUCAUUGAUGCCACGGCGGGUUGUGAGCGUUUGAGUUUUUUGGAUGCAUACUCUGGAUAUCAUCAGAUCAAAAUGGCGGUUAAGGACCAGGAGAAAACAGCGUUUAUUACUCCCUUUGGAGCCUUCUGCUAUGUAUCUAUGCCCUUCGGACUCAAGAGUGCCCAAGCCAUCUAUCAACGGUGUGUACAGAACUGCCUGCAUAAGCAGAUCGGCCGCAAUGUGCACGCCUAUGUGGAUGAUAUUGUAGUGAAAUCAAGGCAGAAGGAGACGCUGGUGGAUGACUUGAAGGAAACCUUUGACAACUUGCGGGUUUACAAGAUGAUGCUUAAUCCGGCCAAGUGUGUCUUUGGUGUUCCAGCAGGCAAGUUACUAGGUUUCCUGGUGUCUAAUAGAGGAAUUGAGGCUAAUCCGGAGAAGAUUACAGCUAUCACCUCCCUGGCUAAACCGAAGUGCAUCAAUGAUGUUCAGCGCUUGGCGGGCCGAAUCGCCGCACUAAGCCGGUUUAUCAGCCGCCUCGGAGAAAAGGCCAUUCCUUUGUACCAAAUGCUGAGGAAGACAGACCAUUUCAUUUGGAGUCCGGCUGCUGACGAAGCAUUUGAGGACUUGAAGCGGCAGUUAGCCAAUCCGCCUGUCCUUGCAGCUCCGGUCGACAAGGAGCCACUAUUAUUAUACGUAGCAGCCAAUGCUCGGGCAGUUAGCGUGGCUAUUGUGGUGGAACGCAAGGAGGCAGGCAAGGAGUAUCCGGUUCAGCGGCCGGUUUAUUAUAUCAGCGAAGUGCUUAUUGAAUCCAAGCAAAGGUAUCCGCAUUGGCAGAAGCUGGUAUAUGGUGUUUUCAUGGCCAGUCGGAAGUUGAAGCAGUAUUUUCAAGGGCACCCCAUCACAGUGGUCAGUUCAGCUCCCUUGGGUGACAUCAUACAGAACCGGGAGGCGACUGGCCGGAUUGCCAAGUGGGCUAUAGAGCUUGGGCCACACGGACUGAAGUAUGUACCUCGGACGGCGGUGAAGUCUCAAGCACUUGUUGAUUUCAUCAAUGAUUGGACGGAGUUACAAGCACCAGAGGAGAAGCCGGAUCACACAUUGGACUAUUCAUUUUGAUGGAUCCAGGCAAUUGGAAGGCUCGGGGGCUGGAGUCGUAUUAACUUCCCCACGAGGUGAUAAGUUUUGUUAUGUUCUCCGCUUAAUGUUCCCUUGUACUAAUAAUGCAGCUGAGUACGAAGCCUUGCUCCAUGGUCUCCGGAUGGCUAAAGAGAUGAACUUAAGCCGGGUUAAGUGCUUCGGUGACUCGGACCUCGUGGCCCAACAGGUGUCUGGCACUUGGGAUUCUAAGGACCCGCUCAUGGCUGCAUAUCGUCGGGAGGUGGAUAAUAUUGCGGGUUGUUUCAAGGGUUAUCAAGUGGAUCAUGUGGACCAUCGGAAGAAUGAAGCGGCGGACGCUUUAAGCCGGUUGGGUUCUCAGCGCAAACCGGUCCCGCCUAAUGUCUUUCUGGACGUGUUGCACAACCCGUCAGUCCAGCUCCCAGGUGAAGCGGAUUUGGCCAUUCCUGAUCCGGAGGCUCAAUUGGUGGCAGCACUGCAUGCUAUUCCGGACUGAACGGUUCCUUAUCUUACGUACAUGAACCGGGGGGAGUUACCAGAGGAUGAGAUUCUAGCCAGGCAGAUAGUCCGGCGAUCCAAGUCUAUGACGAUUGUUAAUGGUGAAUUGCAUCAUUGCAGUGUAUCAGGGGCGUUUCAACGUUGUGUUUCUCCUGAGGAAGGCUGUGAAAUAUUAAGAGAAAUCCAUGAAGGAGAUUGUGGACAUCACGCCGGUUCAAAGUCUCUGGUAGCAAAGGCAUUUCGUCACGGGUUCUACUGGUUGACAGCGCAUGCUGACACGGAGGACUUGGUUAAACGGUGUGAUGGAUGUCAGAAAUUUUCAAGGCGUGCUCAUGUGCCGGCUCAAGAAUUGAGGAUGAUCCCAAUAACGUGGCCGUUUGCAACUUGGGGUUGGAUAUGGUCGGACCUUUUAAAAGAUCCAAGGAUAAGAAAACCCACCUUUUGGUGGCAGUUGAUAAAUUUACCAAGUGGGUUGAAGCGGAGCCUGUCAGCAAGUAUGAUGCAGAAACAGCAGUGCAGUUCAUCAAAAAGGUGAUUUUCCGGUUUGGUUUUCCACAUAGUAUCAUUACUGACAAUGGUACUAAUUUAUCCAAGGGCGCUAUGAAGGAGUUCUGUGAACGUGAGCACAUCCGACUUGACGUGUCGUCAGUGGCACACCCCCAGUCCAAUGGACAGGCAGAACGAGCUAAUCAGGAAAUCUUGCGAGGCAUCAAACCCCGGCUUAUGGUCCCAUUGCAAAGAACGCCAGGAUGUUGGGUUGACGAGCUACCAUCUAUGUUAUGGAGUAUCAAUACUACGCCAAACCGGUCCACAUGAUACACACCAUUUUUCAUGGUCUAUGGAGCAGAGGCAGUUCUCCCUAGUGAUAUCCGACACGAUUCGCCUCGUGUGGCAGCUUAUGUUGAAGCGGACAAUGAGACAGCACGGCAAGACGCUUUGGACCUAUUGGACGAGGAGCGUGAUAUAGCGGCUGCCCGUUCGGUGAUUUACCAGCAAGAUCUUCGUCGCUAUCACAGUCGCCGGGUUAGAACCAGAACUUUUCAAGAAGGAGAUUUGGUGCUUUGACUCAUCCAAGAUCAGACGGAUAUGCACAAGUUAUCCCCACCUUGGGAGGGACCUUUUGUGGUCAGCAAGAAUUUGCACAACGGGUCAUACUAUCUGAUUGAUAUUCGAGAGCAUAAAGACUCACGUACAUCAGAGGAGGAGACCAACAGGCCGUGGAAUAUAGCUCAUCUUCGGCCUUACUACACUUGAGCCAUCGGCUCUAUCUAUGUACAUAUCAUGACAGUGUAUAUAUUAUCUUUGAUAUAAUAAAACCGGAGCCUCAGCUAAAGCGGGGUCUCUGUCUUUCUUAUCAUGCGUGGUUACCUGGAGUGGUUCUGUUUUUAAAGCGGCCUCCGGUUUUCCCCUUGACAUUUGCUUUUUAUAUAUCACUUGGGGCCUUGGUCGUAUCCGAACCAACGCGACACCUUUUGAUAGGCGACAGCCACCAGAUCACUUGGGGACAUGGUCACGUCUGAACCAGUCACGCCUCUUGAUCGGCCUAAGGCCACAAAAUCACUUGGGGGCUUGGUCGAACCCGAACCAUUGCCACGCCUCUUGAUCUGGCAUAUAUGCCACGAAUCAUUUGGGGACCUAGCUAACUUGAAUCAUUGUCACUCCUAUUGGGGGCUUGGUCCUGUCUGACCAUGGUAACACCAUCUGAUCAGCUCAGUAUAGCAUAUUUUUUGCAAAUGGUUUUUAUCAUUGCCUUUGCUUCUAUGUUAUUUUCAUGGUUUGUUUGUUCUUUGUUUUUUGUUGGAUUUCUUUUAUGUCAACAAACACCCUUUUUCCGGUUCAGCUGAUGGAUUUGAUUCCUCUUUAAACCGGAAAAGUAUGCCUGGUUUACCUUUCUUUUACGGGAGCUGUUUUCUCCCCCCUUAUUGACGGUAAUGGUUUAUAAAACCUCCGCUUCAAGCUUGGCUAAGCCAGCUUCAUGCCCAGACAUGGCAGUUCAAAUUUUUCUGAUUGCAGGAAAUAUGAAUUGAAGUUUUUCGAACAAAAGCUUCAGUACUUAUGGGCGAAGGCAUAUUCAAGGCAGAAGUAUUAAUUAUCCUAUUACAAGGCAGCACGGUGCCCAAAUAAGAUCAUUUUUCUUUUGGAAAGAUGCCAAAGAUAGCUAUCCAAACCGGCUUCCGGUUCAAGCCUGCUCCUCAUCAUCCGCUACUUCAGCUUCCUCGUCUCUACCCAUUGGCUGGAAAUCAACAGUGGUCCAGUCGAUUCCCAUUAAAGCUUGGAAAACAGCCUCUUCAUGGAUUAGGGAAGACGGUUCAAUAUCAGGAGCGUAAGUGUGCUUACGGAUUGGCGGGAUCAGAUUCUCCGCUUCAAGAGUUGGGGCAGGCACUCGCUUAUUCUGGUCAUUAUAUUGUGCUUGAUAAUGCGUUAGGUCUGCCUCUUCAGCUAGCUGACAAGCCAGAGGGCGCACUGCACGGUUUAUUGCCCUUAAAUCCUCUUCGUUAAAUUCAGAGCCAUCUUCCUUCAGGCUAGGAUAGCCUUGAGAUGCUUCCACAGGGUCGAAAUCUGGCACCCAUGCCUUUGCCCGGAUCAAGGCGUUAAUAGCUCAGGUUCAGGCAGCAGAUUUCUUCAGUUCCUCCAUCCGGGCCGGAAGCAUCGACAACCUGUUAAUAGUGUCCUGGAUUAAAGAAGGUGUCGGGUUGUUAUGAGAGGCUGUGGUGAUGAUCCGCUGGGCUCCGGUAUAUAAUUGUUCCACUAAGGUGUAGGCAGCUUUCAGUUUCUUCCGCACAUCAUUUCCUAAGUGCCCAAUGCGUGUUCCUGCAACAAUACAUGGACGGUCUCACACCGGAUUUGCAUUACAGCAGGUUCAAAGUAUCACAGAAGUUAAAAGGAGCUUACCAAAGAUUGCAGCGGUCAUGGAGUGUAUUUGCUGUUUCACAGCCGUAAGUUCAUCCACCACCGGUUUAAGGGCAGCUUUAGCAUUUUCCGCUCUUUUGGUUAAAGCGGCCUUCUCAGUGGCCCAAUCAUCCCGCUCUUUCUUGAAGCCCUUUUUCAGCUGUUCAGCGGUGCUCAAGGCGCUGGUUAGUUCUUCCUUUGCCUUGUCUGUUUCAGCAUGUUGGGUUUUCAAGGCCUCCUGCAAAUCGGCAAUCCGGUCCUCUUUGAUUCUCACCUCAGCCUGCAUACAGACAUCAUUUAGCUUUCAACAAACGGUCCAAAGAAAUUGAAGUAUCAACCACAUAAACAAAGUUAUACGCCUGAUACUUGGGGGCUAAUGCACCUUCAAUUUUCAUCAAGUCAUUAGAUUGCAAAGUCCCAAGCUCAAUACAGGUAUUCAACUUGGCACUUGGGGGCUAAUGCACCUUCAAUUUUCAUCAAGUAUUAGAUUGCGAAGUCCCAAGUUCAAUACAUGUACUCAACUCGGCACUUGGGGGCUAAUGGCUAUUUUAUCAAAUUAUGUUCUAAGGAUAGUUUUUCUGUCCGAGCCCCGGGUUAAUUCUGCUAAGCUACAAACCGACCCUUGGGGGCUAGGAGGAUUGGUGCAAAGGCAGGCAGUAAAGAAGUAAGUUACCUCAAAUUUAUCCCUCAUCAUUUUUACCAGACCAGCUUCACAGUCACGGCUAGUAUAAAGCCGGUUUAGAUAGCCGGAAUGAAGAUAUUGGGCGCUCAGAGCAGCAUAUGUCUCCAGUUCAACAUCCCAUUUUUCUUUAUUCAGAGCGGAAAAAUCCUCUUUUAUGGUAUGCUUGGUUAAGGUGACAGGAUUCCCGGGUUCAGAGCGGCCUACACCGGUAAUCACAACAUCAUCAUCUUUGGACUCGACGGUUUGUGUUAGUGUGAUCGGUUUGUCAACAGGACUGUGGGAUUUAUCAAUCCGGACGGAGCUGACAGGCGGAUCAGCAGAGACUGAAGUAUUAAUAGGCCUCUCUUCGGGAAUAGCAUCGUCUUGUAAAGGAGGAUCAUUGGGAAUAUCCUCAGGAGCAAAUGCCUCAAGAUCUGGCAUUUUGUCAUGUUCUUGGGCUACAUCCUCUUCGGCCGCUUUAUCCAGGCGGGCUUUCUUGCUUGGUUUAGGUUUGGCCCUAAAAGAAAACCAAAGAGUCAAGGAAAAGCAUAAGCCCUUACACAAUGUAUUGGAAGCAUAUGUUCAGCUUAACUUACCCAAGAACCGUUUUUAACGGUGGCAGCUGAGUGGCCGACGAUUCACCAGAAGAUGAAUGAGAAGUAACCUGAUAAUUGGAGUCGGAUGGGUUAAGAGGUUGACGGAAGAAACCCGCUUUAGGAUGUAAAUCAACAAAAAGGUCAGAGACCUCGGAGCGGCGUUUUCGAACCGGACUGUUUGGUAAACCGGUGGAGGUAACUACCUGGCCACUGUGCCGGGUUGUGCAGCGAACUUCAUGUUGCUGCAUCUUCAUAUGAAAUUUAGGAUCCAAAUAAGCAAGAGGAUGAGAAAAUUUAACUUUCCGGUUUGCCUGUCGAGGUUUUGGCAAAGGUAAGAUUUCUGAAUCGGAAGAGAGAAUAGUUACCUCAACAAAUUCCGCAUUGCUGGCUUCAGCGUCAUCCUGACAAGCAUCAUCAUCAAUAAGGCGUGUAAAAAAUAAGCCAAGCGAGUCAAGUUCUACCUCAAGGUCCGGGUUACCCACAUCAUCAUCAAUAGCUGGGUCAGAUGAAGCGGUGGUUUUUCUCUUAUGAGCUGGCUUCUUAAUAACCUUGGUCUUGGGGCGGAUUGGCCGCCCUGUUUUCUCCGUUUUGUCUUGAGGAAGUUUCUUGCUCCAAAACGGAUUAUCGCCUUGGAUCAGCAGUAAUUAAAUGUCAAACAUAUAAAGCAGUAACCGGUUCAACAAUAGAGCAGUUAAAAUAUUACCGCUGGCGGUUUGUUGGUGGUGCAGUAAGGAGGCAGACCGGUUUGAGCACAGAGGUGCUCCGGUUCAUUCAGCAUCUUUUUCACAGAUUCUGUGACUUCGUCAUCGGGGAGUUGGAUUUUAGUGUGUCGGAGUGGGUCAUCGACACUAUCAGUAUACUUGCACAUCAAAUUGGAGCGCCGGCUCAGAGGCAGUAUGCUCCAUGAUAUCCAACAGCGUGCAAGAUCUAUUCCCGUUAAGCCGUUGGCCAUAAAAGCUCAGAGCUUGGACAGUUGCGGAGCGUAUUUAAUUCUUUCCUUGGCGCUUAGUCUUUGUGGAAAAGGGUGCGUGUUGCUGAGCCGUUCCGGACGGAAGCCAGGCAAGGGAUUUUCAUUGUCAGGGGAGGUAUCCUUGCAAUAAAACCAAGUUGCAUUCCACUCCUUGGGGUGAGUAUGGAGUUUAACAUGGGGAUAAGUGAUUUCCUUCCUCUUCUGAAUGGCCAUACCGCCCAGUUCAGUGUUGGGGCCAUCGGUGAAUUCAGUGCGACGGUUUAAAUGAAAGAGGUCUCUAAACAAUUCGACUGAAGGCUCCUCUUGAAAGUAUACCUCAGAGAGCACUUGAAAGUGGCAUAGAUUGGUAACAGAGUUGGGGACAAUAUCAUGUGGACGGAGCUGAAAAUUGGCUAACACAUCCCGGUAAAAUUUAGAGCCGGGCGGUUUGAAGCCCCGGGCCAAGUGAUCUACAAAGACCACAACCUCUCCUUCCUGGGGGGUAGGUGGACAUUCAUUUCCAGGAACCCUCCAGUGGAUUGUAUCUUUACUGUCUAAAGCGCCGAUCAAGACUAGAUCGUCCAACUGUGAUUCCGUGACGCGAGAAGGAACCCAAUUGCACUCAUACACUUGUUUGGCCAUGGCGAGAUCUACAAGAAAUAGAUGAUCCGGUUCAAGAACACGCUGGGUAAAAGAAGGUAUUGAUCUAAACUACGAUAAACCGGUCUUCCACAAUGCGGCAUCAUGUGGAUUCUGGCGGUUCAACCAGGGGACUAAUGGUAUACACCGGUUUAGUAACUUUUUUCUAUGAUAAGUUAAACCGCCUGACCUAAGCGUCGGAAGAAAUUGAAGCUAUGGACAACUAGGUAUACAGAAACAGGUUUCACAAGAUUUCAUUACAGCCAUGGAUCUACAGCGAGCUCACAAAACAGAAAAUAUUCUGAAGAGUAAGGCGGAACGGAAGUGAACCAUUGAGCGGGUAUGUGCGUGAGAUCUAUGGGCUUAGAUAAGAAAUAACAGGAGGAUGCUUAAAGAUUACUACUGAACACAGCGGGAAUUUACAGAUUCAUCCAAGAGUCGGAAUACAAGUAUGAGCAAGUGACGAACACAGCACGAACAUGGAACCCUAAGAACAGAUCUAGGUCAAUAAGAGGAGAAAGCUUACUGGGAACGGAGAAGAUGCGGAACGAUACCGCAGUACUCUGGAACGCUCAGGUUGAUGCAGCGGCCCAAGACGAAGCAGAGGUCGAUGGUGGCGGCGGAGCUCCAAGGCUGGCGAUGCGAGGAAGACGAAGAAGAAGAGAUCAGGGGAAAAGAAAGGAGAUGACCAUUCGGUCUUAUUUAUAAGGCAACGGAGUUAGGUCAAGCGCGCGGAUCCAGGAGGCGUUAUAAAUGACAAAUUUCAUGAUGACGUCAUGCCGGUUUACAACAACCAGAAAUGAUGACAUCAUGCUGGUUUACCAAUUACCAGAAGAUGUCCAAGACACAAGAUUUUGUGAAGGAUUGACAUGAACCAGUUCAAAUCAAUCUGGGGCCUAAUGUUGGGGAUAUUACCACUAGGCGUAAACCGGCCUACUUGGGCCGGGUUAACUUCGUUAGUGGUAUAAGCAGAUGAAGGCCCAAGGCCUAUAGUCGGUUUAGAAUCUGUAGCCAGAAACUGACCUGAUGUAUAACUUGUAUUGUAAGUUAGGAAUAGAGAGAUACCAACCGGGAUACGAGUAUGAACCGGUUGGGACUCUAUGGACCGACGGGCGUCACCCGUGUAUAUAAGGGGACGACCCGGCGGCGGUUCAGGACAGAUAACCACAACUCGAGCCUAGGCGAAGCUUGUUUUGCUCCCUAGCCAUCGAGAUCACAUCAAUUCCAUCACAACUAGACGUAGGCUUUUACCUUCAUCGAAGGGGCCGAACUAGUAUAAACCCUCGUGUCUUUGUGUCCGCUUUAAACCCCUUCAAGUAAACCCGCAGCGAUGGCACCACGACUAAGUCCUUUCACUAGGACGUCUGCCAUGACAAAUCCACGACAAUCGCCAAAAUAAAAAAAUCGCUCUUAUGAAAAUUAAUUUUGAGGCCAGAAAGUUCCUCAAAAGCACAUAAGAGCAGCUUGAGAUUUCUUGCCUUAUCUAGAUCAUGAUCCAUGAAGUAUCAUGUCAUCCUCAUAUUGUAGAAUGGAUAGACCAUCUUCUACCAAGUGUGGAAUGACCCCACUAAUUUGACCAUCCAGCUUAGCCCGCUCAACAAGGGUAGCUAGCAUGUCGGCCACAAUGUUAAACAUAAUAGGAGAUGCAGGGUCGCCUUGACAAAGCCCCUUCCUUGUCUGAAAAUAGUUGUCAACGUCAUCGUUAACUUUUAUGGCCACACUACCUCCAGAGACAAAGCUCUCUACCCAACGACACCAUUUUUGUUAAAACACCUUCAUGCGCAAGGUUUGCAACAGGAAGGGCCACUUAACUUUAUCGUAGGCUUUCUCAAAAUCAAUUUUAAGAAUGACACCGUUCAAAUUUUUCUGGUGCAGUUCAUGUACAGUUUCGUGCAGGAUGACAACUCCAUCUAAUAUGUUGCAGCCUUGCAUAAAUGUUGUUUGAGUGGGUUUACGACAUGAUCAGCUAUACCAUUCAACCGAUUAGUCGCUACCUUCAUAAAAAAUUUAAAACUUACAUUCAUAAGGCAAAUCGGUCGAUAUUGUUGAAUACGACUAGCCUCCUUAAUCUUAGGCAAUAGGAUAAUUUCCCCAAAGUUUAAACGAGAAAUAUCAAGGUCCUCGGAAUGCAGUUGAUUAAACAACUGAACCAAGUCUGCCUUAAUCGCGUCCCAAAAGCAUUGAUAGAACUCUGCGGGAAAGCCAUCCGGUCCCGGUGCCUUCUUGUGUUCCAUCUGAAACACCGCAGUUCGAAUUUCCUCCUUAGAAAACGGAGAGGUUAGGAAUUCAUUUUCCGCUUCCGUAACUUGAGUAAUGUCAUGAGUAACGGAUUCGUCUAGCUGAAAAUUAGUUUCAGCUGAAGUCCCAAAAAGGUAUUUAUAAAACUUAGUGAUGAAAUUUCUAAGUGGUACGUCCCCCUCUAUUCGGCCUUCCUCCUCGUCAAGGGCGAAUAACGCUUCUUUCUAUGUCUGCCAUUGGCUAGCAUUUGAAAGUAUUUCGUAUUAUCAUCACCUUGCACCAGCGAAUCCGCCUUGCUAUGUUGGUAUGAUAACCCACAAGUAUAGGGGAUCAAUUGUAGCAUCUUUCGAUAAGUAAGAGUGUCGAACCCAAUGAGGAGCUAAAGGUAGAACAAAUAUUCCCUCAAGUUCUAUCGACCAUCGAUACAACUCUACGCACGCUUGAUGUUCGCUUUACCUAGAACAAGUAUGAAACUAGAAGUACUUUGUAGGUGUUGUUGGAUAGAAUUGCAAGAUAAUAAAAUGCACGUAAAUAAAAAGUAGGGGCUGUUUAGAUAAAGAAACAAUAAAGUAAAUAUAGCGACUGUGGAAAAGUGGUGGUAGGAGUUGUGAAAUUCUCCCUAAGCAAUUGACUACUUUACUAGACCGAUAGCAAGUUUUAUGUGGGAGAGGCAUAAGCUAACAUACUUUCUCUUCUUGGAUCAUAUGCACUUAUGAUUGGAACUCUAGCAAGCAUCCACAACUAUUAAAGAUCAUUAAGGAAAAACCCAACCAUAGCAUUAAAGUAUCAAGUCCCCUUUAUCCCAUACGCCGCAACCCCCUUACUCGGGUUUAUGCUUCUGUCACUCAAGCAACCCACUAUAAGCGAAUCAUGAACGUAUUGCAACACCCUACAACGGGAAUCCCUCACGCUUGCGUGACACGGAGGGCACAAUAGGACAGCAACAUAACCACAAGCAAAUUAAACCAAUCAUAGCAAUUCAUCAAUCACCGGUAGGACAACGAAAAUCUACUCAGACAUCAUAGGAUGGCAACACAUCAUUGGAUAAUAAUAUGAAGCAUAAAGCACCAUGUUCAAGUAGAGGGUUCAGCGGGUUGCAGGACAGUGGACCGCUGAAUAUAGAUGGGGGAAGGUGAUGGAGAUGUUGGUGAAGAUGAUGGAGGUGUUGGUGUAGAUCGCGGUGAUGAUGAUGGCCCCCGGCGGUGUUCCGGCGCCAUCGGAAGCGAGGGGGGGAGAGCCCCCCUUCUUCUUCUUCUUCCUUGACCUUCUUCCUAGAUGGGAGAAGGGUUUCCCCUCUGGUCCAUGGUCUCCAUGGCGUGGGAGGGGCGAGAGCCCCUCCGAGAUUGGAUCUGUCUCUCUGUCUCUCUCUGUUUCUGCGUUCCCAGAUUCUGCCCUUUCACCGUUUCUUUUAUAUCCAGAGAUCCGUAACUUCAAUUGAAUUGAAACCUUCGCCCAGAUUUUUCUCCGAAAAUUAGCUUCCUUGCGGCAAAAGAAGAGCGUCAACCGCCUUACAGGGUGCCCACGAGGGUCAGGGGCACGCCCCCUGCCUCGUGGCCCCCCUCGGGCACCAUCUCGCGUUGGUUUUUCUUCCCAAAAAUCAUAAAUAUGUCAAAAAUGAUAUCCGUCUGUUUUUAUCCCGUUUGGACUCCGUUUGAUAUGGGGUUUAUGCGAAACAUAAAACAUGCAACAAACAGGAACUGGCACUAGGCACUGGAUCAAUAUGUUAGUCCCAAAAAUAGUAUAAAAAGUUGCCAAAAGUAUAUGAAAGUUGAAUAAUAUUGGCAUGGAACAAUCAAAAAUUAUAGAUACGACGGAGACGUAUCAUGGUACCAUUUAAUCUCUUCCUCACAUAGUAGGCGGGCAAUCUGCUCGUUAAGAUUGCUUUUUUUCUCAAUCUCAACAGCAUACAGAGGCCUCACCUCCGCUAUUUUAUCAAGGGAAUCAAUUAAAGGUAGACAAUCACUGUUUUUCUUUUUUGUAGAUGCGGCAGUAUGCUUGGCCCAUCCUCGAAGGAAUCAACGCAAGGCGCAGAUUUGUAGACUACUUUAGAUCCAGAUUUUUUGGCAGUGUGAUAAUGAAACCAAGAAAUAUAGACCGACUAGGUGGAGCGUAUUAUGCAGACCUAAAAGUCAAGGGGGUCUGGGAAUCCAAGACCUUGAGAUUAAAAACAUUACUCUUCUCAGCAAGUGGGUUAAUAAACUACUCACUGAGAAUGGAGUAUGGAAGGAAAUCAUUCGCAACAAGUAUGUGGGAUCCAAUGCCAUUUCUCAAAUUCAUUGGAAACCUGGGGAUUUACAUUUUUGAGUGGUGUCAUGAAGGCCAAGGAGCUCUUCUUCCAAUUUGGGACCUUCUCGGUUAUGGACGGUUCUCAGGUUCGUUUCUAAGAAAAUACCUGGCUAGGGAACAACUCACUAAUGGUGCAAUAUCCGAGCUUGUACCGAAUUGUCAGACAUAAAUUUGUCACGAUCAAACAAGUCUUAGGACAAGAAAUCCCUGAUAUUUCUUUUGGUAGGGAUCUUUUGGGCACUCGCCUGGCAGCAUGGAAUGAAUUACUCACUCGCCUGGAGGACAUUCAACUAUCAGAUGAGCCAGACACUUCUCGAUGGAACUUGCAUCAGAAUGGCAAAUUUUCGGUCAAAUCCAUGUAUGAUGCAAUGGUUCAUUAUGAUGUUCCAGUAGAUAACAGGAAAUUGUGGAAGCUAAAAAUUCCUCUAAGAGUGAAGAUUUUCGUCUGGUUUCUAAACAAAGGAGUCAUCCUAACUAGAGAUAAUCUGGCACGACAAAACUGGCAUGAUUCCAAGACAUGUGUCUUUUGCCAACAUGACGAGUCUAUCAAACACUUAUUUUUUGAGUGCAAGUUUGCUCGGGCAGUUUGGGCCAUGGUCCAAGUAGCUUCGAAUUUAUACCCACCACGUAGUGCACGGAAUAUUUUCGGCAACUGGUUGCGGGGUAUUGAUAAACAAUUUUCUGCACAUAUUCUUGUGGGAGCGGCGGCCUUAUGCUGGGCAAUGUGGCUUACUAGGAAUGAUGUGGUUUUUAACAAUAAAUGUGUCUCAUCUCCUAUGCAGGUUAUUCAUGUUUGUACAGGAUGGCUCCGUACUUGGUCUAUCCUGUAGAAGCCGGAGGACAGGGACCUUUUUAUGAUGGCGUCUACACGGCUGGAGCGUACGGUCAGGGAGGUUUUCUACCCCCGUAGAUGGCGGUGUGAUUUACGGAUAGGAUCUACCACUCCUUAGGAUGGACACGAUUUAUUGCUUGGCAUUGUAUCGAAUAUUUUAUUUUUAGGGUGCUCUGGACUUUUUGGCUAUGUGCAUCUAGCUAUGCAGAGGCCGGGCUUUCUUUCGAUACGAUUGUAUCACCUCGAUAUAUCUAUUCAAUGAAAAGUCCUUUGUCGAAAAAAGGUGCAUAACUCUAUUCCCUGUGAUUAUUGUCAAUAAGAGCAACCCAAUGGUUUGCCUUGCCAUGUCCUGUUCUUGUUUUGAAAGUAGUCUGCUUUGCUUAUCCAGUAUCACCAGUUAACUGGUUAGCCUGGAGCAGCUUGGUGUUGUACAUGAUGGUCUUACUGUGAAAAUGCCAAGUGUGAGAACAUUAGACUAGCUGUCCAUUUCUUGCCGGAGAUCAUGCAUUCAGGGAUGGAUCCCCUCCCUUCCUCCUCCCUCUCCUCCUCCUCCCCCUCGUCCCCUCCUCGCCCUGGGCGUCUCGCUCCCCGCUCUGUUCUGCGGGCCGGUGCUCGGCCGUCCUCUUCUCCGUGUGCAGGUGCUCCCCCUCCCCUCUCCCCGGUCUCCCCGCAGGUGGGGCUCUCCCCUCCUUCUUCUCCGCUUCCGGUGCUUGGGUCUCGCUUUUGGGCCCUUGCAUCCGAUGUGGAGGAGUCGCGGUCGUCCGCCUCCUCCCCUUGUGGUCCCGUGCCCUGUGCUGGGGGGGCGGUGGUGUCCUGUGCCGCUCCUCGCCUCCGCAAGUUCGCCCCGGGUGGCCGGGGCCGGCCGGUGGCUGCGCCUUCUUCGGGCGAUGGCUGGAUCCGAAUCUCGCGGCGGCGGCGCAAGUCUAGUAAGUUUGUUGUUGCGUCUCCUGAUCCCGGUGUCUUGGGCAGUGCGCCAGAUGGGGAGCUUGGAGGCCUCCCAUCUCCUUCUCCGACUUCCUCUCUGGCGGCCUCGUCGCCGGUGGUGUCGACGGCGGGGCCGUUGGUGGCAUCGUGUAACCUAAACCUAGAUCUCGAUUUCUCCGUGGUGGCCAUCGGGCCGCGGGCCGCUUCCUCAUGUGGGCUUGCUGGGCCUUGCGGUUUGGCGUUGCCCAGUGGGCCUACCUCUCCUCCCCUCCUCUCGUCUGUGGUCGACUUUCCCCCUCUUGUCUCGUCUGGCCCAGUCGGGCCCACCGGUCGGGUUCCUGCUCCUCAACCUCUUGUGGCCCAUCUGGUGAGUCGGGCCCAGGUGGGCACGGCUCGGACGGGAUAUUUAUGGAUCCCCCGCGGCUCAGUCUCCCCCCUGCUAGGGUUUCUGGCUUCCUCUUCCGACCUGUGUUGUCACCGUCUCCCCAUCCGUCGCCUCAUUAGAUCUUCCCCACCUCCACCCUUCCUCCUUCAUUUUGCUGCGGUGCUUUCCACGGACAAGUCGCGGGGCUCUUCCUGCGAGGCGCUCUCAGGCGGCAAGCAGCGCCGUGAGGACUCCCCUGCCUCCGCGGUGGAUCUGGAGCUCGAGGCUUCGCUCCGUUCCAAGUUGGAGGCGGAGCAGGCGGCGCGCGAGCAGGUGGCUCGUGGCCGCGAGGCUUGGGCUUCGGGUCCGGAGUGGUUGCAGCGCUCGCAGAGGGAUGGUGUGCCUGGAUCCGGCCCGCAGGGCUCUGGAUCUAGCCCUUCUCUCUGUCCGGUGCUGGAUCCAUGGGAGGCGGCGGCGGCCUCUGGCGGUGGAGUUUCCUCGUCUUCUGCCUCCCUUCCCGCUCCGGGUGUGGGGCGUGGCUCGUCUGCUCCGUCGCGUCCUCCGCCUCCUCCUCCUCCUCUCUCCAUUGGGGUUGUUGCUGGUUCUCACCCGCCGCCUCGGUCCUUCGCGGGGCCGGUCCGUCGGUCGCCCGGUCCGACCUCUGGGGCUCCCCUUUUUCGGGGAUGGGGGAUGGGAUCCUGCCUCCUCCUCCGUCGCUUUCGCAAUCUCGCCCAUCCUCUGCCUCCAAUAGCAACCCCUCGGUGCUCACCUGCUUCGCUUGCCACAGGCCUGGCCAUUUCCAGUCUCGCUGCACCAACCCUCCUUUUUGCCUGAUUUGUCGCUCUGAUGGUCACCUCAUGGUCAACUGCAUGGCUAGGCAGAAACCUCCCGCGGUCCUCCAGUUCGGCUCGGGCCUCCCUGGUUGCGCCUUUUUCGCCUUCAACGGUUAUCUGCCUGUCCGGGAGGUGGCUCCUGCUUUGUCUAAUGCUGCGAUUGUCUCGGUCAAGGACCAAAAGAUUUCGCCCCAAACUCUUCUGGAAGGGCUCCGCAUUUGGGAUGAGGCUGGAUGGGACUAGCAAGUUGUGCAGAUGUCUGACUAUGAGUUCUCUGUGGUGUUUCCCUCCAAAGAAUGUUUGCGGAUGAUUGCCUCAUGCACUAGCUUCACCUUGCCCCUCAAUCAAUUGGUGGUUUCUGUCAAAGCGGCUUCUUGCAAUGGUACGGCAGUUGGUCCGUUAUCCCAAGUUUGGGUUCUGAUUGAUGAUUUGCCUGUCGGUCUCCGCUCACCUGCUUUUCUCAUGUCCUUCGGGGUUUUGAUUGGGAAGCCCAUUGAGGUGGAUGAGGAAUCUCUGAACAAGGUCGGCCCUGCUAGGAUGAAGGUUUGGUGUGUGGAUCCUGAACGGGUGCAUGGCUCAAUUGAUAUUUUCCCCUCUCACAAUGGUAUUAGGCUUCGGGUGCGGGUGGAGGGGGCGGCCGCUUUUCAUGCCCCACCUUCCCCUCCUCCUCCUUCUAACCCUAAGGACAAGCAUGAUAAGGAGGGGGACGGAUCUUUGGGUGGCCCUAAUCAGAGUUUUGGGUCUAACCUCCGCUUCGCCCAAUCUGAAUGGGACGGUCUGGCAGAUUUUGAACGUGAGCUGUUUCAAUCCCAAGCUCCUUCUGGUGGUGCUCCUCAUGAUGACUCGGUGAUCCCGCCUGCGGCUCCGUUUGUUCCUGCUGCUGAUGCUGAUUUGUCGAAGUUUCCGCCCUGCUCUGCUACCCCCGUUUCUGGUGCCUGCUCCAAUCUCCCUGUUCGUCCGCUCUCCCCCACUCGUUCGGGAAUUGAAGAUCUCCCUGUCUCCCCGGUUCGUGAUGUGGUGGAAUCCCAGUCCCUCCGGAAGAAGAAAUCCUCAGUGCGCAAAUUCUCGGCUAAGAGCCGGAACUCGUCGGGCUUGAAGCAAUCCAUGGCGGGGUUCUGUCGGCGUCUGGAUCAAGAUUUGGGAUCUAUGUCCCGCUCGGGUCCCCAUGGUGGCUCUCCUGCUGCGCGGUCGCCUGCUAUUCGAUCUCCGGUGUCCAUGGCUCGCAAAGGAAGGCGGGUGGCGAGUUCUGGUGGUUCUAUCCUGGAGCGGGCUGAGAAGCGGGCUGCGGCGAAGGAUCUCCCUCCCCCAGGUACUUCUCCCAUCCCCUCUGUUGUUGCUUCUCCGGUGCGGUUGGUUCUACCUUCUCUUUCCAAUGAUCACCUUUUAAAUAUCAUGUCGGAUGUGGGUGUGGUGGUUGAUUCUUCUGUUGGUUCUCCUAGUUCGCUACUUGCUAUUAUUCGGGCUAACGAGAUGGCUCAGGCAGCCAUUGCCUCUCUGAUAGGGGAUGCUAGUUGUGGUCCGGGUGUGGACACAGGUGCUGGUAGUGGCCAGCCCCAAUCCAACUUAUCUAAGAGGGGCACCAAUAAGCAAGCUAAAUCCUGCAUGGCCCCUUGCAGGUCGAGUCUCCGAAUCAAGAAUCUUUCUUAUAAAUGAGGGUGUUAUUCUGGAAUAUUAGGGGGUUCGGUGCUAGGGGGCGCCGUGACCAACUUAAAGAGUUGGUUCAUUCUAAUUCUAUUGACUUUGUGGGGCUGGUUGAAACCUUCAAGGAUUCCUUCUCCCCUAAUGAUUUCUCUGCUAUUGUGGGCAUGGACAUAUUUAAUUGGCAAUUUUUACCUGCUUCGGGUCACUCUGGUGGGAUAUUGAUUGGCUCCAAUAAAGAUAUUUUUGAUUUUGUUGCUUUUGAUCAUGGGAUCUUUUGGGCCAGUGUUGUUCUAUCUCAUAAAGCUAUGAAUAUUCUCUGUGAGUUUAUCGUUGUUUAUGGGUCUGCAGACCAUUCUUUGUCGGCUUUAUUCCUUAAUGAACUUUCGUUGAAGAUCGAUUCUUGUAACUUACCGAUGGUUAUCGGGGGAGACUUUAAUCUUAUGCGGUGCCCUAAUGACAAUAGUAAUGAUAACUUCUCCUGGCCUCUGGCUAAUGCCUUUAACGACUUCAUUAGUGCUAAUGCUAUUCGUGAGCUUCCCCGGGGGGAGCCCGCUAUACAUGGUCCAAUCAUCAGGCUAAUCCUAUUAGAUCUGUGCUUGAUAGAGUCUUCCUGUGUCCCAGUUGGGAUUCCUUGUUCCCUAGGGCUUCUCUUAACGCCAAAUGCAUUAUCGGUUCUGAUCGUACCCCUUAAUUCUUGACGACGGUUCCAUUAGCCUUAGGCCUCCAGCUAGAUUUCAAUUCGAUGCCUCUUGGCUGUCUGUGGAGGGCUUUGGUGACAUGGUUGCAGCGAAGAUUUCCCUUUCUCUCUCCUCCAAUGCUCGCUCUUUUGGGCCUAUGGAUGAUUGGCACUCGUGCUCCUAUACCCUGCGUAAAUUCCUCAGAGGUUGGUCUCGUAAUCGUGCGGUGGAGGAUCGUCGUACCAAAUCUUUCCUCGAGGACCAGAUUUUGUCGCUGGAUCGCGCGGCCGACUCUACUGGGCUUUCUGACGAUGGUUGGGCGGUUCGCUAUAAUCUUGAGGCCGCUUUAAUGCAGUUGCACCACCAGGCUGAGAUUUAUUGCCGUCAGCGGGGUACUCUAAACUGGACUCUAAAAGGUGACUCCCCUACGGCGUAUUUCUUUGCGAUCGCGAACGGUAGGCAUAGGCGUUGUAGUAUCAAUAGCCUGCUGAUUAAUGGUGCGCGAUCUUCGGAGCAGUCUGCUAUUAUGGCUCAUGUGGUGGAUUUUUUUUCUUCGUUGUUGGGGGCUAAACCUCAAUUGGGCUUCUCUAUCUCUCCUUCCCUUUGGGACUUAGGUCUUAAAAUCUCACCCGAGGAGAAUGCCUCCUUGAUGAUCCCUCUUUCUGAUCAGGAAAUUUGGGAGGUUGUUAACACUGCCAAUCCCAAUGCUGCUUCUGGGCCAGACGGCUUCUCCAUCCCUUUUUUCCGGAAUUUUUGGCCCCAGUUGAAACAGCUGGUUUGUAAUGUUAUCCAGGGUUUUUGUCUUGGUACUGUCGAUAUCUCCCGCCUGAACUACGCAGUGAUAUACCUGAUCCCCAAGGUUAAGGGUGCUGAUGUUAUUUCCCAAUUUCGGCCUAUUGCUUUGAUUAACAACUUUGCCAAAUUCAUGGCUAAAGGCUUUGCAAAUCGUUUUUCGCCGGUUGCUCAUAGAGUUAUUAGUCCUUAUCAAUCUGCUUUCAUCAAAGGGCGUUUCAUCCUCGAUGGUAUCCUAUCCCUUCAUGAGAUUGUGCACGAUCUUCACGCUCGGAGAGCUAAAGCGAUUAUCCUUAUGUUAGAUUUUGAGAAAGCUUAUGACUCGGUUAGCUGGCCCUUUCUCAAGCAGGUCCUUCUUGCUAAAGGUUUUGACGGUGCUUAUGUUCAUCGUAUCAUGCAGCUGGUCUCGGGUGGCCAUACUGCCGUUUCGGUUAAUGGUUUCGUUAGCAAUUUCUUCGUUAAUGGUAGGGGCCUGCGCCAAGGGGAUCCUACUUCCCCUGUUCUUUUUAAUUUUGUGGCUGAUGCCUUCUCGUGCAUGCUCUCCAGGGCGGCCCGUUGUGGGCACAUUGCUCCUGUGGUCUCCCAUUUACUUCCGGAGGGUGUUUCCCACUUGCAAUAUGCGGAUGAUACUAUUAUCUUGGUGGAGUUGGAUGACGCCUGCAUUGCUAACCUGAAAUUCAUCCUGCUGUGUUUCGAAGCGGUUUCGGGUCUUAAGAUUAAUUUCGCUAAAAGUGAGGUCCUGGUGACGGGUGUGGAUGGGGCGGAAGCGUUGCGGAUUGCCAGGCUCCUUAACUGUUCUUUGGGUUCCUUUCCCUUCAAGUAUUUAGGCCUUCCUAUUUCUCCUAGCGUGCUCCAUGCUAAAGAUUUCGCUCCGGCGGUCGCUAAAGUGGGGAACAGGGUGCUCCCUUGGAGGGGCAGAUACAAUACCAAUGCUGGCAAAGUUGCUCUAAUUAACUCCUGCUUAUCCUCUCUCCCCAUGUUUCUUAUGGGCUGUUAUCUUCUUACGGAUGGCGUGCAUGCUGGCUUUGACAAACAUAGGGGAGCUUUCUACUGGAAUUCCGCGGAUAACAAACGGAAAUAUAGGAUGGUCAAGUGGCAACAUAUGUGUAAGCCUAAAAAACUUGGGGGGUUAGGCAUUAUUAAUACUCGGGUAAUGAACAUUUGUCUGCUUAUCAAGUGGUGGUGGAAAAUUUUGACUAGUGGGGCCGAUUCGCUGUGGUUUUCGAUUCUUAAGGCUAAAUACUUCCCUCACUCCAACCUUCUGUUUGCCACCGCCAGGCGCGGGUCUCAAUUUUGGAAAUCCCUUGUCAAAGUCAGACCGAUCUUUCUGGAACAUGUCAAAUUUAAUGUUGGUAAUGGGUUGGCUGUUCGCUUUUGGUUGGACUGGUGGUCUGGGGAUGCCCCCCUUGCUGCGAGCUUUCCGGUUCUGUUUUCCUUUUGUCCUAAUUCGAAUAUCUCCAUCGCGGAGGUGGCAGCUAAUAAUUGGGAUUUGGCUUUUCGUCGGGCCCUGUCUCCUGAAGAGUUGGAAGAUUGGCAAAGUCUCUCUGCCCUCUUCCCCGUGCUCUCGGAGUCGGCCGAUUCUGUGGUGUGGCCUCAUUCGGCCUCAGGUAGAUUUUCGGUCAAGUCGCUGUAUUCUAGACUUAUUGGUGGUACUCCUUCGUCCAGAUUCUCUUGCGUUUGGAAGUCCAAAGUCCCUCCUAAGAUUAAAAUUUUCCUUUGGCAAGCCUUUCGUGGUCGCCUUCCGGCUGCUGACCAGAUCAAAAAGCGCAAUGGGCCUGGUUCGGAGUUUUGUCAUCUUUGUGGGGCCUUGGAGAACUCUGAUCACAUCUUUUUCAAUUGCGUGCUGGCCAAGUUGGUUUGGUGUUGUGUUAGAUCUUGGCUUCAGGUCUCUUGGAACCCCUCCUCUUUUACCCAUAUUCGAACCCUAGCCAAAGCUUUGGUUGGGGUCACCAAGAGGGUGUUUUGGGUAGGCCUGGGAGCCUUAUGUUGGGCUCUUUGGACCAUUAGGAACAAAUUUACUAUUGAGCAUAUCUUCCCAUCUAAGCCUGCUGACGUUCUUUUCAAAUCAUGUAUAUUAUUGCAGCAGUGGAGAUCAUUGACUAAGGAGGUUGAUCGGGAUGCCCUGGACCUGCUCAUCGUCAAAAUUCGGGCUUCGGCAUCUCUCAUCUCCGGGCGGGAUCCCGUCGUCUAAUCCUGGUGGUGCUGUUUGCGGAGUUUAGGUCUCUCUCCUUUCCGGCCUGCGCGCCGUGUAUGGCAGUUGCCUGUAUCCUUUCCCUCUUUGGUUACUCUCAAACUAUUCGCUUUGUGCACUCUGUGCGUUGUCUUGUUAGCUGGUUUCGCUCCUGUUUGGUUUCCUGUGACGCUGCCUUGUGGCUUUAUUUAUAAAGUCGGGCUCUGGCCUUUUCUCUAAAAAAGAUGAUGUGCUAGAGACAUGCUUCUGUACUGCCUUGCUGUAAACAAGAUGGUGUUUAUUGUAUUGUCUUUUGAUGCACAUUUGGUGUAUCCAUGGAAGCUAUGGUCUUCUGAUCUGCUGGUGUCAUGUACACAGAAGGUGAACUGUCUUCACUUAAAUUCAAGUACUAAAAACUUUUGUGACUUGCCAUGGCAACAUAAGCCAACUUAGCCUGACAAUAAACAACGAACCAACAUCAACAUGAAUAUGAGGUAAACUCAUAUUCUUAGUUGUGCUAUGAUCGAACUAACUGGUGCCUAGGCAACAAAACAAAUUAGAAUCCAGCAGCUAAUCCACCCUAGUUGUGAGUAAUUCGUUAACCGAAAGCAGUUUCCUGGAGGGGAGUAGUGUCUCAUGCUCCCAGCAAUCUACAGCUUCUAGAAAACAAAUCAUGGCACAGUCAAGAGAGUCCUGAAACGAAGAUGUGUUAACCUACACCUGGUUGCCACAGCUGUUAACAUUGGCACAGCACCAAAAAGCCACAGCAGGCAUGAUCAUCAGCUCCUCACGACAUGUAGGGCGAGCUAUGAGCUCCCGGGAAUAAAUGGCAAAGAUUUACAUGCAAUGGGCAAUGCUGGUUCCAUGGACAUCCCUUCCCUGCCGGGCUGCAUUCCCGAAACAAGUUUUAUGUUGAGAUCAAGAAAAGCAAAAUUUACACCACUAACAGCAGCAGCAGCAGCAGCAACAGCAGCUUCAGUGCUGUCGCUCAACGACAUCCCUGGGCGGUGUUUGCACAAGAUCACUAUCAGCAGGAAGAUCGUCGCAACCCGCUCUCUCGAUGCUAUCGCCUCUCACCCAGUUUCCUUUUCUUCUUGCUUUGCACGGUCUCUCCAUGGCGCCUGCAUCACACACAAACACGCCGUAACUGCAUAGCGACGAACCUCAAGAAAAGCAGCAAGGUUUCGGAAAAAGUAUAUACAGCAAGUUCCAUCAUAAGAUUGAACUUUGGACUCACCCAUCCUGCAUCUGCUUCCGUUUUCUCUUGACGCUAUUCGGCUUUGCCUCAUCUUUGCCGCCCCGCCUGAACACCUCAGAAUCACUAGUGCUGCCGCCGCCACCAUCCGUGGCACAUUCCCUCGACAGCGCGAGUCUAUCAAGAACGGAUACGGAUGCAUCGACUGAGGUUUCUUCUGACCGUGAUUUGAAAUCCUCCAGCAAAACAACACCUGGAGAAGCACAAGCGUACGCAUGUUGCUCAGCAAAGAGAUUGCUGCAGCCAUGUCACAUGUGAUGGAAGACGCCGAUCAAAAUUCACAAGGCUGGUAUUCAAAUUUGUCCCUUGGUCGCUCGAAUUUCGGAGCAUCGAGGAUAACAGCAGGAACAGAUGAGCGUCGCUGUAUACGAUGGGUGUCUGGCAAAGUGGUUCAGGUAGUACGUACUGAGGGCACGCAGCGUGCGCAGAUCGAACCCGGCGGCGAGGUGGGGGCGACCGGCCGUCUCCGCCAGCUUCACGGCCAGCAGCUUCAGGCUGACGAGGAGAUCCUGCACAACACCGCCGUGGCGCCGUCAACACCUGUCGUCAGGAAGAGAAGCUAUAGUAGAAAAUAAGAGGAGGGCAGGGGGCGUCACGGACGAGCUCUGGCUCGGAGAGGGCCGCGAGCCACCGGGGCUCCGGAGGUGGGGUUUCGCCGGCGGCGGAAGGCGCCAUGAGGGAGUGGGGAGAGAAGAUGGGGGCGAUGUGUUUUUUUUUUCUUUUCUUUUUUUGCUUUUUUUGGGGGUAUUAUUAUUUUUUGCUUUUUUAGGGUAAAGCCAAUUUUAUAUUGAUCAAAGACCAUACUACCUCCGUCUCGGUGAAUAAGUCAUCCGCGUAGUUCUAGGUUGACGAUUUAACUAUCUAAAUAUGUAUUGUAUGUGACAAAAAAUAUAUAUAUUUAGAAACUACAUCCUUGUAGAAAUCUAGUGAUAUACUUUUCAUGACAUAUAAUACAUAUUUAAUUGCUCAAAUCGAUGACCUAGAACUACGUAAAUGACUUAUUCACCUAGACGGAGGUAGUAGUUAGUUGGAUUCAAUCCAGGUCGUGUGGUUGGUCAAACCACAUGACGGCGCUGAGAUAAAGAAAGAGAAAAGCUCGCUAAAUUAUGUGCGUCGAGAUUAACAACACGACCUACCAAAGUAAAGUUACAAUUAAAAGAAGCUGCUCUGCUUUUGAUCUCCUUGAUGAUGGCACCAACUCUACCUUGGCUCUUCUCAAAAAAAAAAAACUCUACCUUGGCUACAUUGCCUAAUAUCGUCCACUUGCUUGGAAUCAGAUGUUAUGAUAAAUUUGUGUAGAUGGAGGUCUCCCGCUAAUGAUGGAACUUCACGGCAAGUCAUGGCCUCCAGCGUUGUUUGGUCACGAAAACACCUCCAAUGACUAGGCUUCUUCUCAUGAAUAAUUUGGACAUCAAUGCACCUUGUGACAAAAGAACGCGAUGCAGACGGGCUUUGAAAGAUCCUUUCGUGAAUGGCCUUUCGAUGUGCCGACCAAAUGGCCCAGAGAGUAACUUCCAUCUUUACGAGCUGCUCAUGUGAUAAUGAUUCGAGUGGAGAGAAGAGACAUUGCCGGCACCAGUGUGGGAUGAUGGUUCGUGAGAGACGGUGGUUGGUGGUCUUGCCGGCGCCAAUGUGGGAUGAUGUGCAACGAGGUGGUGUGGGAGCUUGGGUGAAGACCCUGUAUCGGCCAUUGUGCCAUGACCAACAAUGGUUGCGGUUGUGGCCAUCGUUGACCUUUCUGUAGGCAUCGGUGUUGUGGUGUCGCACACCUUCCGCGGGGACCCGACUAUCGUGGCCUCUUCAGGGGAAACCCUUGAUCUUGUGAUCGGACGAUGACAGCGCCUGGGUGUGUAAUUUUUGUUAGAAGGGAGAGAGAGGUUUGGUGGAAUAGUUGUUCAUUGUAUUGCUUGAGCCUCGUGGGCAUAUAUAUAGGAGUACAUGAUCUACUUGGAGUACAAGACAAGACAGAAUACUUCCUAGUUUAUCCUAUGUUUCCUAAUACAAUCACGUUACUCAACAAUUUUCCCUCUUGGGGGCUUCGUCUUGAGCUUGAUGACAUCACUUGGGUGUGUAAUUUUCCCUCUUGGGGGCUUCAUCUUGGAGCUCGACAUCGGCAAGCAGGACCGAUGGUUAGCGGUGGUGGUAGCGUCGAAGCUUCUGUGGCAACAACGAUGGUGGGAGCGAUGUCGGUGAAGCGCCUAUGUUUGCGGUAGUCGACUCUUCUUGGACGUGUUCGGAGGAUUGUCUUCGUAAUUUGUUUGUUGUUGUAGAGUCAAAGAUGCGGCGGCAGGACCCUGUUGUGUACGAUGACCGGCCUGGUUUUGUCCUUUAGAGUUCCCCAUCAAAGUCUGGUCGCAGGUGGCUUUGUUUUUGCCCAGAUUUCUCGACCUGGCUACAUGGACGAUACUUAAUGGCCGUGGGCAAUCUAAUUUUCGCUCAGUUUUCUAAUUAACUAAGUGUUAUGACCGGUUUGGUCUAUACCAGGAAAAGUCUCACCGGACAUUAGUAUUAAGGGCUUGACCCACAAGUUAUAAAUACUAGUUGUAAGACAUCGUUUGAGAGCAAGCAAUAAAGAUAUUAUCAUCUUCUGUUGCCCGGCUCCCUGAGGAGCCGGAACCCUAGCCGCCACCAGCCAACCGCCGCCGCACCUAAACCCUAGCUGCGACGGCGCCUCAUAGCCGGCGCGCCCGCUCCAGCCCUCGUCUCCCUCCUCCCUGCCCAUACAAUCUACGCCGAAGGCCCGGUAGGAACCCUAGUCCUACCACUAAGCAAUUCUUUUUCUUCUUGAUAAGCAAAGUUCAUCUCCACCCUAGGGACGCCCCAUUAGUGACAACAGAAGCAAGUUCCUUUAAAAGGAAAACAGAUGGCAAUGGAAAACCAGUGUUUUGAGAAUACUGCAACAAGUAGACUAACACAAUAACAGUGAAGAUGAUGCGCCAAAAACUAGUAUUACACACCCAAAAGGUUCGGGGCCGAAUCAGGUACAUAUCCACAAGGACCAAAAUUGGAGCAAGUUUGGGGGUACAUAUCCGUUCCGUUCACAUAAACAUGCGCGGCAUUAUUGCUCAAUCCUAAGAGCUUCAACCAGAGUUCAUUCCGGAGGUUAAACACACCCAUUUUCACAAAAACUCGCGAAGAUACCGUCUAGUAGGGCUCCACCGGUGCGCGGAACUUGAG